rnacentral:lncRNA from 1 species
UUUUUUUUUUUUUUUUUUUUUUUUAUCAAGGGGAAGACCCCUUUCUCUUUACUACUUAUCCCUUUUAAUAAAAAUUCUUCCACAUUUUUCCACUUUAUUUUGCCAACAUUCUUUCAACCCCUUUUGCACAAAAAUGCCAAAGAUAGUAUUAGGAUAACCUUUUACAACCAUUGCUAACUUUUGACACAAGUUGCUAAAAAUUGUUGAAGAUUUGCUUUUAAUGUCAGGUAGGAUAGCAGAUUGGUUCUAAUUGAAGGUCAUUUCUUGUGGAGGACCUUACUUAUAAGUGAGAUGAUUGUUCCUAUCUUCAUGGUUUUAUGUUGUAUAGUUAUAGAGACUUUUUAGAGGCUAUCAGCUUUAGAGCAAAUUUAUGUUGUUUGUUAGGGAUUAAGUAUUUUAUUCAAAUUGGGUGAAUGGUACUACCUCUUUACUUGAGAUGGCUUUGAGAUUGGGUGGUUGAAUAGUAGUACUUUGGAAUGGUCUAGUUUUUGUUCGCUUUAGCUAUCAUUUUCUUAUGCUGUGUCUAUAGACGAGUGGAGACGUCAUUUGGAAAUUGGUCAAAUUGCCCGUGAAAUUGAUCAAAUUGUCAAGUUGUCAUCCUAAAAUUGACUAAACCUAGUUUGUAAAAAUGAGAAACGACCGUCACUAGCGACUAACAUCUUCUCAAGCUAAGUAUUAAUAGAUCCAAUCUGAGCAUAAAGGGCAUCUUAAUGUUGCAGGUUCAAUGCUCAUGAAGCAUAAUAUUUUGGAUACUUGGUGUGAGACACCUCAGCAUAAGUCUAAUCCAUAAGGAUAGUCUCCUCAGGAGGUUGAGAUGUGGGCAAUUGAAUGGUGGCAUCCAUGCCCUUGGUUUGCAUCUCCUGUUGAACAUCCUCACCCCCUAAUCCUUUAUGGUCACCCUCAGUCUCUAUCUAUAGAAUCUCUGCCUCUUACUCAACCCGGUCUUCAUUCAUAGCAGGACCCUUUCUUUUUCUUUCCAAUGAUCCAUUAGGCAAUUUCUCAAACAGCAUUCGGUCUGGAUUUUACGUUAUAGGUAUCAUAGGAUGAGGCCUGAAUGUUUUUUUCUCUUCUUAUGUCCACAUUGAAUGCUUUCAGGAUUUUUGUGAUCAGUCUUCUUCCGUUGGCCACUACUUUAGAAUUGCUUUUACAACAGUUUUUCAUGUGUUGAAAGAUGAUAAGGAAACCUUAGAAUGGAUCGGAGUCAAUAGAAAAUGCUACAUAAUAGGACACCUUGUCUCUAUGUCCACCCUUAGGUAGAAAAAUAUGUUUGAUCAUGUGGUGGUGCACCCUAGAGAUAAUGCUCAAGGCAUGGGCAUGGAGCUUUGAAGUCACUGUGUCGAUGGGUAAGUUACAUAUCCUCUAGAAAGCCCUACCUAGGUUAAAACUAGACACUAUAGGCCAUCCCUUCGUCUCAAAUAAACAAAGUCCCCCACAAAGGAUCUCCAAAAUAUCACAAAGCAUAUCAAUAUUUAGUUUAAUUCAACUCCUCUAACAAAUGUGCUAAUUGGCCUUCAUAUAUUUUAGGUUCAAGUAAAAUACCUGAACAAGGUUGGGGUAUGUAGGCUCUCUUGAUGAGAUGGUAUUGGUGAGUAUUUUUUUUUCUUCAAUACAAAACUAUUACAACACUUGGUUUUUUUUUUUUCUAAAAAAAAAAGAAAAAUAAAAAUAGUUUUAUAUUAUACUUAGUUUCAAGAAAAAUAAUAAUCAAAGCAAAAUGAAAAAAAAAUUCUCAUAUUGGUUUCUCGUGAAAAAUAUAAAAGCAAAUAAAAUACAAUUAAAAUUAAUUAAAAUCUUAUGUAUUUUUAAAUUAUUAAUUUUUAUAUAAAAAAUGAAAAAUAGUAUAAUGAAUUUAGAAGAAUAUAUAAAAAUAAUGUAUUAACUUUAAAUCUUUUUUUCUUUAUAUAUAUAUUUUCCCUUCAAUUUUCUAAUACCAACACAUAAUAAGGUUAAUGUCUUCUAGCCAACCAAUUGUAAGUCAAUUUUCAUAGAGCUUUUUUUUUUUUUUUUUUUUACAUGCCACCAAGUAGUUAUAUAAGCAUUUUUGCAUGUUAUUGUUAUCCAACAUACAAUAACUAUAACAUCCAAUUAUUAUGAACAUGAACAAUAAAAUUAGAUGCAACUAACUAUUUAGUGUAUAACAAGAAGUUGGUGAAGUAAUUCAUCCUAACAUGAUUCAACAAUUUUUGUUUAUUUUUCAAGAUUAAUUAUAACAUACCCAUUCUAUUAAAGUUGUUGAGAUAUUUGAGCAAAACUAAAAAUCAACAUUAAUUCAUUUUAUACCCACAAGAGAAAUAAGAUUUGUUUUUUUGUUUGAUAAUAAAGUAGUUGUAGUUAUUAAUGAUAAUUUUGAUCCUAAUUUAAUAGGUAUCCAAAAAAAAAGGAAAAAUGCAAGUAAACCAAUUCUUAUCUAACACAAUUAUUACCACCUUAAAAUCCUGAGGGGUAGCUCAGUUGAUCAGUUCGAGUCCCUUUAGGACCAUGAAAAGCUUACCCGAUGGUUCACCUUAAGAAAAGCAAAGCAUUUAUAUAAUUCAACUGGUAGUUGAUAAGUCUUAGAAAGGGUUUUGCCAUCAUUGGCUUCUCAGUAAAGGGCAAAUUUGGGUUGUGGCUGACAAUUAUUGAAUUUGUGAAGAAAUAUGUGAAGAAAGGAAACAAAAAGAGUUGAGGACAGAAUUCUUCAAUUAAAAAAUGGUUAGCCCAUGAACCCAUUCUUCAAACAGUAAGCCAAUGAGCCAAUGAGCCAAAAAGAAAGAAGAACAGCUGGUUUCAUCUUUUUAUCUUAAUGACUUUGACAACCCAUCUUUCUUUUAAAUACUUGUGACUUUGGAAUAUAAUUAAAAUGAAACUUUGGAAUGCCCACAUCUGAUUCACGGCCUUUUUACCUGUUUUCUUGUUUAACAUUUUUUUAAAUAUUAUAACAGAUGGAAAAACAUGAUUCUAACAGGCUGGAAAAUAGUGGAAGUUGGAACACCAACCAUAACCAAACUAUACCUUCCAUCUUUCUCCAACACUCGGAAUUAUUGAUACAAGUUGGUGGUUUUAUGAUUGUUUCUAUUGAGGGGACCCCUCUCCAUUUCCAAUUUCAAUGGAAAGGUUCUUCUUUCCCUACUUUUUUUUUUUGUUUUUCAAAUUCUUGUAGUUUUGUCUGUCUCUCUCAACAAAGCAAACUGCAAUCACUAAUUCAAAGAAAAGGAAUCCUAAAUGAAAAGAAAAGAAAGGAAAGGAAUGGUAAUUUAGGCUAUGAUGAUGCUCCUAUAUAAUGGCUGUAAGUCAAUAACAACACACUGGACCCGCCUCCUAUCUCAAAAGAUCACAAACCCAAAUAUCAUAUACUUCCAAAUUUCAAUUUGGUUCCCUGUUUAUAUCACAAUCUGUCCUAUAUCCUCUUAAUACAUCUAAAAUCUCUCUAUAUCAUAAAAAUAAUGAUGGAAAAAAAAAUUAAAAAGAAAGAAGGAAAAAAUGACAAAAAAAAAAAAACCUUGGUGCUGCUAUGGGUCCAUAGGAAUUGGCAGGACUGCACUUCUGGAUCCCCUUCCAUGGCCAAAAGAAAAGAAUGAUCUUCGGAAUCUGCUGCUGCAACCUUCACUAGGGCUGAAGUCACUGACAGGCCUGUUCUGUUGCAAAAUCUCUUGAAUUGCUAAAUACAGCUGCCUGUCGUUGGAUGAGUCCAUUGAAAAAGACCUCCUGAUGGGUUGGAUUGAGAACUGAUCAUCUUUGCCUCUAGUGUCAAUGCACUCAUCACCCAUGCUUGCAACAUGAUGAAACUUCCUUGCCUUUUUAGGCACAAUUCUCUGCUCUAGCUUCCUAGGUGAUGGACUAAUUGAUGGCGCAGAUAACUCUCUGGAAUUCAGUCUUUCUGGUGGCCUAAGCAGUGAUGAAUCAGCAGAACUAUCAUUUCCCAAUUCAAUUACUACAAAAUCUUCAUCCCCUCCUAUGUAAUUAUUGGCGUAGGGGCUUGGAUCUUGGGGGGAAGAGCUAGGAGCAAUGAUUUGGUGAACAGGAAACCGGGGUGUGGUUGAAAUGCUUGUUCUGCAAAGUGGGCAAUUAGCAUUGCUUUGAAGCCACACGUCUAUGCAAUCUAUAUGAAAUAUGUGACUGCAGUUUGGUAUGAUUCUUAGCUUCUCUUCUUCUUGAAACUCAUUCAAGCAAACCGCACACUCGCAAUGGCUUCUUUCUCCAAACUCUCUGCCACCUCCUUUCCUGAACUGGAAUAUUGGGAUUGAUCUGAUGACUGACUCGUCCAGGCCUCGACUCUCGAUUGCUGGGGAGUACACCAUUAAAGGGUCUUCCGGGUGCCGACUCCUUGAGAAAGAAAAUCGUCUCAGCAGAUCAAUCCGGUGCCAAUUGAGGCAGCAUUUGAUUACAAAGAUGUAGUAGCUCACCAGCAAGAAAGCAGUGGCCAGGAUUCCUAUUACGGCAAUGGCUAUAAUGGGGAAACUGGUGUCCGAGGAAUGAGAGGGAGAAGGAAGCACUGAGCUCGCCUGGCUUUUGAUGGGAGAAAAGGCUUGUGAUCCAUGGAUGGAGGAGUCUGUGCUCACAAGAUCCAUGAGAGAGGCUAUGAAAAACAUUUAGAAAUGAGUCUAUUCGGAUCUUCAAUUCACAGAAACAUGCAAAUGCUAGAAUAAAAUCGACAGACACUCAGAUAUAGACCCUACAGUUGUAAUGCAGCAUACCAUAAAUGUGAUUGAGUGAGUGAGGCUGAAACAGCAAAUGGGUCACUUCAAGAUCUCAACAAGACAGAAAACCCAUGUUGAAUUCACCAGGAGAGUAUUGAAAAGGGAAAAAUUAAGGACAUAUAGCUGUAUUGAAAGUUGAAACAAAUGCAGAAACAUAGAGAAGAGAGAGAGAGGGAGAAAACCCAGGAGGGUUGAAUGAGAGCGCUGCUGGGGAAGACAUCAAAACGCUUCAAAUUCAAUGAGAAUCUGUUGGGGACCUCUUUAAGAGGACUGCACAAAGCCUGAGCGUAGGGUACGUGGUUGGUUGGUGAAUUUCUCGGCUUCCAAAAGAGAAAUUUGGUGAGAAAAUUUUCAAGUCUCUUGAUUAUAGUAACGUAGCGUUUAUUUUAAUUUUAUGUAACCGAAACUAAUGGGCUGGUUCAAAAAAAUAAAAAAUAAAAAAAGGAACUUUCUAGGAUAGGCCAGCAGUCCACCGUUGGUCAUGUGGUUUCUUUUGCAUGUCCACAUCUUCCAACUAGUGGAGGUCCCUGUCACAACAGUAAGAAAACACCCAAUUGAAUAAAAGUAUGAACUUUUGGCUCCCAAUAUUACUUAUGCCCUCAUUCAAUACCUCAAAUAAAGCAGAGAUUUUGUGUCCCAACUUUUAUGAUUUCAUUUCAUCUUACUUCAAAUGCUAAUGACAAAAGUCCAAGUAUAUUCUGUAAUCACCCACACCCCAAUAGUUUUGAAUCACACUUGAAAUAGUUCCCAUGCUUUCUUAAUAAUUUAGAUAAUUAUUUACAGAAAAAAAAAUUCAGAACAGGAUGAUAAUCAUUUUGUGAUAGCAUGGAAGAAACUUUACUAGCCACUUUGGCCCCAUGAAGUUGAGUACUUGAUGCCAAUUAAUGGCAGGGUGGAAAAUAGAGAAAAGGGAUCAUAGUCAAAUCUAGAGUACAAGGCAUUGAAUCUUUGUUAAUAAUUAACAAAUGGGUAAAGCAUGGGUCACAGGGUCUACAGUUUGGAUUGCAAAAACCUCAGGCUUCUAUAAAAAGCUCAUCCAUUAUCAAUCAUCAAUCUGAAAGCCAGAAAGUCCAAGGCACAUGCAACCCACGACAGGGGUAAGAUUUCUGCAUCAUGUCCCUGAGUUGCAUUCACAUCAUAUGUUUCCCUCCGGGCCGUUCCAAUUUGAAAUCUCAUGGAAAUCUUCAAGAGCAAGGCUACAGAGUUUAAGAUAAUACUAGGGGUGGGUCCUGAUGGGAAAAGAGGUAGUGUAGGAUAGUCAAUAAAGGGCAUGUGUCUCUGGUGUGAAGUCAAAUCCAGUGUACCAUCCUCAAUGGAAAAUUUAGAAAUAGAACCGACACUCUACAGACUGCCGUGUUGACAGAUUAGAGAAAGACAAACCCACUUACACUUGCCUCAAAACCCAGUCCUGCCAUUUCAAAGGCAAAAAAAAAGGGUUUCUUUUUAUAGUCAAAGGUUGAGGCCUGGCCUGGCCUAGCAAAGAAACUUCACCUACUCUUUUCUUAUUUUUCAAAUUAAGGCCAUUCAACUUUUCCUGUUUGCAGGCUUGCUGCCAUAUCUUACUCCAAAAAAGGUGAAAACCCAAAAGAAAAAGAGUGUUUGCUUCAAUGGAAAACUCAUGUUUAAUAAAUUCACCGCACGAGUUUUGUUCCAGCUUUUCCUAUGAAAGCUGUGAUGCGUUUGGUAUGAAGUUGAUUUUGUUCCUAAAAAUUUUGAUCUUGGCGUGGAAGGCAACUUUUUCCUUUUCCCCCUUUUUCUUUUUGAAAAGUUCGGCAUUAGUUACCAAAUGUCCUUUUACUUGCAUGUAGGACAGCGGAAGCAUUACACAUCGCAGCAAAAUCCCAUUUACCCGAAUUUUCCACUAACUCUUUUUAUUUUUUACCAUCAUUUUUUAAUAGAAGUGAUGCACUCUUCAAAUUACAUGAAGCUUUUAAGAAGGUAAUAACCCGUUUCAAAGCGAACUUAACCUACAGAGUAUGUUUUAAAAAUAUUUAGGUAUUUGAUAAAAUUUAAAAAAUAUUUUUUAAAAUCUUUAAAAUGAUUUGUAAUAUUGAAAAUUUAUUUAUACUUUUUUUAAUAAAAAAACAUUUUAUAGGUAAUUUUUCUAAAAUACUUUUAGAGAAAAUGUCUUCCCUUCACUAUAAAUAUUAUAUACUAUCAAAUACACUUUAAAAAUCUGUUUAACAAUAAUUUUAUAAAGUGUUUUUAAUUUUAAAAAUAUUUUUAAAAACAAAUUAAAUUUUUGAUAAAAUUUAAAAAAUCUUUUUAAAAAUUUUGAAAAAUAUCUCGUAAUAUUAAAAAAUAUAUAUAUUUAUAAUGUUUUUUAUAUAAAUACUCAAAAUUCAUUUAAUAGUGAUUUUAGGAAAUGUUUUUAAUAUUUCUAAUACUUGAAAAUUUUUUAUCAUUUAAGUAUUAAAAAUAUUAAAAACACUUUAUAAAAUCACUUUCAAAUGGACUCUUAAUGAUUUUACUAAAAACACUUUUCAUAGAAAACAUUUAUAAAAAAUAAUUAUGAAAUACACUCUAAAUUAAGUAAAAGUUGUUUUUAACAUUACCACUAUUUAUUAAUAGUGCAUUUGUUUAAAAUAUUUAUAUGAAAAAUUCAUUAGGGUGGGAUAUAAAUAUAGAAGUGUUUUUCUUUAUAUAUUUUUUAUAAUAAAAAAUGAUUUUUGAAAUUAUAAAAUUUGAAUUUAAGAAUCAUUUGAUAAUAAUUUUUGUUAAAGCACCUUUAAUACGUGGUGCUUCUAUUGAUAGCGCUUUCAUUUCUAUGAAUGGCUAUAAAUUAUAUUUGAAUAAAUUUUUUAUAAUGUAUUAUAUAAUAAAAAAAAAGUCAUUUUUAAAAAAAUUAUACAUUAAAUGAUUAUUCAAAUAGUAUUUCCUAAAUUUUAUUAAACAUUUUUUUCAAAAAAAAAAAAAAAGUUUUCAAAUACUAGAAAACGUUUUUAAUCUCUCACACGAUCACAUCCAAACAAGUCCUAAUGCUACUCCUAGAAACACUCCAAAACAAAAGUCUUCCUCUAUUAAUGUUCAUAAAAUCCACAUAUAUUCUUCCAUCGUUUUUUCAAAAUUCAAAAUCAUUUCUAAAACAUCAAAUCAUGUUCUUUGGAUUGGCUGACUUGUUUUUUGAAAAUAGAAGGCUCAUUAUUGACGUCCGUUGACUUCAUAACCCAGUCUUGAUCUCUUGAUGGAGGGCAUAAAUGUAAAUUGGACGAAACCCUAGGGUGCGCUAGAGUGUAGAGGAUGAAAGGUUGGAAAAAGGAUGAGGUGGGGGUGUAAUAAAGAGGAGGGUUGGGAGAAUGGGACAUGUGUAGGUGAAGCAUUAAAUUCAAGACUAUGCUUACCAACAACAUAUAAAUAAAUAAAUAAAUAAAUAUAGGAACAGCACAUGGGGUGAGUAGGAGACAUCAGAAGAUGUGAACAACCCCUUGUCAGUCCAAUUUGCGUCUUUUAUCUACUCUAUUAUCUAUAUCGAUUUUCGUAUUUAUUUAUUUAUUUAUUUAUUUUUACCAUUUGAUUUUGCAUGGAUGUCGAAGGGUUUAUUGGCUGCCACGUGUAGGGUUAUGGUCAAGAUCACGUGGGGUGCCUACAUGGGAGUCACGUGAGUGCAUGAGGCAGGCUUGAAUUGCAGGAGGAGCAGGAGCAGAGCAGUGGCUGUUGUCUUAAGACUUUGCUCUCUUGGUGGAACUGCAGCUUAAGCAGCAUCCACGUGUUGUCACGUGCAAUGCGAGCCAUCCACACCACCAGUUUCUUUUUAGUGAUUUUCUAAAGUCAGUUAAGGUUGCAGUCAAUACCUUCAAAUGUUGACAGAGUUAGGGAUCUUUGUUAAAUGGAUUUUAUUAAGAUAUUAGUAAGUUAAUUAAUUGAGGGUCAACAUAACAGAUGGGUCGGGUUGGGUUGAAUCUGAAUUUAAAACGAUUUAAUUUAUGUUUAAUCAAAUUUAACAUUUAACUCGAAGCACUCAACUUAAGUUUAAUUGAAUCUUAGUUUUCAAAACAUUAUUUAAAUUUGGGUCAUUUGGAUUAAAGUCAAAUGGGUUAGAUUAAUCGGGUUAUAUGGUUCAAAAUCCACUUACCUUAUUUUUUAUACAUUAAUAUUAAAAUUUAAAUAAAAAAUAUUAGAAGAAAUUUCAAACUUGGGAUUAGUUGAUUGUAGCCAUGCAUUUGGAUGUUGGUAUUCUUGUUUCUUGUCUUGUUUCCAAAUACCCUUUCAAAUCGCUUUGUUAUUCAAUAGCAUCCUCCCGAUCAUUUAAAAAUUUAAAGAGCAUUGGUAUGAUGGAGGAAUUCAGAAAUUUUAGUUGAAUAAGUAAAAUUUUUCUCUCAUAAAACCAAAUAGCCUCUAUAGCUCAGUGGUAGAGCGUCAGUCUUGUAAACUGAAGGUCUGUAGUUCGAUCCUGCAUGGAGGCAACUUUUUAUAUUUCAUGAUCCAUUAUGCUCUAGUGAUUUAGUUUUCAUUAUAAUUUUAGAUUAAAAAAUUACAUCAACAUUUGAUAAGUUGGUUAUGACUUUGAUAUAAGGAUGAAACUAUCAAUAAUAUAUAUAAAUAUUUUGACACAAAAUAUCUAAUAUAUUAAAAAAUUAAAAAAAAACUCUAAAAAACAUUAUAAAAUUAUAUAUAUAAUUUAUCAUAUUUAAUAAUAAUAUCUUCUACCCUAAUAAAAAAUAUAAAUUUUAUAAGCAUACAUUUAUUAUUACAUUGUAUUAUAUAUUAUUUUACAAGAAUAUUAUGAUAACAUGUCUAAUUUUAAAAUAUAUUUAAUAUUAAAAUUAUCAUCAAUUUUAAUUUAAAUGUAUUUAAUGAUAUCAAAUAAUAUAUAUAUAUAUAAUUUUUUAAUAUUUAUAUAUUUUUAUAUUUAAUAAAUAUAUAAAUUAUGUAAAAAAAAAAGACCUAUUAAGAAGAUUAUGUUUUUAUAUUUGGAUCAAAAUUAAGUUUUUCCGAUAAAAUAUAUGAAACUAUUGAUAAAUUAUUGAUUGAAACGUGAAAAAAAAAAUUCAAAAAAUAGAUGAGAUAUUAGUAAAAUAUCCGAAAAUAUUGAUUGAUGAAUAUAUCAUUUCAAAUUUUGCAUCAACAUCCACAUAUGUUGGAUAUAUUGGCCAAAUAUAUUUAAACCUUGUUUCCAUGAGAAGUCUUUCCUUCAACAAUUUCAAAAGGUUAAUGAGGUGGUUUCCAAGAGAUGUGUGUAGGGGUCUCCAACGGGCGGGCCGGGCCAGCGGGCUUUUUGAAAUAAGCCAAAAUGGCUUUCAAAAAAGGGAAGGGAGAGGAUUUAAACCCCUUCCUUCAUGCUUAAAUUUCAAGGUUCUAACCAAUUGAACUACAUUCCUUUAAUGUUUAUUAAUUGAGUUAGUUAUAUAUAUAUAUAAAAAUAAAGUAUAUUAUUUUUUAAAGGGGCGGGCCUACGGGCUGGGCCGGGCCGAAAGCGGGCCACGGGCCACGGGCUUUUUGGAGACCCUUGGAUGUGUGCAAUCACAUUUGGUAUUAUAGGUGACAAAGUUUGAUAAAUGAGUAAUUAUUAGGUUAACUUAUAAAAUCCGAAUUUGAUUUAAAUUGAUUCAUUUAAUAAUCCCAUUUAUUUACCCAAUUAAAACUUUAAAUUAUUUAACUUAUAUUUAAUUUAAUUAAAAUUUGUUUUUAAAUAAAUAGAUCAAUUAAAACAUAAACAUAUUUGAUUGAAACAUUAAUAAUAUAGAUUUAAAUAAGACCUAAUUCAACCUAACGAUCAAAUAGAAAUAUCUAAUUAUUAAAUAAAUUAAACAUGUUACUUGCUUAAUAAUUAUGUGACAUUUGAAUUUAUGCUUUUGAUAUAAUUAUUAUUUAUAUCAGGUUUAUAUAAUGAAAUAUCUAGACUUUGACACCAGUCAACAUUGUCCACCAAUACAGAUUGCAACUCUUAUAUGCUACAUCACAUCAUGUUGAAGGAAGAGGAUGACGUUCAUUGGCAGCAGAGCCUCCAAUCAUAAGGAGCUUGAGCAAAUUCAAUCUCAACACUGAAAUUCACUAGAAAAAAAGUUUAUUAUUGAUACUUCAUUUGUGUAAAAGCAUUAUAUUUCUUGCAUCAAUCGUAAAGCAUGACAUUCCAGUAGGUACGGAAGAGAAAAUUUGUUAUGAAUUGAAAAAUCUGUCAAGCUUAAUUUGGAGGGCCCAAAAUUGACACGUUUAAGAGCUCUAUCAUUAGCCCAAUGAUAAGAGUCCAUUUCUUGAGUUUCAAGGAAGGCCCAAGUUUAACUUAGAGGGCCCAAUCUUGGUACCUUCUAAAAGGUGCAAACUUUGGCCCAAUUAUAAAAGCUUAUCCUUGCUUCCUAAGCAUCAAUGAUAUAUUUGAUCGAAGUAUUCACAUAACUAUCACGAAAUGAAAUGAAAUGAAAAUGUAUAAGUAAAUGAUGAUUUUGAGUUAUUUACUGACAAUAAAGAAUUAGGUGGUGUUUGUUUUUUUUUUUUUGGCUUUUUACUAAAAGCAAUUUGUUUUCAGAAUUUAGGUUAUUUAUUUUUCUAUUUUUUCAUGACUUAUUAUAAACUUUUUACUAAAUAAGAAAAUCCAAAAUAUAUAGUUUUUUCUAAAUAGAAAAAAUAACAUAUUGGUUUUCUUUUUUUUUUACUUUUUAAUAUUUAAUAGAAAUAAAAUAUUAUAAAAACAAACAACCUAAUAUUUAACACUAUUAAGUAUUAAGGUUUUAUUUAGAAUUAAGUAAAAAAACAAACACUACCUUAAAAUGAAAAGUAUGUAUAAUGACCUUAUACAAAAAAAGUCUCAUUAUUUUCUUCCAAAGAACUCAUACUUUUGUUUUUCAACUAUUACUUUGUUUUUAUUUUUUAAAUAAUAUUUCAAGUUUUUUUUAAUAAUACCUUUCUCUUUAUUAGAUAAUUUUAAUGACUUUAAAAGUAUUUUAAUAUAUUAAUUUAUUAUAUAAUUUUAAUGAUUUAAAAAUAUUUAAAUGUUGAAAUAUUUAUUUUCAAGUCUAAUUUUAAUUAUUUAUUUUUUGAAGUAUUUAAAUAUAUAAUAAAUGUGGGAUUAUGUAAAUCUAGUUGUAAUUAUUUAUUUCAUUCUAUUCAUGUUUUUAGUUGAAUUUGCUCAAAAUUUACACCUCUUUAUUUAAAGAUCAUGGAUUAGUUAGGUGUCUUGAGAUUUUUUUUCUCUCAAGACACUACUUGUUACACUAGAAAAUAAUUUGUGGCUAUAUUUUUUAGGCAAAAAGAAUUAUAUGUUAAAACUUCCUUUAUUGACUAGUUUAUCAUAGGGUGUAGAGGAAAGUUUGUGAUGUCUUUUUAUGUCAACUUUGGGAGAAAAAUAUCACUUUAGCAUUUUCCUUAGAAAAUUUUCAUACAUAAUUGAUUUUGGAACUAUGGAGGAGCAUAAGUAGGGAUAGAUAAUUCGAUUUUGGAAAAAUUAUAAUAGCUUUUCAACUUGGUGUUAAUGAUAUAUUGUUUAUUUCUUAUUUUUUUUCCAUUUUAAUAUAUAAUUGGGGAUUUUAAACUUGUAGAACAAGGCUUUUUCAAUUGAAUUGACACGUACAUAUGAAAGUUCUCUUUGGUUGCUAAUCACAUUUUUUUUUCUUUUGCUUUUUGUUUUUAUCAUAAUGAAUAUUGAACUCGAAAUUCAGUUUUUAAAAUCUUAUGAUGUUUUAAAGUUUAUAAAUAUUAUUGAUUUUUAUAAAUGAUGUUAUUCAUAUCUUGGUAAAGACAAUAUUUUCAUAUCGGUCAAGAUGAUUAAUAACAUAUAAGUUCAUAAAGAAAAACCUAUUGAUUAAUGGAUAUUUAAUGAUUUUUAUUAGGAAUGUUUUUUAAUUAGUUUCAAUACUCAUCUUUUAGAGCAUACAUAUAGGGUUUUAGAUGCUACAUUGGUUUUCAGCUUGUGAUUUAAAUUAUUGAAGCAAAAAAUGAGGGUUUUGCUUUAUGGAACUAUCUAAAGGGAGGUGAAUUAGGCGGUCUUCCUUUUUAAAAUCCAAAAAUUAGAUUUUUAAUACUUAUAUUAGUUAUACAUGUGUUCAAUAAUUAAAACAAAGAACAAGUCCAUAAUUUACAUGUGAUGUGCAUGGAAAAACACCUACAAAUUCUCUCAAAUACUUUACAAAUGAAAAAAAAAUCAAGGAUCGAUCAAUCACAGAGCAACUUCACUAAAUAUGAAAACAUGACUAUACAAUUUUACUUGGAUGAGGUGCUACCUUCUCUUAAGGGUUUUUACACUAGCCAACAAUUACACUCACCUUCACUCUCACCAUGCACCUCUAUUGUGCUCCAUAGUAAACACUUUAAUGACUGUAGCAAGAUUGCGAUAAAUUACUGCGAUUAAUUUGAGAGUGUUGAUAAUGAACAAAAAAUAAUGAUAAUUAACUAGAGAGCAUAUGAUUUUGUAAAAACACCAAAAAGAGGCAUAGUUAUAAGUGAAAACUUUAAUGGAUUGGAUUGAAUAUAUAAUUGAAGUAUGAAUGAAAAAUUACCAAAACAAUGUUCAAAACCGUGCUAAUCAAAGCACAAUCACUUGAGUACUCUCAUGGGGCACUUGAAUGCUCCUUUUAAUCACCGUAAUGCUGAAAUUAAUAAUUUGUCUCAAAUUGUUUUUCCAAAACAUAAAGCAAAAUAUUAUAAAUUUAUAUAAUCAAACCCAAUUUCAUCUUAAAGCUAGCCUACUUAGUCUUAAUUCAUGUCCAAAAAUACUCAUACUUGUCAAAGAAUGAAUAUGGUAUAAACAAAUUCUUUAUUUUCAAUUAUAUUCAAUUAUUGAAAGAAUAAAUCGGUUUACAUACAUUUUGAACAAAGGUAUAUACACAUAGACUAAAUCAAGGAAAUGAGGAAAUCAAUCACAAUCAAAUCAAAAUCAAAUGAUAGGUUGAUAUCUAGGAGAAGGUUAAGUUAGAACCAACUCAUGUAUUCAAUAUUCCCCCUUAAGAUGGCAUAUGGAGAUCAUGAAUAUCAAACCUAGAAAGUAAGGGAUAUGAAAUAUCUAUACCAAGGGAUUUUAUGAAAUAUCAACCAAUUGUUGUUGUGAUUAAACAAAUUGAAUAAGAAUAAUUUCAUUUCGAAUCUUUUCAUAGAUCAAGUGACAAUCAAUUUCAACGUGUUUAUUCUGUUCAUGGAAAAUUAGAUUAAUAGCAAUGUAUAGAGUUGUAUUAUUGUCACAAUAUAGAUGCAUUGACCAAGGAUGAUGAACUCCAAAAUCUAUAAGUAAAUAUUGCAACCAAUGCAAGUAGUAAUCAUUAAAUAAUAUUUCACUUUUCUUCAUGAGUGUUAUAUCAUUGAUUGCUUUUUAGAUCUUCAAGAGAUUGAUAGGCCACCAAGUAAAAUACAAUACCCUAUAAUUGAACAUCAAGAUUAUGCACAAUAGGCAUGGAGGAAGGCAAAAGAAUUCCUUGACCUAGACGAUUUUUUAAAUAGUAUAACACUCAUGUACUUGUGAGAUAAUUGAGACUACAUUGGCUUGUCAAGAAUUUGAACAUAAUUAGCAAUAUUAAGCCCUAUCAUUAUGAGUCAAAGUAACUUCCCAAUCAAAUGCCUAUAAUAAGAAGCAUCCAACAAAGGUUCUCUAUCUAAUUUACUCAAUUCCAAAUUUUGUUUCCUAGGAGUUUUUAAAGUUACAUGUUCCAAGAAAACCAAAAUCUUUUAGUACUUCUAGAGCAUGUUUUCAAUAACUUAAAUAAAUCUCAUUCUUAAAAUAUGUCAUUUCAAUGAUGAUGAAGUACUUUAAUUUUCCAAUCUCUUAGUUAGUUUGAAAAUGCUAUAUAGGUUUUCCUUGACCACCUUAAUUCCUUUAAGAUCAUUCAUUGUAAUAAUUAUAUCAUAAAUGUAAACAAGAAUGAUUGUGAAAUAGUUAUUUGAGGCUUGAGCAAAUAAGAAGUAAUAUGUACGUCUUGGCUUGCUUGUAAACCAUAAACAUCAAUGUGAUAGAUAAUUUGGCAAACCAUCAACGUGAAGCUUGCUCAAGGCCAUAAAGGGAUUUUUUAACUUUGCAAAUCAUAUUUUUGGUUCUAGAUUUCCUACAAACUUGGUGGAAGCUGCAUGUAUACCUCUUUAUCUAAGUCUUCAUAAAGAAAAACAUCGUUGAUGUCAAGUUGGUGAAGAUGUCAAAUUCUAAUUAUACAAUAAUUAGGGGUGACAAUGUGUCUUAUCGUGUUGAGGUGAGAAAUAGUGAAAAUUUACUUAAUCCGACUAUGACCCGUUUGAUAAUCGUGUCAAAAUAACCUAACAUGAAUACAAUUAGUUUAUUUCAUGUAACAUGACCCUUUUAACAUGUUUAAUAAAUAUAUUAACUUGGAUUAUGUAUUAAUUGACAUGAAUAACUCAUUAACUUGAUUUCAACCCCUUAAACUCAUUAACACAAUUCCAACCCAAUAAACUCGUUAAUAUGAUUUAACUCAUUAAACUUGUUAAUAGGAUUAUAACCUCUUUAACCUAUUUAAAAUUUUAAAUUUAUAAAUAAUAAAAUACUUCUAGAAAGUUUAAUUUUUAAAAUUUGAACUAUAAUACAUGUAUGCACCAAUUUCAUGAAGUCCUGAAAAAUUAGCAAAAUUAUAGAAAAAUAAUAUAAACAAAAAUUUGUAUUAAAAUUAAUAAGUAUGGGCUACAAUAUUAGUCAUAGUACUGCUUAUUUCUGAAUGACUUUAUUAAAAAGCGAAGAAUACAUGUGUAGUUCUUAUGUGAUUUCUUAAACUUGUAAGGCGAUUUUAUAAAGUUUUUUUUUUCUUUGUGAAACCUCUUUUUCUAUGUGAAAUUGUUUUGCCGAUUUGAAAUCUUCAUUAAAGGAAGUUACUAUUAUUUAUAAUUGAAAUUAGAGAAUGAAAUGUGGAAUCCCCAUGAUUUAGUUGCUUAAUUCAAGGAAUUUGAUUAAUUGAUUUUGGUAACUUGUCUCAUAAAAUUUUCUAACAAGAAUAUUUAUUUUUAAUCUCUUUUAUUUCAAUUGGAAUAUUUGUUUCCUUUGUAAAUUUGUCAAUAGAAUAUUUAUUUAUUUAUUUAAUUCUCUUUUGACUACAAUGAGAAGAUUUGAUUUUGUUUGUAAGACUAAAUUUUAUAACCUUUCAAAUUUGGCCAAGUGACACCUUUUGAAUAUAUGUCACAUGUCAAAUGUGUGUGACUCAUUAGUUGUUGAACCUAAAUUUUCUUGAAUUAGAAAGCUAUACUUUUGAAGACUAAUUUAGUGAUAAUUUAAUUCAUUAAAUUUUUUUGGUGUCUACAGUAUAUUUAUAAUAUGAAAAGUAAAUUAAAAUUUUAAUUUUUUUACUUGUUUAUUAUUUUAUUUAUUAUUUAAUGAUAAAUAUUUUUAUUCUUUAUUGAAAUAUAUAAAAUUUUAAUUAAUAUUUUAAUUUUUUUAAUUUCUAUAUAUAAAAUAUAUAGAUUUAUAUGGUCUAAUUGAGUCAUUAAAAUAAAUAGGGUAAAUAACUCACACAUAAGUGAUGGAUCAUUCUAACAUGAUUAAAUUAACAAGUUAGAUGAAUUGAGUAGUCAAAUACAAACAUGAUUUGUUUAUUAAAUAAGUUAUAUGAAUUGAUACGAUUAUGACAUCAACUCAAUUAAACUUAACUCAAAUAAGCUUUGUCUUUUAUUUUAAGUUGUCUAGUUGUUCACACAAAUUUUCUCAAAAUAAAGAAAUUAUAUAUAAAAUUGUAAAUUUGAUUAUUUGAGGGGACCAUUUUCAAUACUCUUUUUUAAGUAAUCUGGUGUUUAAUUUUGAAUCAAAGGGGCUUUCAUUAACAAAUAAUAGACUGUAGUUUUCAUAUAAGAAGAAAUCUCAAGCCUUUUUUUCUUGAAGGAAUCUUUAAAUUUUCUUUGAUACUUUAAAAAAUCAAUCUUCUUUGAUUUUUUAAGAAAUCUUUGAAUUUUCUUAAAGUCUUCAAAAAAAAAAAAAAAAAAAAAACUGAGUUUAAGGAAUUUUUUUAAUAACUCUCCAAAUUUCUUUGAUAUUCCAAAGUGUCCUUUAGAAGGGGACAAAUCCUCUAUUUACAGGAUUGAGAGUUUUAUUUUAAUAUUAUCUCUUAAUUUUUAAGAAAUAACUCUCUUAUUUAUGAUAAUUACUAUUUAUUUUAUUUAUCAUAAUUAGUUGCCUAUGAUAAUUAUCAUAAUUAAUUUUUCUAGAGAUAAAUAAUUAUAUAUAUUUAAUUAAUCAUGAUAACUAUAAUAUUUAUUUAAUUUUUUAUUAAAUUAUUUUACAUAACAUAUCAAUAUAUAUUAUUAGUCAAUUAUUAACACCGAAAAUUAAUGAGUUGGCAUAAAAUUUAUCUCUCUAUAAUAGUAUCAAAGCGAGCCUUAAUAAUAACAUUGCUUAUAGUCAAUUUCACAUGCCAACUUUUUACUGGGCAUUGGCGAUUUCAAUUUUGAUAGUCCGGUUAGAAAAAGUAGGUAAAGAUUAUUUGAUGUGGUAGGUCAUUUCUUUCAUAAAGACGAUGGCGGUGAAUUCAUGAGACAGGUGAUAAAGGAGAGAUUCUUUCUUUUGGCUUUGGAAUUUUAAUGAGGUCCUCGAUCCUCAUCCAAAAUACACCUCUCCAAUUAUAAAAAUCUUAUUAAAAAAAAAAAGAUUUGACAUGUGCCUUUCGAACUGCUGGUUUUCUGUUCCAAAAAUGAGAAUGGUUUCAAGUGGAUGAAGGAAGGUGAAGAACCCUUGGUUUUGUUAAGCGAAAAGCCACAUGAUUAAAUAAACAUAAGGCGGCAAAGGCUGAAAAUUUAAAAUUAUACUAAGGAACCCACCCCACAGGGCGACUACACUUUUGGUGAAGCCACGAGAAUGAAAGAUAUCGAAGGUGACACCAAGACAUUAAGCAGCACCAAGGUUUCGAUAUAUUAUAAGAUGGGAUCUUAUGAAAGACGAUCUCUAAUCUCUCUCCAAUCUCUUCUUUAACCUUUUCUUACUUAAAUCCAUUUCCAUGGUAGGGCACAUGUCCAGCUGACCCUACCCCCUCACCUACCUAUACUGCUAUACCCUUUUGUAUAAUUUGAUAUGGAUUGGAAGCCACCCCAACAUCUUUCUAAUUGCUCGUAAAUGUUGAGGUGCCUUUCCAUUUUGAGGCUGCCCUAAUGUGUGGCUGAAGUACGUAGGAAAAAAAAAUUGUGAUACAUGCACUGACGAAUCAAAUCCCAAUGUCAAAUUAUUAGACUCACCUGGUUCUUAAAUUAUUGUGAAUGCCGCUGGCCAUGGAUAAAUGGAAUUAGUGCGUGGCUUAAUGAAAAUUUAUUUUGAAAGGGAUAUUAAUUUGAGAGAAUUUUGGCUGAUACUUGGAGUUGAACGUAAGCAUAUAUGACCUCAUUUCGGGUGUGAUAUUGUGCUUAUAACGAACCUUUCGUUCUUUCCAAUUCCAGUGGGUAUUAAAUAAUUAAAGAAUUCAUGGUUCGAAGGCGAAAGGUAGAAGACCAAAAAGGGAUUACAAAGCCAUCGGCUUGACCAUCCAGAUGCAAUGGAUACAAACUUUGGACUCUAUCGAAAGUUCUUUGGGCACGUGCCCAAGUGUCCUACCCAUAUGAUAAGUUACACGUGGCUAAUUGCGGACCGGUUGCUCGUGCUAAACAGGGUACUUUUUCUACGCAUAUAAGAUGUUUCACUAGUGGGGCUUCACCAUGCAAACUCAUGGAUGAAGACCCUGAGGCCAAGAUGAAGGAACAGAAAGAAGGCGGAGGAGAGGUUCGGUAUCGAGGCGUUCGGAGGCGGCCAUGGGGGAAGUUUGCUGCGGAGAUACGUGACUCGACUAGGCAUGGAGCGCGCGUCUGGCUCGGGACUUUCAAUUCUGCGGAGGAGGCUGCAAGAGCAUAUGACCGAGCUGCUUAUGCCAUGAGGGGUUCCUUGGCGAUUCUCAACUUCCCUAAUGAGUAUCAUACACCCGGCACGGCUAGCUCUUCAGCUUCAUCCUCAAUGCCCGAAGGUGAUCAGCAGGGAAAACAAGUCAUUGAAUUGGAGUACUUGGAUGAUAAGCUGCUAGAGGAUCUUCUCGACUCUGAAGACAAAAAGAACAAGAAAACCUGAAGUUUCUGCUGCCUCGAAUCCCCUGAAAUCUAGUGCUUCAUCGAAAAAAAAUCCCCUCGCUCCUGAUUAACAACAUUUUUAUUUUAGUCAAUGAAUGUGUUCUCGGAUCAUUAUAAGUAUUUCUGCCGAAGUCCAUUGAUUUUUGGAGACUGAAAAAUGUCAGAAAAAUUGGUGCGAACAGGUUUACUCCUUUCUAAAUUAUGCAAUUGAAGUAUUUGGAUUAGUGCGCAGUGUAAACAUCAAGGAAAGCAUGAUCCACUAUUUUAAGGAGCCUAAGUGCUUUCCCCUUUACUCUUUUAGGAUGUCUUUUCAGUGAAGAAAGUUGGGAGACCACCACUUACCCUUUUGAUUGGUAUAUAACUGCCAACUAAUAACUGGACUAACAUUUGGCCCGUCUGGCCCUACUUCUUUGACUUUGUUGUUAAUUUAUAACUUUAUGUGAAGUGGGGGCUGUUUGGGAAUGUGUGAAGCAAGGAUUUGAGCCGACUUCGCCUAAUCUGAUUCUCCAUAAGUGACUUCAUUUUAUCAUAUUGGUGUUUUUUUUCUUCUUCUUUUUAAAUGGCUGGGGAGGAGGGGAUUUGGGAGGGAUGCAAUGCCAUGGUUGCAUGCUGGAUUAUCCUUCCAAAUGAAACAUCCAUUUGGUUUCUAGUAACUAAUUGCAAACAAUUAAAGAGAAUAAAAUUUUAAGAUGAUUAAACAAUAAGUACCUAUGUCCAUGAAAAGGAGAGAAGUUCACUCAUGGGUGUUCAUGAAAGACAUCACAAAGAACCAUCAAUAUGAGAAGAAUCCUGAUACAAUUAACUUUCAUGCAUAAGAAAAGACGCUCAAAAAAGAAUAAUGCUUACAAGGAAAGAAUCUCACUACGAUCAACUGAAAAAAUAUUCCAAUUUAAUUGGAAAUCCUUACAUGGGAAGAAUAUCAAUAAAAUCAACUAAAAAAAUAUUUUAAUUUUAUAUCAAAAUAUUUGUGAUUUAACCCGUAUCAUUUCAUCAUGACUUCUUAUAAAUUUUGUUCCUUUUUAUCAACACCACCCCUUGAGUUGGAGCAUAAAUAUUUAUUAAGCUAACUUGAACAAGAUCUUGAGAAAUUUUGUCGCAGGAUUUGUUUGCACUUUUUUUUUUCAAAUAAAGUCAUAAUUAACUUUAAUAUGUUUAAUCAUUUCAUGAAAUACUAGAUUUUAAGCAAUGUUGAUAGCAUACUUAUGCCUGAAAGCUUUAUCCCAAAUCACAUGAGUACAUGAAGUGAUUGCAUCAUUAAUGGUAGUAUUAUUACUUUAUAUUCAACUUCUCCACUUGAUAGGAUGCAUGAAAGCAUUGUGCUUUCUUCUGUUUCAAGUAAUAAAGAUUAUCACCAAGAAAGGUGCAAUUAAUACCUAGUAACAGAGUACCUAGUGGUAGCAUGCACCUAUCCACUGAACUUGUACUCGACUCUAUGAGUGUACGUUACAUAGUCCUUUUUUCGAAGUCUAAAUGUCCCUUGAUAAAACCUUCUAAUAUUUGAGGUUUUGGUAACAUUCAUGUAUCAAUGAACAAAUUAAUUUACUAGCUAAACUUUAAAAUUAGGCAAUGUUUUUCAAUGGGUGAUCAAGAUCUUGGAAUUUUCAAUGUUGUUUGAAUAGCUUCCACACACAAGCAUAUUUUCUCCUAUUUAGGAAUAAUCCCUUUUUUGAAGGUGUGAUCUUUAUGCUCAAAAAAUAAAGAUACUCAAAAAUUUAAUAUUGACCUUCUCGUGAAGGAAAAGCUUUAUAACUAAUUUUUUUUGUGCAUUAUAUAUAUCCUCAAUAUAGACUUUAAAAAAAAAAGAAGUAACUCCCUCUACAAAGAGUGAAGAGUCAAUUAAACUUUUUUUUUUUUAAAAAAAAGGAACCAAUUACUCGUAAAAGUAAUGAUUAUUUUUACAUACCAAACUUGAGGAGAUUACUUAAGAUCACAAAAGUUUUUAUUAAAUUGCAAGCUAGAUGCAUUUGAAACGAUCGUUGAUGUCUUAGCAACACCUUAUGUAACUCAUCAAUCUUUAUGUAAAAAUGCAUUUUUAACACCCAUAUAAAAUAAUGAUCAAUCCUAAUUUAAUAGAAACAAAUGGUAAUACAUGAAUAUCAUUCAUAUUAAUGAGAAAAGUAAAUAUUGAUUUAUAAUCAACUUCUUAAGUUUGUGUCAAUGCCUUAAUCAUUAGUUUAACUUUGUCAUUCAAUGAUACCAUCAUUACGACAUUUAAUUAACUUAGAUUUGCGUAAAUCCCUUAAUCACUAGUCUAGCUUUAUGUCAUUCAAUGGUACCAUCAUUAUGGUAUUUAAUUGAUCUUAUACCCCCAAUUUGUAUACCCCAUGUUUUUCUUAAUUUACCAUACAUCACUUAACAAUGUUCCAUGCAUGGAUUUUGUUAAGUGCCUUAAGUUCCUUUUGCAUAGCCUUUCUCCAAAUUGGAUGAGGAUUGGCUUCAUUAAUGUCAUUAGACUCAUGAUAUAUGGAACUCAAACAAUUGUUAAGUGAUUUUGUAUAUAUAUAAAAAAAAAAUUGUAAUUAAUGUGGUAGGCAUAAAAAUCUCACAAAUGAGGAUUGAUUAAUUGUUAUAAUUGAGCAACAUGCUUGAGGCUUAGUCACAAUACUAGAACUUGAAGUCAGACAUUCUCUUCAAAUAAGGACGUAUAUACAUUAUAUUGGAUCUCCAUUAAACAAGUAAAGAACUAUUUAGUAGACAAUGAAACCUCAUUGAUCAAUGGUGGUAGAGAGACACAUGAUGACCAGACUAUUCCCCUGGAAAUGAGAAUAAAAAAUAUCAUUAGCCGCAAAAAUCUCAAAAAAAUUUAGAUAAUGGGAUAUAAAGAGUUUAUGAAUUUUACAAUCAUAACUCUUAUACUGGUUUAAGUGGUAGAGUAAUCAAGAACACAAAACGAGUUUGAUGAGUGGUUGAGAUAUGAACAAAGCAAAGAUUUCCAAAGACACCAAAAUCAGAAAUCUCAAUUUUUGGGCUAAGGAUUUCAAGAAGAAAUUUAAAAUUAACUACAUGACUAGAAAAUUUGUUCAUCAAGGAAAUAGAAGUAACGAUAUCAUAACAUCAUAAUUAAUCAAUAUUUUUAAUAACAUGCAUUUGGAACAUGAUAUACCGGCUUUCUAAUAAUCAAUGAUUUUUGGUUCAACCACACCAUUUUGUUUUGGGAUGCCAAUACAACAAGUUUAACGAANNNNNNNNNNNNNNNNNNNNNNNNNNNNNNNNNNNNNNNNNNNNNNNNNNNNNNNNNNNNNNNNNNNNNNNNNNNNNNNNNNNNNNNNNNNNNNNNNNNNAUGUAAGUGCCAAAUUAGGUAGUGUCGACAAUGAAAUGGAAAUUUUGGAAUAUAGAAACAACCUCAUUUUUAUGUUCUAAUAAGUAAACCUAUGUAGCAUAAGAAUAGUCAUUAAAAAAAAAGGUAACAAAAUGUUGAUUUCCAUCCUAUGGAUCAAUUAGGACACAACCCCAAGGUAAACUAAUUUGAAAGUUGCAACAAAAAUGGAAAGAGAUGAAAAAAUAAUAGAGGAAUUUAAGGUUGUUUCAAAAUUUCAAGACAUGCUAAGAAACACAUGAGAUUAUAGAUGAUUAGGUAACAACCUUGGUUAAGUAUAUUCAACAUAUAUAUCCCACGAGGAUAAAUAUCUUCACUAAACUUUUCCUAUUAUUCAAUCCCCUAAUACCAUACAAGUGAAAAAUUAAUGUCACGGUCAAAAAUUUUAAUAAGCUUCCAAAGAGAUAAUAAUUUUGGGGAAAAAAACAACCUAAGAAACCUAUGAAUUGAGAUAAUUUAGGAAAAAACUAAAUGUUCGUUAGCUCUAGAAGGGAAUUGAAGCUCAUCAUCAAUAAAGAUUGUUGCUAUCUCGAAUAAUAUCAAGUAAACCAUUAAGAUCGCUAUUAAUGGUAUGAUUAGCAGCACCAAUUAUCGACAAAAAAAUUAUUAAAAAUAUAAGAAAUGAGAGCUUUAAGAUUAUCUAAUUGAUUUGUAAACCUAGGUAAGUGAAUCAGUAUUACGUUUUGUUAAGGAAGCUUAGAUCCAAUUGGUAUCAUUCACCAAGUUAUUGGAUUAAAUUACACUAUCAAACUUUGGCUUUAAAUGAGAAUGAAGAAUCUAACCACAAUCCUUAUUGGGAUUAGAUAUGUUAUUGCAAUAAUGUUUACAAUCGGAUGAGUGCUAAUUUCUAUUGAAAUCAUGAAGCAAUCUCUGAUCAUUGGUCUUCUUUGUAGAAACAUGAGCAUUGAAUUUAAAAUUAAUAAUUGUUACUUGGGAUUCAACCUUCAUAAUCAUUGCCUGGGUUUCCUAAUCACUUUCAAGAAUUACUUAUAUAGUGAAGGCACUCGAAACUAAUCAAAUUUGUCCUCUUAUAAAGUUGUCAUAUUCAAGCUUCAGAAUAGCCAAUAAUUGAAAAACUUAUCAUACUCCGCAAUUUGUUGAAGAAUAUUUGGGUCUAUUGAAGGGGACAAUAUAGGGAAUAUUUGUCCCAUAUGCUCAAAAUGUUCAAUUAACAAAGUGUUCUGUAUGUUUAGGGAUUUGUUAGCUUUAAUUACACAAAACAUUAGCAGUUUUAGAGAAAAUUAAUUUUUUUUUGCAAUCUUAGGUUCCAUGAAAUUAAAAAGCCAAUAACAAGUCAAUAUGGCUUGAGACCCAGUCAUCAUAUUCAAAGUCAUCCAACUUAGAAGCAUUCAUUUUGCCACUAACAUGUGCUAAUUUCCAUUUUCUAUCUUUCAAGAGAAAAAGACUGCUCUUAACCAUGGCAAAUAAUUGAACCCAUUAAGAAGAUUGAGGAAAGUAUCAUAUGAGGGUUGUCAUUUUCCUCCAUGACAAAGAAAAAGCAACAGAGAAAAACUCAUAAUAUUAGAAAGAGAAUGAAAGAAAUUGAGUCAUAGAUACACACAGAAGAAUCCAAAAAUAAAGCAAUAAUACAACCACAAAUAUGAGAAGAAGCUCAAUUACAAAGAAAGGAACUCAAUACAAUCAACUAAAAAGCGUUCCGAAGUUCAUACGAAAAUAUUCAUAAUGUGAAGAUCAUUUCAUGAUUCCUACAAUUUCUUCCUUCUACCAGUCCACUCCAUACAAGGUUUGAUCAACAACUUCUUCAUUGAUUUUCUGGUCUCUCUCCGGUGUAUCAUAGAGCAUUUUUGACAUGUUUCUGCAAGAUACACUUGUUAACUUUAAGCGACAUAAGUGCAAAAAAAUAAGAUCAUGUUGUAUUGCCUGUGCUUCCACUCUGCCUUGUUUAGUACUAUUAUGGAGCAGUACUUCCAUAUAGAACCAGUGAUCUCCAGUUCAUUAUGUUGCCUUCUUUAAACUAACUUUAAUUAUCUAUACAUAUAAAACAAAGUGGUCCCAUCAAGGGGCUAAAUCAAGAAUCAAGUGGGGCGAACAGGAAACAGUGGCAUCAAUUUUUAAGUCCAUAAGCUUUAAUAAAAGGAAUAAAACCAAGGAUAUGAAUAUGUUAUUUUUUCAUUUGUUCAUGCACUGGAAGAUCUUUCCUCUUCAAGCAUUGAACCAGCAUCCUUCUGUGCAAGUUGCUGUCGGAACCUUCUAUAAUUGUCAGAAGUCUGUUUCUGAAAUAUACAGAUAAAACUUUUAGCAAGUCUUGACAUUGCUCAUCACUAGGACAUUGUACUAGGAUACCAAUUCAUCUAAUUAGGGUUAAGUUGGCAUCUCGUACACUAUUUUUUAUUUUUCCUUCAUCUUUUGUUCCCAUUUGCAGUGGAAGUGGCACUUAGAAUAUCUGAUCAUGAAGAAUUAGCUUUCGGUGAGAUGAUACUAGGUCAAUUGCCAUUAUCUUUUUGAGUUACUGUGCGAGCAAUCUUGAAAAUAUUUUGGGAUAAAUAGAAUUUGUGCUUAUCAUAAACAUGCUAAACAUCCAAAUCAAGUGCUUUUACUAUUGAUAUCAAAUCAGUAAUUGAUUUUAACCUUUAUGCUUAUCUUUCAGAUUCUCAAUUAUGUAUCUUGAAUAAUGAUAUUAAGCAGAAAUCAUGAAUUGAAUUGCUUUAAUUAACUGUGCCUUAUCAAGCUUGUCAGCAGUGCUAUUGCUACCGCGAAUCAAAUUCGCUGUGCUUCCCGCCUUCUCCAAAUAAGCCACAAGCCCAAUUAUAUCCGCCCUCCUCCCAUCUCCAAGGGAUCAAAAAAUAAAAUGACUUCAAUCAAUUUUCAAGUUUUCCAUCUUGAUCAGUAGACCACCCGGCAUGAAUGUUACCCUCAGUUUAGGAAUAGGAAUUCCUUUUACUAAUCAUUUGGCACUAAAAACUAUGACCCCUAGCAAUUCAUUCCCUCCAUUAGAUAUCUGGGGGCAUCUUGGCUCAGCCAAAAAUGAUAAGUCAUUGCAUUUCACAUUGCAUUCAUUUGUAUUAAUGAGCUAAUUUUUUUUCACAGAAUGUGAUGUGAAUCGAAUUACUUCCAACCAUGUGUCUCUAUAAGGGUUUAACAAAUGUAAUUUGCAUUGUCUGUACACUUUUUUUUCGGUUUCUUUUCUUUUUUAUGCAUGAUUCAUUAGUCCACGGAUCUUCUAUGCAAAGUGUGCAGGCCAAACACCUCCUUCAAUGCAUUAUUCUAGAAGUUAAGACUCAGUUUACUCCUUAAUUGAUCUGUUCCAUUUACUUCAAAUCAUUUGAUUACAUUAAAUGAAUCUUGAAAUUCAAAAAUGCAUCAAAGUUAAAAGACCUUCCAAUGCAUUAAGAAAUCAUCUGAUACAAAUAUAUGUGAACCUGCAACAACAAUAAUGUCAAAAUGGAAAACUUAGGUAGAAAAUAUUAGAACGGAAACUUACGACGAACUCAAUUUUUGGCGCCUUUCUUCUUCUCAUCUUCUGAUCCAAGAAGCUCUUCCAACACCGUGUCAUCCAAACACUCGAACUCAAUGACUUGCUUUUCUUGCCCAGAAGAGGAACCUCCCAUCUCUAAACUCCUACAAGGCCCAGAAGAUGACGAGGAAGACGAUGAGGAUGGUGAUGGUGGGGGGCGAUGGGAGCCCAUGAUUUCAGAAUAGUACUCAUUAGGAAAGUUAAGAAUGGCAAGAUGACCCCUUAAGUUAAAGGCCGCUCGAUCAUAGGCGCGAGCUGCAUCCUCCGCCCUGUCAAAUGUGCCUAGCCAUAGACGAGCACCUUGCCUAGACGGAUCCCUAAUCUCGGCUGCAAACUUCCCCCAUGGCCUCCUCCUCACCCCUCGGUAUCGAACUUCUUCCUUUUCCUUCCCUUCCUGCUCCUGCUUCUCAUUCCCUUUCGAAUGAUCUUCCAUGCUAAACGUGUCGAUUUGCUAGGCGCAAUUUUUUUGGUUUCAAAUGUGCUGGUUUACGAGAGGCAUGGAUGCUUAUGUAUAUAUAUGGUUGCCACAGUCAGGUCUGACGUCACCGCUCAAUGUAUGUUCCACAGCGUGGGUUGACGAGCUUUCUGAGGGGGUUUCCUCGAAUUCAAAGCAAGUAUAAAAAUUCGAUUCUCCGACCUUUCCAAUGAGGAUCGAACAGGCCUUUUAUUAGAACCGUAUGAUAACUCCACACUGUUUUCAAAUAGUCAAUGUGAUCUAGAUUCUUCGUUAAUUUUUUCCACCUGACUGAUUGUUUACAAUUUUAUUUUUCACCGUCCCAAAUUUAAACCAUUUACGCGAUUCCCUGGAUUGCAUUUUUCUUUAAUGUUGACUUUACGAGGCAAUAGGACCCCCCAGCAACCCCACUAGGGCGACUUCAUGGGAACCAGAUUACUUUUGGAUCCAGAUAUGGUCCAGAAGAAAUAAGACAAAUCAAUUAAUGUCCACUAAAGUUUUGAUGGAACCCUUAGUCCGUGUUUCCUGUGGAUGUAUGUAUUGUAUGCACCUCAAUUUUCACCAAUCCCUGCUACGAGUCCCUUUAAUUUUGACGUUAUAAAUGUUUUUCCUGACAUUAGCAGAGUGUUUUUCUGCCGUCUUUGAGGACCUUCCACGGCCCAUAAACUAAUAAGGAUCGUCCAGUGAAUUUAGUCUUCCCCAGUUAAUUAUCCUGCGAGGGAAACUUGGGCAGUAAGUUGCCUACAUGAGUGGCUCCCGCCUACAUGAGUCAAGGGACCAUACGUCAGGACGACAACCAGUGUGGUCACACCAAAGUGGGUUGCCUGGACUCCAGGGUGGUCGCUUCAAAGUUGUCAAAUGAAGGCUAGCUUGGCAAGUUUUGGAAAACAAUUAUUGAAAAACAUUUUUCAUGAAUAACAGUUUCUAUGAACAGAUUUUAAGAAAGUUUAUUUUGUGAUUUUUAGGAAUAUUUUUAAUUUAAAUUUUUAUAUUUUUAAUUUUUUAUUAAUUUAUUGAUUAUUUAAUAUUAGCUUAAUUAAUGGAUUUUUCUUGGUCCCAAAUUAUUAAUUUAUCAAGAUUUAAUCGCAUCCAUAAUUAGUCUAAUUUCUUUUGGAGUGAGUGUGACAAAGUGCAAAUUUCUAGAGUUUUAUUAAUGUUAUUCAAUGUCAUAAUUUAACUAAUUAUAUUAAUUAUUUAUUAAUCAAAAUAAAUCAUUCACUUGAAAUAUGAUAAUUUAAAUUAAAAGUUUCAAUUAUUUAUUAAUUAGCAAAGUAUGAACUUUUCUUCUUGUUUUAUUAUUGUUAUUCCAUGUAUAUAAUUUAAUUAACUGUUUCCAAUAUUAAUCAAUAAAAAUAGAAUAUAAGCAUGAGAAGAAUUAGUAAAAUUCAUUGAUUUGGAAUUAGAUAGCUAGAGGAAGAACUUCAUCAUCUUCCCAUUACUUAAAUUUGUAUAAAUUCUAAAUAUUUAAACCCCCCCCCCCCCCCCCCCCCCCAAAAAAAAAAAAAAUGGUAAAGAAAGACUCCCCAAGCUUUCUUGGUUGGUGUUACCCUAAAAUUUGUACAAUAAGAUGAACCAUUUGGCUUAAAGCUUGGUGCGAAACCCCUUAUCAAUUGAAAAUAUCAAUGAAGUUGUUGAAUGGUUUUAGAGGACUAUUCUUAUGCAGAGUGGCAUAAGAAGCGAGGAGAUGAAGAGCGGAGAGACGUUAACAUCGGAUGCUGCUACGAAGGUGGGAAUACGGUUAAUUAAUUAGAUUUUGUGAUGGCUUUGAGUUUGAAGGAGUUAGUUUAAUGGGUAUUAUUAGUGAACUGAUAAUUGGAUUUGAUGUAAAGAAGGUUGGUCCAUUGGAUUAGCAAUUGGUUUGGCCUUUUGGGGGCCCCAUUUCCAAAUGCAUUGCCUUUUACAAGCAUUCAACAUCGCUGGACGUAACCAGGCUUGGUUCACCUAAAAGUAUCGCAUGGAUUGAAUUGACUAAGUUUUCAUUGUAGACUAGCCUUGAUUUUCCCUUGACCUGCCCACCAAAUCCUGAUGCCCACGCGAGGGAAUACCUCAAUUUUCUAAUAAUUUAUGCAGUUUCUCUUCAAAGCUCGUGUGAUCACUUGGGUCGGUAAAAUAAUGCAUUCCUCUACUUUUUCUCCCUUCCUAGAUGCAUGUUAUACCAUUAAUUCAAAUGUGAACAUGGGCUUGGCUUUGAAACUUGGUUCAAGGCCCAACAUGUUGACCCACAAUUGAGGUGUAAUUGAAUUUGUACACUUUUCGACUUUGAUACCAUUUGUCAUUACCAUUGACAUUGGGUCAUUGUUGAUUUUGAGUCCACAACUUUUAAGGUUGUUAUUACAAUUUUAAAUUGCGCCCACCCAAUUUAUAUGCAUUAUCCCUUAUAAAUACCGAUAACCUCUCUUUCUUCGAUAAUAUAAAAUGUCACAUAUAUUAUAUAUCUCAAUGUUUUCUUUUACUUUUUUUUUUUUUAUCGAUCGACAUUCUCUCUCAGAUGAUAUGAGAUGUCACAUAUAUUAUAUGUUUCAAUGUUUCUUUUACUUUUUCUCUUUUUCCUCAUGAUUGACAUUGUCUUUCUCAAAUGAUAUGAGUUGUCACAUAUAUUUUAUGUCUCAAUGUUUUCUUUAACUUUUUUUCUCUCUUCUUUAAUGAUCGACGUUCCUUUUCUCAGAUGAUAUGAAAUGUCAUAUAUAUUAUAUGGCUUAAUGUUUUCUUUUACUUAUUCUUUCUUUAUUAAUAAUCGACAUUUUAAGCAAUAUGUGAAUAUAAAGCAUUAAAAUUAUCUCCAUCGUUUUUGGAUGUGGUAUAAAUACACAAUUCUUAUUUUUGUUUUAAAUAUUUCUAUUGCUAUCUAUUGAAAUUUUAUGCAUGAAGCUACCAAGUUAAUUAUACAUAUAUCUUAAGAUUUUUUUUUUUUUUUUUUAUAGGAUAUAUUGUCCAUGAAUAUUUUCUGCAAUGGUAUCUUGUUUGAUUACUAUAAGAAAUAAUAUAUAUAUAUAUAUAUAUAUAUAUAUAUAUAUAUAUAUAUAUAUAUAUAUAUAUUAUAUUUCAAUGUUUCAUAUUUGCUUAAAAUAAAAAUUAUAUUUUAUCACAAUAUUUGGUAUUAAAAAAAAUGAAAUCUCUCUCAUUUAUUAUUACAAAAAAAUUAUAAUUUAUAAUUUUCUAAAUAAGUUUUAUUUAUUUGCUAACUAUAUUCAUGAUUAAAAGAUUUAAAAUUUAUAAAUAAAAAAUAUUAUGUCAUGUCAUUAAAUAAAUAAAAAUAUAUGUAUAUAUUAAAAUUAUGUUUUAUUGUAGCUUUUAAUAUUUUUUUUUUUAUUCUUUUCUUUUUUGAACUACAAUUUUAAUUUUUUUUAAUCAAAAUUUUUUAAUUUACAAAACGAGUAACAUAAAACUUGCCUUUGAACUUUAUUGGAAUGUUAUAUACUACCAUUUGGCUUUCAAGACAUUAGAAAAGGCAUAAGUGUCCCUUUUAUUUUUCCGAAAGGCAUAUUAGACUAUAGUAGGAAGUGUUGUAUAGAGGCAACUAAAAGUUGCCUUUAACUUUAUGAAGUCAUAUACUCCUCUUUGGCUUUGAUGACAUCAACUAGCAAAUUGGAUUUUGUUUCCUUUGCAACAUUUUUCCAUCCAUUAGCCAGUUUUUUUAUACUGUUUGGUGCUUGCCAACAUGGCACACACUAUGGUUCUUAAAAAGUAUUUUUUUUUUUAAGAUACUACGAAAUAAAAUACACGAUUGAAAGAUGAGUCACAAUAAUUUUCAAAACUAAAUUUUUUAAUAUUGUUAAGAAAAUUUGACCACCAAAUGAUUGAUUUUAAAUUACAAAUACUUUUGUUAGCUAAGAAAUUUGUUGUUCUAUUUGUUUCCCUAUAAAUAUGACAACAAUCAUAAAUAUUUUCAUUUUAAGAUAAUUUUCAAAUAUCUUCCAUUAAUAAUAUAAUAGAAUUAGGAAUUUUUUUUUUAGUUAUAACAAUCUAUAAUUAUUUAAGAGUCUUCCUCAAUCUCUAGGUUUAAGAACUUAUUGUUCUUAACAACUAACAUGUCAUCUCUUAAAAUAAUACAUUCUGCAAUAAUUAUUGAAAUAUGAUAUAAUAUAUAUAUCUACUUACAACCAUUUUUGUAGUACCAUUAGAAUUUUUAAUUACCCAUUCUAAAGUAUUUUUAUUCUCUAUUCUUAAACCAUCAAAAUUUAAUUUAAAUCUUUCAUUAAUUGGAUAAAUCCAAUGAAUCUAACAAGUUAAAGGAUUAUGAAUCCGACAAAACAGUUGAUAAUAAAUUAAUAAUGCCAUUAAUAUGAUUUUAAUGUGAAACACAAUUAUCACAUUUAAUACAGUUAGUCCUUGUAUGAUUAAUGUUUUGGAAGCUAAAAUCAAUCUUUUGACUAUAAUAAGAGUUUCUACUAUUUCUAUUUUUGGAUGAUUUUAUAUUUUUCUUAUUGUUUUAGUUUAAUACAAAAAAUAAAAAUAAAAUUACAUUAGUAGAAUUUUUUUAACUUACUCAAAAACCUAUUUUAGUUGAAUGAUUUUUUUAAAAAAAAUAUAAAUAUUUUGUUAAAAGGGAUAAAAUAACCUUACCUUGUGAAAAAGACCUCUUCACCCAAGAUUACUUGUUCAUAAUCCUUUUAAGACGAAAAUGCCCCCUUCCUAAAAAAUAUUUCAUCUUAAACUUAUUUUUCUUUUUAUUGCCCUUUGUUCCAUCCUUCCGGCUUGGGAGAGAAAUUCAUUCUUCUUUUGCGAAGAAAAAUUCCUAUUGCGAUUUUUCAUUUCAAGUGGAAAAAAAAAUUCUUAUUUCAUUUUAAAGAAAUUGUACAUUUUCAAUCUUUCUCUUUGUUCCUAGUUGAGGGUUUUUUUUGUAAUUUUAUCUUAACACUACAAAUUUAAAGGUGAGAUUAAAUCUUAAUGGUUAUUAGUUAAAUCACAUAUCUAACUUUGUUUUUGUCAGGACCUAUAAUAUGAUUGGAACCACCAUCCAAACUUCAUUAGGUGGGAUACUCCCCACCCUCCCCCUCCCCCCGCGAAAUCCUUGGAUUUUAGUUUUGACUUGGAUUUCAAUUGCCCGUAUCAAUUUUUCUUUAUUUAUUAAUUUAUUAAUUUUCAACUUUAACAAAAGCCUUGAAUCAUAUUUAAAUUCAAAUAACUUAAUCCUAAUUAAGUUCUUUUUAAAUAAAAAUUAAUCAUUGAAAAGUUCAUGUGACUAUUAUAAUUGAGAAUUUAUCCCAAGUUGGGUUUUUUGCAAAUAAAAUUUUAUUAUAGGACAUCAUGAUGCAACAUAACAUAAGGUUGUUACUUAAGUUUGUUUUGACCUUGUAAUAUGUUAAAAUGAAAAUGAAGCCAUUGUAACAGGAGAGAAUGAUGAAGCUGUGGAGAGAGCUUAACAAAGCUUGGGUUGGAGAGACUUCACAGGAAGAGAGAGAGAGAAAUAAAGGGUAAAAUUAUCAAAAGAGAAAAGAAAAAAAAAAAAAAAAAAGAAGGUUAUGUCUUCAAAUAAUCAAUAAGAGAUGUCAUUUUUCUAAUUUUCAAAGUUCUUUUGGUCCUUCUCUACAAAUAUCCCUAUAAAAAUAUUAUAAUAUCAAGUUAAUUUGUCAAUACCAAAAUUUAUAUUUUAUAUUAGGGCGACUAAAUAACAUAUAGAAAGAAUUUUAAAUGAGUAAAUCAAAUCAAUUUUGAAACCAAAACUUAAUAAUUACCAAACUUGUAAUCUUAGUCAUUAAAAGUGUACGAUGAAAUCUAAAUUAUUAAGCAAUGAAACAAAAAAUUAAGAUUAAAAUACAAAACGUUAAAAUCAAGAUACAAACUAUUAAAAUGUAAGUGGGAUAUGAGAUGAUAUUAUAAAAAAUAGUGUGAUCCAACAAAAAGUCUAGUACAUCAUUAUCUUCACUUCCAACCAUGUUUAAAAGGUCACAAGUUCUAGCGGUUUCCAAGGACAAUGUUAAAAAUAAUAAAAAUAAAUCCAAUUAAAUAUUAAUUAAUUUAUUUGAAUUUGAGUCCGACAAAAUAGUUGGUAAUAAGUUAAUAAUGCCAUUAAUAUGAUUUUAAUGUGAAACACAAUUAUCACAUUUAAUACCCGUUAGUCCUUGUAUGAUUAACUUUUUAGAAAUUAAUAUCAAUCUUUUGAUUAUAAUAAGAGUUUCUACUAUUUAUAUUUUUGGAUGAUUUUAUAUUUUUCUUAUUGUUUUAGUUUAAUACAAAAAAAUAAAAAUAAAAUUACAUUAGUAGAAUUUUUUUUAACUUAUUCAAAAAACCUAUUGUAAGGUGAAUGGUUUUUUUAUUUUUUUUUUAAAUAUAAAUAUUUUCUUAAAAGGGAUAAAAUAACCUUACCUUGUGAAAAAAGGCCUCUUCACCCAAAUUUACUUGUGCAUAAUCCUUUUCAGACGAAAAUGCCCCCUUCCUAAAAAAUAUUUCAUCUUAAACUUAUUUUUCAUUUUUAUAACCCUUUGUUCCAUCCUUAUGAUUUGGGAGAGGAAGUCAUUCUUCUCUUGUGAAGAAAAAAUUCCUACUGCCAUUUUUCAUUUCAAGUGAAGAAAAAUAUUUAUAUUUCAUUUUAAACAAAUUGUACAUUUUCAAUCUCUCUUUGUUCCUAGUUGAGGUUUUUUUUUUUUUUUUUUUUUUUUGUAAUUUUAUCUUAAUUGUACAAAUUCGAAGAUGAGAUUAAAUCUAUAAUGGUUAUUGGUUAAAUCACUUAUCUAACUUUGUUCUUGACAGAUCGUAUAAUAUGAUUGGAACCACCAUCCUAACUUUAUUAGGUGGGAUCCCUUUUUUUUUUUCCCCAAACCCUUGGAUUUUAGUUUUGACUUAUAUUUCAAUUGUCUGUAUCACUUUUUCUUUAUUUAUUAAUUUUCAACAAGUUCUUUAACAAAAGCCUUGAAUCAUAUUUAAAUUCAAAUAACUUAAUCCCCAUUAAGUUCUUUUUAAAUGAAACUUAAUCAUGUGAAAGUUCAUGUGACUAUUAUAAUUGAGAAUUUAUUCUUAGUUGGGUUUUUUGUAAAUAAAAUUUAGUUAUAGGACUGUGAUGAUCCGUUCUCAACCGUAUAAAUAUUGUUCGUUUUGAAUUCAAAAUAACUUUUACGGCUUUAAAACAUGUUUACAAGAUUAAGAGGAGUCCAUAUUUAUAUAGCUUCACGAACUUUCCCCCCUAUUCGAUGUGGGAUGUCACAAGGACAUCAUGAUGCAACGUAUAACAUAAGAUUGUUUCUUAAGUUUGUCUAACCUUGUAAUGUGUUAAAAUGAAGAUGAAGCCAUUAUAACAGAAGAGAAUGAUGAAGUUGUAGAGAGAGCUUAACAAAGCUUGGGUUGGAGAGACUUCAUAGGAAGAGAGAGAGAGAGAGAGAGAGAAAUAAAGGGUAAAAUUAUCAAAAAAGAAAAAAGAAAAAAAAGAGGGUGAUGUCUCCAAAUAAUCAAUAAGAGAUGUCAUUUUUCUAAUUUCAAAGUUCUUCUGGCCCUUCUCUACAAAUAUCCCUAUAAAAACAUUAUAAUAUCAAGUUAAUUUGUUGAUACCAAAAUUUAUAUAUUAUAUUAGGAUGACUAAAUAACAUAUAGAAAGAAUUUUAAAUGAGUAAAUCAAAUCAAUUUUGAAAUCAAAACUUAAUACCUACCAAACUUGUAAUCUUAGUCAUUUAAAGUGUUCCAUGAAAUCUAAAUUAUUAAGCAGUGAAACAAAAAAUAUAAGAUUAAAAUACAAAACGUUGAAAUCAAGAUUCAAACUAUUAAAACGUAAGUGGAGACGUAAGAUGAUGUCAUAAAAAAUAGUGGGAUCCAACAAAAAGUCUAUUAAUCAUUAUCUUCACUUCCAAUCAUGUUUAAAAGGUCACAAGUUCUAGCGGCUUUCAAGGACGAUGUUAAAAAUAAUAAAAAUAAAUCCAAUUAAAUAUUAAUUAAUUUAUUUGAACAAUAGAUAGGACCAAAAUAAUAUUCUAAAAGGAAUCAUAGGGAAGUCCUUGGACAACCUACGACAUUGAACAAAGGUACAGUGAGACAAUGCACUUAGCCCUUCCUUGUCAUUGCGAUGAAUAUAAAAAGACACCCUGAUUGAGGGUGCCCCACUAAGCCAAGAGUGAUUCUUUUGUAUUGUAUAACGUGAAUAUUUUUGAACUUUGAAUGACCCUUCCUAUAGUCAUCAUUGUCAAAACUAGAAAAUCAGAAAGAUGCGAUGUACGAAGGCACCAUUGAAUAAGAGGCUUAAUUCUCUUUGGCAAUUAGGAUAAAGUUUCAAAAUAGAAAAAUUAAACAAAUGUACAGUGUACGGACACUUGGGCAUUGCCUAUUUGUUUUGUUCUUCUAGAGUUGUAUAUGGUAAAGGUCAUAUUGGGUUGGUUCUAUUUGGUUAUUGAAGUCGGCUAGAAUAUUAGAUUUGGUUUCAAUCUAAUCCCAUAUGAUAUUAGAAUACCAGCCCAUACAGAAUUUUUGACCAAAUAUAAUAUUUCUUUUAAAUAUAAAUAUAGUAAUUAAUUUUAGUCUAAGAUUAAUUAUGUAGUUUCCUAAAGAGACCACUUCCUAAACGGUAGCUAUGUGGAAGUUGGGCCAGGUCCUGCCGAGAAGGUUUCCACGAGCUGAGCCCAAAACUGAGUAGCUGUGAUGGGAUCAUUCUAGCAUUCAGCCUGAAACUUGUAACAUAACGGAUCGAGAGGCCUGAACUCCAAGACCAUGGUUCGUCAGCCCAUUAACUUCAACAGCACGCAUUUUAGAGGACUGGGCUUGCAAGGGGUGAGGUUUCCGGGCCGCGACCCCAAAUAUGAACAGCCUCAGAAGUGAUAUUGCUUACUGGCACGUGAAGAGCGCAAGCGUAACUAGAAGAUUUGUAAUGCCGCUUUAAUUGUUUGAUUAUAGAAUCCCACGCAUUACGCAUGGAAAGUGUAAAAGAUAAAAGAUGUAGAAUUUUUUCUUAGAGAAAAGUUCGUUUGGAUAUAGUUAUUGUUUUUUUUUUAAAUAAUAAUUGUUUUUUUUAUAAAUUAUAGAUAAUCUUAGAAAUUUAUCUUUAAAAAAAUAGUUUUUAAAAAUAUUUAAGGAGAAUAAAAGUGAUAAAAAAAAACUUUACAAUUUCAAAUUUUUAAAAAAUGAAAAUUAUUUUUAAGAAUAUAAGUUAAUCUCCUGCAUUUAAAUCUUAGGUGGUUUUUGUUUUUUUUACUUUUCGCUGAAAACAAUUUGUUUUCAAAAUUUAGGUCAUUUGUUUUUUCUAUUUUUUCAUGAUUUAUUAUAAAUUUUUUACUAAAUAAAAAAAAUCAAAAUAUGUAACUUUUUCUAAAUAAAAAAAAUAACGUAUUGAUUUUUCUUUACUUUUUAAUACUUAAUAGAUAUAAAAUACUACAAAAACAAAAAAUCUAAUAUUUAACACUAUUAAGCAUUAAAGUUCUAUUUAGAAUUAAGUAAAAAAACAAACACCACCUUAUAUUUUAUAUAAAAGUUACUUAUAUUUUGGUUUUUGGAAAUAAAAAAUAUAAAGCAUAUCCAAACAUGAGCUUAGCUAUUUUAAAUCAUAUCAAAAUAAUAAUCCCAAUAAGGUAAAUGGACUUUUAUACGGAGAAUAAUCUUUAAGGUUUUCAUUUUUAUUGGAUUUUUUUUUUGUGGUGUUUUUUCAAUCCAUCUUCUCAAUUAAUUCCUUAAAAUUAUUUUACUGUUUUUUUUUUUUUCAGUUUCUAAAUAUUUGAUUUUUCCAAAAUGCUUAAAUGGAAGACACUAAUUUUUCAAGAUAUUUGGUAUUACAAUUUUCCCUGUUCUCCCUAUUAUCUAUCAGAUUCAUGGCCCUUUUGUUUUUUCAUUGGUUUUCAAUUUAAUUUUCCAAAUAUUACAUUGUUGUGUUUUGAAUUUGUGAAACCAAUUUUAUAUAUAUAUAUAGUAUGUAAGUCUACUUUGGGUAACAUGUACAGAGAGGUUUUCAUGUGUUUGAAACCUUUUACCUCAAAAAUUAAUUAUUUUUAAUUUUAUAAUAAAUCUUUUUUUAUUUUUUAUUUUAUUUAGGAAAGCCUAUAUUUAAACUACAUGUUUGCAACGCAACACCAUACAUACUCCUAGUGGAACUUACCUUAGUGCUUGAGGGGGAUGCAGAUCUUCUUCUAAACCUAACUAAUAAGCAUAAAAUUGUUCACUAAUUAGCAUAUCUAGUAAAUCAUACAAAUUGGCAAUAUUUCAUGUUUUUCAUGUUUUGUCAAUAAAAGGCGUCUUGACCAUUUUGUGAGUUUUGUAAUAAAUAAAAAAAAAAAAAAAAAAAGGGCAAAAGGUGACUAAAAUGAGGCACUUUGGAAAGGUUAAUAACCUAAAAGGAAGAUGAAUUAAUACCCCCUUAUUCCUCUUCAAAAACCAUUGAGAAAAUGCAAGAAAUGCUCUUAGUUGUAUGCUAGGCUAACAGCCUAGCAACCAUAAUACCCUUCUUUGCAAUUGUAAGCAUUUUUUUUUUUUUUUUGAAGGCCAAACAACGUUGCAAACUUCCCAAAUCCCUUCUUUAUUUUUUAUUUUUUUAUUUUUGUUUUUAGAAGGAGAAUGAAUUUGAUGACAAACUCCUUGUCAAUCUUAUCCAAACCACGAUCGAACAGAACUCCUUGUCAAUCUUAUCCAAACCGUGUUCCACCUCAAAAACAUGUGUAGGACUUAAGGCAGCAACUGGCAAGCAUGACUGAUAGGGCCAAGUGCCCUUGUCUCUACAAUCCAUUAAGUUAACCAAGGGCAGUGAACCAUCAUUCUUUUCAAAAGCUUCAUUCCGUGUUGAAAAUGUGAGACUGAAGCAUGGUGCCCCCAAAAAUAACGAUCUAUUUACUAGCAGCAUGCCUGGACCCAUUAAAAAUACUCUACUUUAGGAAUAGAAAAAAUUACAUCUUUAUCCAAUAAUUUUAUAACAAUUCAGACGUUUCAGUCUAUAAAUAAUUGUACAUAGUUGCCAACGUUUAGCUAGUUUCAAAUGAAUAGCCUAGGUUCAUGCACCAGUUUGGCUGGUGGAGGAAAGGGAUUCGAGACAUUGAACCCUCUUUUUAGUGUGCCAAAUAUUCCACAAAAAUCACUACCUUCUCUUUGUGUUUGUUCACUUUUAGUUUAUAUUUAAUAAAUCUAUGUUUUCGAGUAGAGGUUGGGUUCAGGUGCGACCCACGUCACCUCUCGGACGGUCUUGAAAAAGGAGACCGGACCACGUAAUUUCAAAUGUAGUGACCAUCUCACUUUUACCUCCAUCCUUGAAGAUGGUUUCCCAAAUCAAUAUUAAUCUUUUGUUUACGACAAUAUCGAUCACUUUAUGUCUAUAUCGUUGUUAAUUUACCUUUUUUUUUUAGCCACAUUAUUUGAAAAUUGAUGCAAACUUUACCAACAUCUUGGUACCAUUUUAAAAUAUUAGAGUUAUUUGAUUAAAAAAAUAAAAUAAUCUCGAUAACUUGUUUAUAAAAUAAAUAUCUUUUAACAUUUAGACUAUUCUCACGCAUGCUUUAAAAUUGUAAAGAUAUUCAUAAAGUGGAACUUUAGACUUAAUCAAUAUCGAUCACUUUAUGUCUCUAUUGUUGUUAUAUUUUUUUUUUACAACAUUAUUUGAAAAUUGAUGCAAACUUUACCAACAUCCUAAUACCAUUUUAAAAUAUUAGAGUUAUUUGAUUAAAAAAAUAAAAUAAUCCCGACAACUUGUUUAUAAAAUAAAUAUCUUUUAAUAUUUAGACUAUUUUCACCAUGCUUUAAAAUCAUAAAGAUAUUUAUAUUCAUAAAGUGGAACUUUAGACUUAAACAUGAUAAUAGUUUUUUUACAAUAUUAUAAUUAUUUUAUCGUUUUAAUUAAGCCCUUUAUCAUACAUAUAAAUGUAAAUUAAUGCUAAAUUUUUAAAGCAACGUAUAACCUUUUACAUCUUUUUUUAAGAUGGUGCGAAAAUCCUAUGAAAAAUAAUAAAAGUCGAUGCAUAAGAAGAUUGUUUUGAUAAUUCAAUAGAAAAAUUCUUUUAAAAUGAUAUUAAAAAAUACCCAUAGAGCCUUUAUUAAAAAAAUCAAUUAUUUUCAUAAUAAAAAUUAUAAUUUUUUAUUAUGUAUUAUUAUUUUUAAGUAUCUUUAUUACAAAUACUUUUUUUGAGUUUAUGAGAGGAAUCAACAGGUUGGUACAAGCUUAGGCGUCCUCGUACAUGUUCCCGCUGUGCAAGGUUUUUGUCUUGUUUCGAGCUAGUCGGAAUUUACGUGUUUGAUAACGUUUUGUCCUAUUUUUGUAACGCUUUAAAGGGCGGCCCACCGUUGGAACAGUUCAAGCCAUCCAAAUCAGCCCGGAGGGUUAUGGCGACGUGGCAUGACGCCUACCACCUUAGUUCACAUGAACCCUAUGAUCGUACUACCCUCACAUGACAUCUGUGAUUCUUCACCUCCAAACCCUCUUUAACUUGGUAAUGUAUUCAAAGCUUCAUCAAAUCAUAGCGAUUAGCGACCCUCUUCCACCCUAAUUUUAUAAUAAAAAAUAAAUCUUAGUGGACAUUAAAGUAGUAUUUUGUGGGGGGAAAGAAAAACUCUAUGGGCGUAUCCACUAAAUACGAGCCAAGUAUAAGAGUUAUCACCAUGGAAUCAAAUUAUGAAGCAUUGACAUUUUAAUUGUAUUCAGAUUUGAGGAGGGCACCGCGGCACCAGCUGGCCCAGUGUAGUCUGCUAGCCUACCCGCCAUAAUGACCAAAUUAAUAAAGUAAAAAGGAUUACAGGGAUAUUCCCAACUUUAUUCUGGGUCUGAGCUGGAACUUGGGAGUUAUCACGAUCAACGGGAAAGAUGGUGGGUAGGGGACGAGGAUUGAGGGCUCCAUAUUCACAUCAGUGAAAAACGAAAUGUAUUGAGACAAGUCUUCUAAGGAUUUUCUAGCGUAUUAUAUGGUUUAAAUGAUUAUAAAUCUGUAGUUACUGGUAAAGAGUAGAGAGUGAAGACGAAAGACGUUGAGUGAAAAGGAAGGAGGAGAGGGGAUGGGGCCAUCUUACCGUGUCGGGGAGGAUCCAUAAAAGGACUACGUUCCCUGAAUCUGUAGGCAUCAUGCCUCGCCUAACGGGUUAGUCAAAAUACAGUGAUGUGUGUGAGUUGGGGGCCUCACUCCUCAUUUCUUUCCUUCUUUUCACCCCCACCCCCACUUUUUUUUUUUUUUUUUCGAAUUUUUCUUUGUCCUUUUCUCUCACUUGCGCACGCGGGAGAAGGACCACAAACUAGACAAUUCCUCUGCUCACGUGACCCCGAGUUUUUAAAUAUUUGCCUAUUUGGAAAAUAGUCAUGAAUCAUGAUCGUUAACAAACAAUCUUCACUUUAUUUAUUUAAGAUCUAUUUUUUGGAGCUCUAGUUUAGUUUAUUAUUAUUAUUAUUAUUAUUAUUAUUAUUAUUAUUAUUAUUUAGUAACUCCUCUUAUAUUAAUGAAAAAGAGAGGAGGAAUCCAAACUUGUUUAUUCUUCCUCUUUUAAGGUGUUUGUUUUUUUUAUUUUAUUUUUAUGCUUCAUAUGUCUUCAAUUUCUUAGCAUUUGUCUUAUAUUUCUUCUUAUCCGAUUCAUUAUUGCAUCCUUGGUCAAUCUUUCACGAGGAGUGCCUACUUUUUUCCUUUUUAUUAUUUAAUUCACUUUAUCUUUAUAUUUUCCUUUUACACUUUAUUUCCAAUUCAAAACGUGUCAAAAAAAAAAAUUGGUAACAAAAAAAAAAAAAAAAAUCAAUUGUAAUGAUUCUUAUAUAAUUUUAUUUAAUUUUUAUUAAACAAUAAAGAAAUUAAAAAUAUAUAAAUUUUUAAAUAAUUAUUAUAGUCUUUCAUUUUUGUGUAUAAUUUCUUUUGCAAGAAAUAGUGUAGGCUUUCCACGGUCUAAAGGAAAUGGAAUAUCAAAUGAGAAGGUAAUAAUAAUAAAGUGAGUUAUAGAUACUAAUCAAACUAAUCCACUAAUGAAUUAUUUAUUUUUAUUUCACAUGGACAAAUCCUAAAAGUUGGAGUUCUAAUUUACUUUUAUGUUAAGCUUUUUUAAGUAAAAAUCUUUUAUUAUUAUAAUUUAUAGACAAAAAGAAACCCAUUAAUGUGAUGGAUAAAAAAUUUCAAUUUAAAAAAAAAAAAAUUAAAGUUGCUAAAUUUUUGUAUUUAUUAUUUCAAACUCAUUUAAAUAAUUUAAAAAUAUGUCUUCAAUUAAUUUUAAUGAAACAAAGCAUGAUUUUUUUUUAAUUUUUUUUUCUUUACCAAAUAAAGCAUUAUUAUAAUACGUUGAUUAAAUUUUCAUCAUGUCUCUCAAGAUUUGGAUUAAAUAUACUUAGUUGUCAUAAAUUUGAAAUUUUAUUUAAUGUAUUUUUUAUUUUAAAUUAAAAAGAUGAAUGCAAAUAAAAAAAAUAUGUAUAUUUUAUAAAAUUUUAAAUUAAACGAAGGAUACGUGUAUUUAACCAAGGUGAAUGAAAUUAAUCCAAAUACUUUUUGGUAACUUGCAAAAUAUCUUGACGAAAUCAUUAUGGCAGGCAUCGUACAAGCUCAACCCUUGUCGCCUUGCUAGAAAUAGAGAAACAAAAAGACCCCCAAAUUGGGUUGCAUCCUAAAUAUGAAGAAGUGGUAACAAAGGAAGAAAAAAUGCUGUGUUAUUGAAUAGUUAAUACAUUGAACAUGAUAUGUUACAUAGAGAGCCAGAUUAAUCCUAGUGGAAUUCCACUGUCACGAUGGUAACCUAGGGUUAUGUUUGGUUAUUGAAAAUACCAAGAAAAGAAAAAAAAAUAUAAAGGAAAAUAAUUUUUUCAUUUUUGAUUGUCUUAUAAAAGAUAUAAAAAAAAAACAAAUAUAAUUAAAACUAAUUAAAAAUUUAGGUAUUUUUAAAUUAUUUAAUUUUUAUAUUAAUGAGCGAAAAUAAAUAAAAUAAGUUUAAAAUAACAAAAAAAAUAAUUUACCGAUUUUUAAUCUAUAUUUUAUUUUACUUUUUCUUUGUAUUUUUUUUUUCUUAUAUUUUCCCUCAAAUUUUCUGAAUCAAACAUAGCAAAAAAGGAGCUACCCCUUUCGAAAGAAACUCCCAAGAAUUUCAAAGAAACCUGCUGAGAUAAUGAAUGAGGGAUCACUGUCGGUAAACAGUAUCCAUUCUUUUGGGAGGACUUUCAAACUGAGAAGUUGUUUUCAUGACUUGGAAACAAAAUUUUGAGCUCUAAGGGGGUCUGUAUUUGGGCCCUAAAAUUCAAUCCAUCAAUCUGAAAAAUGCUUAGGAUAAUGAUUUGAUUUAGCCACAAUCACUAAACAAAUUCCAGAGGAAAAUUUCGCUACUCAUAGGUGGCUGAUUCUCAUAAAAAGACAUCGUGGUAGGGUGUCUCAAGUGCAGGCUCACCAUCAACUUGCUGCCCUUUUUAGAUUAUUGUAAAAUGAUUUCACAUGAAGCCCAAUGCAAAACUUUGAAAGAAAAGGUUGGUGGAGACGUGAAGAAUAUGUAACCCAUAGGCCAUAACUAGUACCGAAGAUUAUUGAACAAACAUUCAAGGUUUUUGUAUAGACGAAACUGAAAAGAAUGUGUACCAGACUCAGGCGUUCAGAUCAGAUGAUGCCGUAAUGUGGAUUGUGGAGGAGCAUUGUGCAGACAGAUAAUGAGAUUCUGAAAGCGAGGCCACUGAUGGGCCCUUGGAAGGGGGGCGUGCCUUCAAAAUUAUAUAUAUAUAUAUAUAUAUGUCAUUGAAAAUUGGAAGCAACUUUUCUUCUUAAGUUAUUUUAAUCGAAGAAGAAACAAAAAGUUAAAAACAUACAUUAUUCUUCCUUCUUACGAGGUUUCCGGGUCUAAAUUACUAUGGUCUCUGCAACUGGCGUCGUUUUCUCUCCCCUCUCUCUAUUUUCCCUUUAUUUUUUCACUUUUAGAAAGAAGCAUCCCAUCAAGAAUCUACUACAACCCUACGCUUCCAUUUUGAUUUAGAAAGUUAAAAAUAAGUUUAAGUUAAAAAAAAAUAUUUUCUUAUAUAAUUAUUUAAACUUAUUUCUUUUCCUUUUUAUAUAAAGAAACAAAUAUUUUGCAAAUAAAUAAAUUUCUAAUUAUUUUCAUUAACAUAAUAAUAAUAUUUUUCAUAUGACUUUAAUCACAAUUUUUUUUACCACUUGUCCAAGGCGGUGAGAGGUGAUAAAAUGUAUUAAAAAAACGAUUAAAUUGCAUUAGGUAUAGAAGUUUUGUGCUUCAAUUAUCACUUAUAAAAAUAAAAUAAAAAUAGUCAAAUUUGAGUGUGCAAGUUGGUAUUCGUAUGUAGAAGGAAUUGGGGGAUUUGGGGGUCCUAACAAAUUUGAUAUGAUUGAUGGAAGGAAAUGAUUAUUAUAGGAUAAAGUCCGAAUGAAACGCUGACGAGGGGGGAAAAACAACAGUGGCAAUGCACUAUCCACAGAUCCAUGAUUGAUUUAUGUUAGCAAUAAUGAAUUAUUUUGACUUUGAUAACCUUGGUUAAGAGAAUUUGGUCUUGUUAUUAUCAUUUUUUCAAAAAAAAAAAGUGUAGGUAACUAGGUAGUUGAUUUAUUAGAAUUUAGAAAUGAGGAUCCCCUCCUCCUGCAAGAGCCGUGACAGACAUGCCUGCUUUCUUGCCAGAUUAUACCAAUGUGCCCAAAUAAUCCCCCAUCUAUCAUCUCUGCACCCUGGAACACGUCACUCCCUCCUUUGAGCAAUAAAAUAUCUCUUUUAUUUUCUUUUGAACCACUCUUCUAUUUCUUUGUACCAGACUGGACCCAUUUAAAUUCUUCGCUACGCUGUUCCCAAGGACUACGAGAAUCAAAAUAGCAAAAUUCUUGAAUCAUUUUAAUGGGUUCAGAAACCACAUGUUUCUCUAGAUCAUAAGAGGAAAAUCUUUUUGGAUGGUGUUUGUGUUGUGUUGUGUUCAAUAUUAAAUACUCAAUUAAAUAAGCUAAAUCAAAUAUCACAUGAAAAAUAAUCAAAUUAAAAAUAGGGAGAAUUAUGUUUUGAGGGUAGAUGGACCCCAAAUUAACAAAAGGUUCAUGUAACUCUUCAAAUUGAGCCCAGACCCAAUGAAAAUAUGGAAAUUGAGUUGAAGUAUAUCAUCAUUCAGUAUUUCCAAAAAUGUCCUUUGUUGAUUUUGAGAAAAAAAUUAAUAUUUUUGAAAAAUAUUUUUAUGUAAUUUAAUAUUUUUUUAAAUACUUUUAUUUAAUUUAAUAUUUUUAAAAAAUAAAUUUAUUUAAUUUAAUAUUUUAAAAAAUAUUUAAUUUAAUAUAUUUUUUAAAUACUUUAAUUUAAUUUAAUAUUUUUGAAAAAAAUUUUAAUUUAAUAUUUUUGAAAAAAAAAUUAUUUAAUUUAAUAUUUUUUAAAACUAUUUUUAUUUAAUUUAGUAUUUUUGAAAAAAAAUUAUUUAACUUAAUUUUAUAAAAUAUUUUAUAUGUGUUCUUAAAGGGUAUAUUUGUCCGUUACUAUUUCAUAUCCUUCAACUCAAUUUAAAGAGUUAUAUGGACCUUUUGUUAAUUUGGGGACCCAUCUACCCUCAAAAGAUAAUUCUCCCUUAAAAAUAUAAAUUUAAAUAUGACAUAAUUAUUAAAUAUGUUAGAUCUUGUAUGAGUUUAUAAGAUUUAUGUUUCAAAAUAACAUGUUUAUAAUUCAUCUAUUGAUUUAUAAUCAAAUUUUAAAUAAAUUAAAGUUAUUCAAGUUAAUAAAUAUGAUUUAUGUUAUAAAGACUAACUAAAAAAUAAUUUAUUAAUUAAACGGAUCCUGGUCAAUAAAAAUUUGAUUUAAAUACGAUCAUACUUAAUCAAAACUUAGGUCAAAUUGUAUUGAUAAAUUACAUCAAAACCUUGUUGUGUUCAAUAUUUUAUAUUAAACUAUUUUUUAAUAAAAUUAUUUUUAUAAAUAUAAUAUUACAUCAUUUGGAGAAACAAAAUAGUAUUAUAUUGAUUUUACAUAUAAAGCAACCAGUUAACCCCUCAUUAUUUUGAUCCAUUUCACAUCCAUAUCAUUCUCAUAAUUUUUUUAUAAUAUAUUAACAUGAUGGACGGUAAUUGAGGGUAGAAAAAAAAGAUGAGAAGAAUAAAAUAAUGUGAAUCCUCUCUAAAUGUUACAUCUUCUGACAAAUGAAGUCUAUAGAAAUGUGUAAAAAAAAAAAAAACACUUAAUUGUGAGGUUCACUUGAUUUAGCAAAAAAUUAAUAUUUUAUUUGUUGUGUGAUUUAAAAAUAAUAUUUUAUUUUUAAAAAUAAAAAAUUAUUUUUAAAGUUUUUUAACACUAUUUUACUAUUGUUCUUUGAAAUAAUUUUUAAAAUUAAAAUGAAAUAACUAAUAAUUUUUAGAUAAUAAAUUAAAGUUGUUUUUAUUAGAUUUUAAAAAUAAAAGAAAAAUAUAAAACCAUUUGAUCAAAUUUUUUUAAACUUAUUUUUAAAAGGUUUUUUUUUUUUUUUUUUUUUUUCUAUCCUAAGUUAAAAGAUAAAAAAUAAUUUUUAAAGAUAGGUUACGAGCAAAUGCCACAAACUUUUUUCUUCUCUUUCCCUUGUUCGGAUAGAAGUGAAAAAUAUCCUCCCAUGGAUCGACAUUACGUGAGCCAUCACCAUUCCCCAACUGCAAUUCAACCGCCAAAGCUGAGGUGUCAUUAUUAGUUUGAACAAAAGUCAGCAUUGUCCACGUGGUGACAAGCGGAACUGACCCAACUUGCAAGGCAAAAAAAUAAAUAAAAUAAAAUGAAAAAAUCAGAUCACCAUUAUGACGUCAGUCCAAUUGCUGACCUGGCCGCCGUCCCCCAUUUGACCCACGUGUUCAUUUAACCCAUUCGCCGUAUGCCGUGGCUCCCCACCCAUAUGGCCAUAUCUGCCAUUUAUUUUAUCCGUUGCCUCCAUUCGGUUUUUGGAUUUUACCCAUUCGCCCUCGUCUAUUCCCAUUUCCGUAUUUGCCCACCAAGGAAAUUCAAUUCCCAUGCUUUUGUUUUACAUUCAAAUCCUCCCCCCUCUAUAUAAAGGAGGGAGUAGGGCUUGAAAGUUUCUCAAGCCAACAUGGACUGUUGAGAGUGAAAGACAGAGGAGCCACAAACAAAUAUCACUCACUCAAACCAAAGCCAAAACCAAUACCGAAUUCAAUUCAAAUGACUUCUUUCUCUCUCAUCAAUUCCCUGAAUUCCGAUUCCGAUUUCAAUUUGUUAUCGGAUUCUUUUUCCUGGGAAAACUCCCUACCUUUCAAUGAAAACGACUCCCAGGAGAUGCUCCUCCUGGGCAUGCUGGCCAGCUCCACUCAGGAAACCUCAGAAACAGUUUCUUUGAAUCGAGUGAAGGAGGAAGAAGUGACUUCCCAGGAAAAUCCCGAGAAGGAGAAGUCAUACAGAGGCGUUAGGAGGCGGCCAUGGGGGAAAUUCGCAGCAGAAAUAAGGGACUCGACCAGGCAUGGCAUAAGGGUGUGGCUGGGAACAUUUGACAGUGCAGAGGCAGCUGCUCUGGCCUAUGAUCAAGCUGCUUUUGCGAUGCGGGGCCCUGCGGCAGUCCUCAAUUUCCCGGUGGAAAGAGUGAAGGAAUCGAUGCAGGAGAUCAAGUGCAUCUUGGAGGAGGGGGGCUCACCAGUGGUGGCCCUCAAGAAGAGGCACUCUAUGCGGAGAAAAAGUCCUUGCAAGAAACAUAAAAGUGAAGAGGUGAGGUUAGAAAAUGUGGUAGUGCUGGAGGAUUUGGGUACUGAAUACUUGGAACAGCUCCUCACUUUCUCUGAGACCUCUAGUCCUUGAUCAUCAUCAUCCAUCACCUGGAUAGCUUCUUCUCUUUGCUCUGUUUCUUACUUUUCUCUCUCUCUCUCUCUCUCUCUCUCUUUUUUUUUUAUGUAAUUUUUCUUAAUGUAUUUUUGGAGAUGGCGGGGGUGUAGUGGUGGCAAUUAUCCAUCUAGAAUUUUUCAAAAGAUAUGUUCUUUUGUUUCUUUGUAUAAAGUUGAAAAGUGGGGAUCAAUUGUGAUGGUGCUCUAUGUUCAUCCACCCAAUUUAUAUAAUCAAGGUGAUUAAUGUUUUUUGAUAUCAACAAUUUGUGAAUGACAUAGAGAGAGAGAGAGAGAGAGACCUUAUUUUCUACACUCAUUACGGUGGUUUCCAUUUGGGGAAGGAAAAGGAAAUGGCUAAGAAUGUUACCAAAAGAAGUGGGGUGGCUUUCAUAUGCGUGGUGGCAUACUUGCAUACAAACUUUUCAAUUGUGUUCUGCAUGCCACUCGGGUCAAUUUCAUUUCUUUUACUCCUAGUAGCCUAAUUGGAUUUCCUUUUUCUCAUGAGACAUCAAAUAAAUUUCAUUUUUUUAUAUUUAAAUAGUUAGGUAAGUUUGAUAGUGAGUUAUAUUUUAUACAUUAAUUCAUCUUUUAGAAUGUUGUCUACAAUAUAAACAGUGUAAUUAAUUUCAUCAUUACAGAACAGUCAUCUUAUAAAAUAACAUAAAAAUUAUUGGAUCACUUGUAUGGCACCACUGAUUUGGACUUGGUAUGGCUCUGUUUGGCUUCAUAGAAAAAAUUUGGACCCAAUUUGAAUGUCUUGCAUAAAAAGAGAUACGUCCCACUUUGAAUGAUAUUGAAGAAAAAAAUUUCUGAUGAAGAAUAUAUUGUUGGCAGGGUCAUGCAGGCCAAUAGGGAAACGAUAAAUUCAGAAGAAUGAGUCCAAACCAGUGGGCUUGAAAAUUAAGAAGAGAAUUGCUGUAUAAAACAAUCAUUUCUUAAUCGAGUUCACUUUCUGAAUAAUCGUCACUUUGAGAAUGCAUACUUAGGAAGAUGAUGAUCCUUAAUGGGAAUAAUCAAAGGCAUCAAAAAAUUGUUCUGGAACAAUUCUUGAUUGUCUCCAGUAAAAUUCAAAGUCAAAAGUCAAAAGUCCAGUCGGUCAACACCAAACCAGGCCAGUCCAAAAGACAUUAAUUUGCAAUCUAGAAUCUAUGAUGAGGUGGCGAAAUCAAACCUUGGCUUUUCACCAGGGAAUGGUACUCUGAAUUUGGUCAGUUCACUGUUUCGAGUGAAUAGGGUGUAGUAAUUAGUAAAUCAUAUUUUAGAUUUGUGUCACAAGUUACAAGGGAUAUGGGCUGACGUUCAAUUUUGGCGACAAUUUGUGGGCCCGUAUAUUUGUUGAGAUGUGGAAAUUGGGUGUGUGCUUUUUUCUGCUACCACAUAAAUAUAUUUCUUUGAAUUGAAGAGUGUUUCAGACCAUUUUUUUUCAAGUCACAAAUGGACAACUGAUUGAGAUUGUAUUGGUGAGAGUAGGAGUUUAUUUUGGGCUGGUUGAGCGAAGUUGAAAGUCGAGUUGGACCUAACCCUUGAAUUCAGCAGACUACAGUCCGAUCCUGUAUUUUGGAUUUAGGGAACCUUCUUUCCCAGAAGCUUCGUCUGGGUUUUAAAGUCUAAAUGUGGCUACUCUUAAACAUUGGAGAAAGGAUGAGCGUUCACAAGCAAAUGGGUAAUUGUGGAUGGUUCAAGGACCUGGCCAGCUGGUCUUCAAGUUUGGAUGCCGGUUUGGGCCUGAGAGAGUCUUUGCAAAGUGACUUCACUUCAGCCUAUGAGAUCAAGAUAUCAUGGUGAUGUCCGAUCACUUAGGUUUCAUUUUCACCUCGGAUUACCGUUACCAUGUUCAUGAAUAAAAAUAAAUAAAUAAAUGAAGCCUUAUAGAGAAAUUAAUGAAGUGAGCUAUACAAGCAACUGGGCCAGGAGCCUACAAGGCAGAAAUUCCCUGCCCUAGACUAGGCCGAAUAAAUUAGAUGAAUGAAUUGGGGAAACCUGGGCCAGCCACACAUCCUCCUGAAGGCUGAUGUCGAACUCGCUUACGAGGAAUGGACAUGGGAGAUUGGGCUGGGACCAAAUAACCAAUUGACAGCCCUAUCCUUGUGGCAAGACGUCAGUAAAAUGGUUCAUUCUGAUUUUACGCUGCCAUUCAAUUUAAUUUUAAUUUUUGUUUAAAGCGAUGUACAAAUUGAAUGGUGUCUAGUCACUUAAAGAGUGGUUCAUAAUACACUUAAUUUAAACAAAAAAGAAAUUAUUAGAUAGGGGAUUCUCCAAUAAAAACCACCCCAUCUUGUCAGCAAGUCCGGAAACUUCCUUCACUUAGGGCGUAUUUGUUUUUUUAACUUUAAUAUUAAAGAAAGUUGGUUAAACCUUAUGACACUUUUAUAUUAUUUUAUGAAUUUUUUUUAAUUUUUAUUUUAAUGGAAUUUUAACUUUAAUACAAGUUGGAGUAAUUCUUAUCUUAAAAACAAAUCAAAAUUACUUUAAUUUUAUAUAGAAAUAAACUUACAGUAAAUUUACCAUGAAAAUUUCUAAGUCAAAUACACCAUAAGUGCUAGUAUUUUAUAAUAUUUAGAAACAUGUUAAAUUAUUAUUAUUAUUUUUUAAAAUUAUUAGUUUUCAUAUUAGUUUUAGGGAAACUUGUGCUUUAGGUCUUUUAUUUGCAAAUAAUAUGGUUUUCAAAUCCUAAGAAUAGAAAAUAUGAGAAUCAACUGUUAAUGUGGAAAAUAAUAUCAAUUUUGUGCAAUCUCUAUUGACUCAUUUUUUUGUGCCUAGAUUGCCUUCACCCACUUCCAUGUCAACAACCACAUUAAUAGAUUGUUUUUUUUUUAUAAAACAAAUAAUUAUUAUGUUUAAAAUUUUGGGGAAACUCUCUAUCUCUCUUACUUCUUCACUACAUCCGAGACCCAUCUUCCUUAAACGUUUGCCUCUCAUUUUGCCCUAACCCCAAAUCUCAUAAAUUUCUCAUUUUCUUGCCUCAUUUGAAAUAUGAAGAUGACCGAUUCUCAAACAUCUCUGUCUCUCUCUUCACGUUUUGACCAGUCUAAUUGGAAACCCAUUUUCCAAAAACCUUCUUUCUUUCAUUUUGCCCUAACCCCACUAUCUCCCUCUUCAAGACCUAAUCACCCAAACUCGAUAUCUAUCUUCCCAAAACCUUCAAGCAAACUGAACUAGACCCAUAUCUUCUUUUUUCAUCAUCAAAGGUGAAAUUUUUUUAAGGCUUUUGGAAACCGAAUUGGAGCUUUCCCUUCUUCUGGGAUUAAUCAUUCGCAAGUGAGUUUUCCAUUUAAGGCUUUGUUUGGCUGUUGAAAUCUUGGGAUCAAAGGUCUUUUAUUUUCAGGUUUCUUGUAUUUUGCUUUAUUUUCUUGUAUAUAACAAUAAUCAUUGUAACAUAUGCUAGUAGUUACCCUUGGUGCAACUUUACAUUUCCAAAUACCCUAAAGUCCAAAGCUUUUAAUUCCCUUUUCAAAGCUUUCAACUUUGAAAGCAGACUAAACCAUAAGAACUAUGAAACUUAUAUCUCUAUCACCACUAAUUAAGCAUGUCUAUGAAUCCUUCCACUUUAAGUCACUUAUUCUCAAACCAAGAAGGGCUCCUCUCAUUCUCACCCCACCUCAUCUAAAUGAGGGAAAUGAUCAAUUGCAGCCAUGCUUUGCACCAAAUUAGAGAAGUGAUCCUCCCAAUCAUCCAUUACCAAAAAUUGAUCAUGCUGAUGAGAUCAUAAGAGUCUAUUCGGAACUCCCAGUUUACUUGCCUCUUAUCUCAGGAUCCUCCAUUACCCCCUGUCUUUCCAACAUCAAAUCAACUUGCAAACAAUUCCUUUGUAGAUAAAAUGUUUUUAAUAUUGCAAAAGGGGACUUAUCAUAAUGGUUGAAUCGAUUUAUUUGAUAUAAUCACUCAAAUUCAAGCUUAAAAUUGAUCAUAAUAAAAUGUUUUUAAUAUUGUUAAAAGGAGAUUAUAAUGGUUUUAUUUGAUAUCAUUACUAAAAUUCAAGCUUUCAAACAUGCUCUACAAAGAAGUUCUAAAAGACUACAAGAAAGAGUUUCCACUAAAGAAAAACAAUGAAACCAUUUCUACUAAAGACAAACAAUGAAACCACAGAUGCUUUGUGAAAUAUGUACCCGCACAAUCCAACAAACUUUAGAAAUUCACAAACACUACCUAGAAUUUUUGCUGACCAGCAAAAAAUUUAUGCAAUUUAAUUCUUAUUGUUAUUAUUAUUUUCAAUGUGAACAAAUAUGAUUGAAUUAUGAAGUAUUUGGCCAGAAGAGGAUCUUGCCUAAUUAUAGUCAUUAAACAACCAUUUAUACCAUAGCCUCUAGACUUUAAAAAGUUUAUAAAACUCAAGGGCUUCCACCCAAUUUCUAGAUAUCUCCAUAACAUUCUUCUGACUAUUAGAAAGCAAUUACCACUUUAAUUUUUCAUUUCAUGAGUGUUCAAUUCAGAAAAAGACCAGGAUCGAACUUGCGAUCAUGCAGUCGAAAAUCCACCUGUGCAUGAAACUAUUGCCUCACGAUUGCAAACUCAAGUUGGAGUCCAGUAACAACUCUAGGUUUGCUGAUGUGCUCCAUUUGAAAUAAAGGAACUAAAGAAUACUUUAUAAAGAUUAAUUACCUUCAUAUUUUAGGUUGGGGUUAAGGCAAAAUGUGAUAGAUUGAGAGGAAGAAAAUAUAUCUUGUUCAGGAAGCCAAUAUUUUGGAGUUCACCUUUCCAUUCGAGUCCACUCUGCUAUAGCAAAAUCAGAGUCACAACUAUGCCUCUUUAAGCUAUCCUUUAAUUGGAUGAAUUGCAGAUUUGGUUGCUGAGAAAGUGGAUAAGAAAGAAAAAUGCAUACUGUAGCUUGAGAUUAAGAGUUUGUUUUCUAAAAUGAGAGAAAGGGAAAGAGAAAAAAUGCAUAUUGUAGCUUGAGAUUAAGGGUUUGUUUUCUAAAAUGAGAGAAAGGGGAAGAGAAAUGUUCGACAACUUUGAGAUGACAAAUUUUUAGAUUUGGAAAAUUUGAGAUGAGUCUCAGGUUUUUUUUUUUUUUUUUUUGUCUUUGUCUUUGUUUUUUUUUUUUUUUUUUGUUUUUUUCCCAAAAACAACCUGUUAAUGUGGUUGUUGACAUAGAAGUGGGUGAGGGCAAAAUGGGCAUAGAAAAAAGAGUCAACACAAAGUGCACAAAACCCAUAUUAUUUUCCACAUUAAUGACUGAUUCUCAUAUUUCUUGUUCUUGGGAUUUGAAAACCAUAUUAUUUGCAAAUGGACCUCCCAAAGCACAGGUUUCCCUUAGUUUUAUGUCUCCAUCUACAUUUUACAUAUAAAUAGAUUAUUUUAUAAAAUUUGUUUUGUAGAUAUAUUAGUUAAUAAUUAUAUAAUUAAUGAUAUAGAAAACAUAUAAAAAUCAUAUUUAAAAAAGAUAAUUACAUAUUCCUCAACAAUCCAUCCCAAGAAUUCGAGGUUGAGUUGAAAACAUGUAGAGUCUUUGAUGUUAUUAUAAUCAUAUCCAACACAUAUGAUUAUUGUUUAUGAGAUAUUAUUAGAAAGUUUGUCUUAAAAUAAUUGAUUUAUUACCCACCUUUAGCAAAUGCCCAUUUUUGCGUCUUUCAAAAUUUUCAUUUUUUUUUUGUUUAAAAGAAGUAUUGUAAAGAAUGAUGAAAUAAGAAAUUUGUUGAGAAAGUGUGAGUAAAUAAUUUUACAUAAAAAGAGAUUUAAUACUUGAUAAAUAAAAUAAUAAAAUCAUGAUUUCUAGUUGUAUAGGGCCGGGUGGAUGGAGUGGCUAAGAUGUAAUUCUUGAAAUAGAGGAGACAACAUCAAUGUAUAAAAGUUUAACAGAGAAGGAAAGUGUGUUUGAAUGACUUUAUUUUCUUCAUUUAAAGUUUUGACGAUGAGUGUUUAUACAAGAUAAAUUUUCAAAUGAUAGGACUCCUAUUUACAUGGAGUUUGUGAUAUACUAUGAUUAUACAAAUUUAAAAUUCAAACAGAUUCAUGAGUUGAUAGGAGUCUGCUCAAUACGCCCCUUCAAAAUGGUGGGAGAUAGCACACCAAUCUUGACUCGAAGGGCCUAAACUCGUGCAGAAGAUGAGGGCUUUGUUAGAGCAUCGACAAGUUGAUCCGUGGUUGACAUAUGGGACACCUUGAGCUCACCUGAUUAAACCUUGUUUCAAACAAAAUGAAAAUCAAUCGCCGAUGUGUUUCAUGGAGAGUGAAACAUGGGAUUUGCACAAAGAUAUGUUGCACCCACGUUAUCACAAGAGAUAGGAGGUGGUGAUAAAUUUGAAACACUAAGUUUUGAGAGAAGAGAAUUAACCCAAAGAACCUUUGAGGCUGUAGAGGCCACGACGUGAUAUUUCGCUUCAGUGGAAGAGCGUGCUAUGAACUUUUGUUUCCUCGAUGACCAAUACACAAGAUUGUGACCAAGAAAAACAAUGGGAGCAUUGGUGGAGGAUCUGACAUAAGGAUUCCUUGCCCAUUCAACAUUCGAAUAUGCAUGUAGAUUGAUGGGCGAUUUCUUAUGCAAGAACAGACCAUGCACCAUUGUGCCGACUAAGUAUCUAAGCAAUCUUUUAACACAAGACCAAUGUGUUGAUGUUGGAUGGUGCAUAAAUUGAGAUAAUUUAUUCAUCAAGAAGGUGAUGUCAGGGCUAGUAAGAGAGAAGUAUUGAAGGCUUCCAACAAUUGACAUAUAUUUAGUGGGACCAGGAAAAGAGGUGUCAUCACACAGAUUUGGAACAUUGUUGAGGAACAUCAAUGAUUGAACUGGUUUGGUAGCCACCAUUUGUGUUUUCUUAAGAAGCUCUCGAAUGUACUUGAGAUAAAAAUAAUCCUUUGGAAGUAUGUAUCAUUUCAACACCAAGAAUAAAAGAUGAAGUCCUGAGAUCCUUAAUGGAGAAUUUGACUGCUAAUUGAGAGAUCACGCGAGCACGAAAAACAUUAUUGUUACUUGUUAAAAUAAGAUCAUCAAUAUAAAUAAGUAGGUAAACAAUGAGACCACUCUUUUUAAAAAUGAAGAGGGAUGUCUCGGUUUAGGAGUUGACGAAGGCUAUUGAGAGGAGAAAUUGGCAAAGUUCAUGAUACCAUGAUCGUGGAGCUUGUUUAAAGCCAUAAAAAGCCUUACAAAGUUGGCAAAUGUGAUGAUGUGUGUAUUCGUGAACCCAGGAGGUUGAAUCAUGUAAACAUCUUCAUGAAGUGUCCUAUGCUAGAAUGCAUUAUUAAUGUCCAAUUCAUGAGUUGAUAGGAGUCUGCUCAAUACAAUGUGGGAGUGUGAUUUCAAAAUUAGGGUAAUUUCGAAAUGGAUUUUGUAUUCACAAGUUGAAUUUCAAAAUUAUUUUGAAAUGGUCUUUUAACUUUAAGCAGUUGUGUUCAAAAGGUCAUAACUUCUUCGUUUCAAUUUUGAUUUACACAUUGUUUAAAACAUUGGACUCUUUACUUCCCGAGCUUCAAAACGAUAUAUAGUAUGCUCAAAAAUGACAUCAGGAUUGGUUCAAAUUUCAUCUUGAUAUUAGAGUACAUGUUGUGAUUAGAUUUUGAGUUCCAAAUUUCCAUGUAAACUUGAUUGCAUUUGCUUCAAACCUCCUUCAUUAUGGUUGCUUGCCCUCUAUCUCACUUUGCAACAUUUGUUACUAGUAUUUUAUGUCCAUGACUUACUCAUUUCAACCUUUCUUGGAUUCUUCAUGGUUCACAAAUUAUGGAUUCUUCAUGGUUCACAAAUUGAGUCUUUCAAUUAUGCAUGUUUAACUCCUAUUUCCUUGGUUGAUAAUGACUUUUACACUUAUCAUUUUCUUUUAUUCUUUAAACCUGAAUUUAGACUUACAAAAAAAAGUUAGAUCCAUAACUAGGGUCUUAGCAUCAAUUUGAGUUAAGUUGGAUGAUUUGAAAAUUUUAUAUUACAUAAAUCAUAUCAUACAUGUGCCAUUGGAGUGCACAUUUUGGCUCUAAUCAUGUUCCAACCCAUUGUUUUACUCUUGCAUGAAGUAUGUGGCCAUUGAUUUUAAUUUUAUUUGCGAUUAGGUUCAAAAUGGUGCUUUUGUGUUGCUCAUGUGUCAUCAGAAGAUCAACUAAUGGAUUCUCUAACAAAACUACUACAUCAUAGUCAUUUUUUUUUUUCUUAAGACCAAGAUUGAGAUCUCCAAUCGGAGCCAACUCCAUCUUGGGGGCAUGUUAGUGAAAGAUAAAAUUUAUCUUUAAUUUAAAUAUUAAUAUUUAUCAGUUAUUAGUUUUAAUUAGAGUAAAAGAUAGAGUUUAAAUUGGAGUAGGAGAUAAACUUGUGUUUGAACUAGAAUAGAAGAUAAAGUAUAAAGAUUUAUGUUUGAAUUAGAAUAAAAUAUAAAGUUUGAAUUAGAGUAGAAGAUAAACUUGUUCUUUAUUUGUAUAUAAAUAUUCAUCAAUUCUUGAGAAGAAGAUUAUUUCAUAGUUUUUCUAUCUUCUUUUUUCUUCAUACAUAUCUGCAAGAAAUUGAAGAUUUCAAGUAAAAUAUUUUCUGUUUUAAAUAGUGAAAAAAGCUAGAAAUUCACUUUGUUAUCUCUUGGGGUAAAUUGACAAGGUUUAACGUUAAGAAGGUGAAUUAUUUUUUCAGAAAAACUGAAGUAGCUAGGAUAUCUGGCCAGUUGUGAUCGAUAAAAAAGUUGUAAAAUCUCUCAUAUACUAAACAGGUUUUGGAUGUUGGUAUGGUAAAUCCAUCUGCAGUCAUUCGUCAUCUCAUCUAGUGAGAUGUUUGGGAGGUGGUGACCGCCGGAUUGGGUUUCAUUUGGUUAAAUCUGUCAGUGGGUUGGCUACUACCCGAGCCUCUUGCUUUGGGGGAGGUGGGUUCUAGAUAUAAUGUUCAAACCAUUUUAGUUAUCAUAUGCAUGACAUGUAAGCAUAAUCUCUUUAUCACUUCUUCAAUGGGAGUUCAUGGUUAGGAAUUGACUUCUUUUCUUCUGGGAUGCUUGGCAUGUAAUGGACAAAGUUACUUUUAUAUCGAUCGAAUUUCUAGUAUUAUAGUGAAGACUUACCCUUUUGACAUUUUAUAUCGAAUUAUAGAAGAUGAAAGGGACAUACAUGCAAUCGACUGACGCUUUAGUGAAUAUGCUGAAAAUAUGCUGAUGCUGUGGAGAUCGUAUGAGGACAGAGGAAAAAGAUAGAAAUGGAUAUAUAAUUAGACCUAGGUUUUUAUUAAAUGAGAUGGGGAACAUAGAGUGAGGGAAAAUCAAAAUUUUUGGCUGCAGUUCACAUUGGUGAUAUUUUGGAUUGACAAAGACUAACGACUUUUCUAUUUUUCUUUUCGGCCUGACUGGAUAGUUGGACAUGGACAAUACAGAAUCCACAGAAGGAUUGUUGGGACCGCUGAAAAUUAGCUAGAAGAAGCUGAGGAAGUAGUCUACGUAGUCAAAUACCAAACACAAAGAAAGAAAGAAAUGGAUAUCAUGGAUGCCUAGAGUUAUACUCCUAAUACCGUCACAGGUAUUUUUCUUUCCUCCUUUUUUUUUCUACGAUAAUUAGAGCAUUUCUCCUCCUCCUCCUCCUCCUCCCCCCACCCCACCACCAAAAAAUAAAAAAAUAAAUUAUUGCAAGUAACACUUCAAAUAUUAAUUUAUACAUUCUAAAGUAUAUAUUCAUGAAAUAACUUGAGUAUCAUACAUUAGUUCUCAAAAAAAAAAAAAAAAAAAAAAAAAAAUUACUGGAAGAGAAAAGUUUAAGAAAACAUAAAAAUAUUCAACUACUAUUUUAAAGAGAAAAUUUAAUUUUUACACUAUAAAUUUGAAGAGAACUUUUACAUGCAUCUUAUAUAAACUACCAUUUUUUGCUAAAAGGCUUAAAUUUGUCAAAAAUACCCCUUAGGUGCUUAACGUUCUGGUCAUAAUAUAAUUGGCAUCUUUUCUCAAACAUAAGGCCUGUGUGUGGGAACAAGAUUUAAUGUUAAUGAGCUUCGCCACCGACAUUUAGUUCCAGAAAUCAUUAUUUUAAUAGAGUGGGCUCAAUUUACAACUUUAAUUAAACUCUAACCAACUGCAUUGUGAAAUGAAUAUGUUUCUUUCGUGGUGAAUCCAAUGAGUUGGGAGUCAAACUUUGCUUCAUUGUGUAUAGAUGAAAUGUUAAGACUCCAUGUAACCUCAAACAUUUCCGCAAUNNNNNNNNNNNNNNNNNNNNNNNNNNNNNNNNNNNNNNNNNNNNNNNNNNNNNNNNNNNNNNNNNNNNNNNNNNNNNNNNNNNNNNNNNNNNNNNNNNNNUUCUUUCGUGGUGAAUCCAAUGAGUUGGAGUCAAACUUGCUUCAUUGUGUAUAGAUGAAAUGUUAAGACUCCAUGUAACUCAAACAUUUCCGCAAUGAGCGGGAGUUCUAAAUUUAAUAAUUGAAAUUGUCAGUGGAACCAGUGGACAAGAGUUGGUUUGUGGUUGACAAACUUAUCCGUUUGAUCUUUACUUGAACAGUUCCAGUGUGUGGAUGGGUACUGAUGAAGUGUGCGCAUUUAUUUUGAGAAGCCUGCUUGUUCGCAUAGAUUUUAACGACAUGAACAUUGUGGUAAGGUUAGAGAGUAAUGCGAAUGUAGGAGCUUAUAUUAGAAAUGACACAAACACGUAAAUAGAAGUAAUCUAUAUAUGAUAUUACUCAUGGACUACAAGCAAAGAAGUACAAUACAUGGAGUAAGUGAUGAAAUGAGCAUUCCUCACUACUACUGCUUGACUGAUGGAACAUGAUGCACGAGAUAGCAUAAGUAGUAGUAGGAAGCAGCUCUUAUUUGUGGCGUCGGUAUACAUCAUACUAGGUAGAUGGUUCAAUUGGCAUGGAUGGGUGGUGGAGCCUUGAAGUGCUUGUGAUGGGGAGCCCACGGCUUCUUCUCAGGAGUUGGUGGCUUCUUGUAUGGAGUUGAUGGAGGUGUUUCUACUGGAGGGUGGCCAGGGUAGUGACCCUGGGGUGGUGAAGGUUCUUUUGUCGGUGGUGGCCUCACUAUUAUUGGCGGUAGAGUUGGUGGCUUGGGCGUUGGCGGUGGUCUCACUACUCUUGGGGGUAGAGUUGGUGUCUUGUGUUUUGGUGGUGGAGGUGGCUUAACAGGAGUUGGUGGCUUGUAUUCUGGGGGUGGUUUCUCCACCGGAGGUGGCUUAUAAACUGGAGUUGGUGGCUUGUAUUCUGGGGGUGGCUUCUCCACUGGUGGUGGCCUGUAAACAGGGGUUGGUGGCUUAUAUUCUGGGGGAGGCUUCUCCACUGGAGGCGACUUAUAAACAGGGGUUGGUGGCUUGUAUUCCGGGGGUGGCUUCUCUACGGGAGGUGGCCUGUAAACAGGGGUUGGUGGCUUCUCCACCGGAGGUGGCUUAUAAACGGGGGUUGGUGGCUUGUAUUCUGGGGGUGGUUUCCCCAGUGGUGGAGACUUGUAAACAGGAAGAGGUGGUUUGUGCUCAUAUGGGGGUGGCUUGUGGUCAUUAGCAAGUGAGGGAGUGGUGAGGACCACCAAUCCAAGGAACAACACGAGUGAGCAAGCAGAAGACAUGUUUGGGCUCUGGUGAUGCACAAGUAGAAGAAAUGGGAACCAUUUAUAAUGCUUCGAGACCUUGGUUAGCACCAAAAUAUGUCAAAAUCUUGAUUACUUCAUUUCAUACAUAGAUUUAAAAUUAUUUCAAUCAACCAUGAUCCUUAAUUUUCUGGGUGGUCCAUAAAUGUAAUGGGGUCAAUUUGGGACCUAACAAGCUGAGAAGUUUGACAAUGCUGCAAGGCUUCAUCCGAAAGUCCGGGGAAGAAUAUUAGGAGUUACACUCCGUUUCCUUUUUUGGGUGCAUUUUUCUCCUUUAACAUUCUAUUCCCUUUUACAUUAGCAUUUGAUCUUAGCUCAUUUCAAGUACAAGUUUCUUGAACCCUAUACCAUUGUCAAAGUUGAGUAACCAUCUCUACUUUGCUCAAGAAACAUAAAAGACAAUGACAAUAAAGAAAAAGGAGAGAGACCAUACGUGACUUGGUUUAUAGGUGGCUUUGUGUUGACAUUUGAGUAUGGAAGCCGACAUGCAUCUUAGCUUCGAUUUUAAUUAAAUUUGUACAUUAGUGUCUGUGUCAUUCAUUUUGGUAUAAAAGGUCUCUUGAUUUCGUAAGUUUGGUAAGAACCGUUGAAAAUAGCAGUAGCAGCACAUGGUCCACUUUCUUUCACAAAAUAAUUUUAAAAGUUUAGAAGCAUAGGAGGUAACAUUAGUGGCCUUGUGGCUCAGCCACGAGUACUAUGUGGUGCUCGAGAAAUUGAGUUUAAUUUCCUUCCGAUAGUUCAUGAUAAGGUCCGUCACUGUCCUGAGACAGAUUGCGUUUUUUCUUUUUUCCUUUUUUAGUGUUUUAUUGACUAGCUAGGUGUGACUUUUCCUACUUUAAGGCACGAGGCAGAAAAGAAACUGGGAUUUAGUGCUUAAGAAGGCAAAUUUAAUUCGAUUUGGAUCUAAAAUUUGCCAGCAACAUGAGAUUUUCCAGCCUAUCGUUGCUCCACAUAUAGACAAGGCACUUGUAGAAGUGGCUUGUUUGUAGCCAUUCCCGAUAUUUGGACUCACUUGAUUCACCGGACACUUUGAUAAAAUUUAAUAUUUAUUAUUUAAUAAUUUAAAUUGAUUUAAAAUUAAAUUAUACCGAAGUUGUGAUUUAAAAAUUAUUAUUUAAUUCUUACUUUUAAAUAUGAAGAUUAUUUGAUAAAAAUAAUUUAAAAUUUAUUAUAAAUUAUCAAAUUAACAUAUUUAUCCUUAUAAAUUAUAAUUAAAACAGAAAAGGUCAAAUGAUUUGAGUAUCCAUAGAUGUGGUAAAAUAAUAAAAAAGAUUAUAAAAACAAUUAUGAUAAAUAAAGAUAAAAAGUAAAAUGAAUAUGUGAAUUUAAAGAAUAAAUUAAUUAUUUUUAUUUAUUACUUAAAAUUAUUUUUGACUUUAAAUUAUAUUAUUAAAUUAUUUUACCAAACAUACUUAAUUUAGUUAAUAAUUUAAAUUUAAUUUAAGUUAUUAAAUUGAUUCACCAAAUACCCACUUAAUCAAAGACUGAAGUAUACAUUAUUUGGCCAAAUGCAGCUAUUGAAAUUUAACUUUUUCCAAACUUAUUCAUUUUGUGGAAAUAUUUUUAGAAAUGAUUUUAAAAAUGCACUAUUCUGUGUGUUGAUUUUAUAUUUUGGCAUUAAUCCAACAUAGAAAACGGUUCUUAUUUUCGCUGUUAAAUAGGUACCAGAUCCUUAAUUAGUGCCGUGAAUCCGGCAGCUUCCAAUGAGUAAUUUGGACUUGGGUAUUGACAAUGUGUGGCCAUGCUUCUACUAUUUUAUUAUUCUUGAAACAUAUAUGAUAUAUUGGACUUUAUACAGGGAAAAAAAAAAAAAAAAGUCUUCACCAAAAAUGAUUCCUCCUAAAAAAUAGACUCCACAAACUAGGUUUAACAGGAAAAUGAUUCUAAUCUAGUAGUUUCCAGCCACAUGAGCAUUUACGUAACAAUAGUAUAGUUGAUAACGACUUUUAUUUUAUUUAUUUUUAAAUAGUUAAAGGGAUAAUUUUUGAGCUUAAAUUUUAUUUUUUUAUUUAGAAACAUUUUACUUUAUUUUUUAAUCAUAAUUCUAUUAUAUUAAUGUUUUAUUUUCUAUUUUUUAAUAUAUAAGGAGAUACUAAAUUUAUGUGAUUAUUUUUUAAAAAUUUAGUAUAUGAAAUUAAAUAAUUGGAUAUAUAUACAUAUAUCAUAUAAUGUUUUUUAAGUGUGAUUUUUGAACUUUUUAGUCAUUUUAUAAGUUUAAGCUUUUGAUUUUUUUUUUUAAACUUUGGUAUUUUUUAUUUUAUAUAAAACUAUUUUGAUUUAAUUUUAUUAAAAAAUAUUGGUAUUAUAAAUUAUUGUAUUAAUUAUUUUUUUAUAUUAUAAUGUAACUGGUAUAUACUAAAAAAUGUAUGCAAGUUCAAUUUAAGUUUCAAAUUAAAAAAUUUCAUUUAAAUAUUUAAUAACUUGUUCAUAAUAAAAAAUUAAACAACAUAAUACAAAUGAAAAGAAACAUAAAAGAAAAAGGAAAAAAUGGUCCUCUCUGUGUGUCACAUUACUAGGUCAUCCUCUUUUUCUAUGACCCUUACAAUAGAAUGGCAUAUUUGUCAAAUCUACUUAUGAAAGUUGGAAUGUUUCUACAUGUGUAGGGUCCAUUGGAACUAAUGGAGGAAAGGCUUAACGUCUAUGUAAAUCACAACGUUGCCUAGGUGGGCAUAGAUCUAGUUGUGUAACAUGAGAUGGUGUGAGAGUACAAUAUAUGCAUUGUAGUCUCUAUGGGAAGAGAGAUAGGUAAUGGUAGGGUGGUAGACGGUAGGGUGAUCUCUAAUAUAAUGACAUUUGAUGUGGUGGCUUCUAAGAGAGGAGAUAUAAGAGAUGGUAGAAUGACAUUUGGUGUAAUGGUCUCUAGUGCAAUGACAUGUGAUAUGGUGACCUAUAAAGAAGAGAUAUAGGUGAUGGUGAAGUGGUAUGUGGUGUAGUGACCUUUGAGAUAGAAAAUAGAGGUAAUGGUAGGUUGGCAGGUGGAGUGGUCUUUGGUGUAGUGACAUCAAUUAUAAAUGUCUCCAAGGGAGGAAAUAAAGGUGAUGGUAGGUAGUAAAUGUUGAGGUGGUCUUUGAUAUGUUAUGCUCUAAGAGAGAAGGUAUAGGUAAUGAUAAUAGGGAAUUUGACAUAGUGGUGUUGGAAAUAAAAAGUGAAAGUGACCGUAGAGGUGAAAGGGCAAGUGUAAAAGCCUCAAGUACGAAUGGAGUAAUUAAUGUGGAUGGUGCUAACAUAGUCUUAGGUGGAUACACAAAUAGUCAUAGUCAUCAACUAGCUUGCCCACCAUCUGUCUUUCUGCUAGUGAUAGGUUACAUCUUAAUAGUAAUGGCCAACAUAAGUGGUGUGGAUCCGAUUUUUUUACGUGUGUCCCCACUCAAUCGACAAGACUUAUUUUUUAUUAGUGAAAAAUUAAUUUUGGAAAAGUUGGAGUCACCACUUAUUUUAUUUUAUUUUAAAAAGGAAAGUAAAACAAGAAAGAGAACUCUAAAGAAGUGACUUCAUAGUUUUGGAAAAGUUAGUCUUAAAAAAUCCAAGUCUUGGUCCGGAGAUCAGGUUACUUAUUGGGAAGAUACCUCUAAGAGGUAAUACCCCUCUAAACCCUAAAGAAGUCUCUAAUGACUAAGUUGAGGAGAAUGUGGUAAUUAAUUAAUUGAUUGAGGGUACCUAGGUAGACUAAGGUGAUUUCAGAAUUAACAUACCAAGCUAGAAAGUCCAAUCAUGAUCAUAAAAGAGAGUCAAAGUAUGUACCUGAACUGCUUCUCAAACGCUAUCAUAAAACAUCAAAGUUAGUAUAGAAAUAUAACACAUAAUAUUUGUUUUAUCCAAGCAAAUAAAGCAUACAUCUAAGCACCCAAGAAUCACAUCAAGUAUGGAUAUAGUCAUCAAUAGCAUACGUGUCCAUAGAACUAUCGAAAGUAAAUGUGGAGGAGCGUAUCUGGACAACAUAGAUAACUUAUAAUGUGCUUCCACAAGACAUGGGGGUUAGAUAAAAGUUAUAAUAAUAAUUAGUAAAUGAAAGAAUUCUAGCAUGUUUGGUAUCUAAAUAACAUAGCAAAAAUGAACAAGAGUACACGAAAACAUCAAUUAUCACACGAGUCAUAUUGGCUAGUAUUUAAUCAAUAAACCAACAAUAAAUGACUAUAAACAUAUAAAAUGACAUAUUCAAAGAGACCCAAACAUAAAGAGCCUAGAACACAAGCUUACACUAAAUUUAGAAAACUAAAACAUGGAAUUUUAAAAGCAUAAAUUAGCAAACAAAUUGAUGGAAACUAAAUUUAGAUAACUUAAGAAUAUUUUUCUUAUCCUUCAAUUUAAAUCAGUAAGCCAACAAUAAAAAAUUAUAGAAACAUGGAAUAUCAAGAUCAAUGGGAUACCUAAACUAUAAUUUUUAAAAGAAAAUAAACUAAGCAUAAUAUCUACAAAGCAACUAAACUAACAUUUUUUUAAAAAUAAAUUAAACAUGACAUUAAUGGAGUAACCAAACUAAAUUAAAGUAAACUAAAAACAUUUAUGAAUUUUCAAACAUGGAAUCAGCUUUCUUAGUAAAUUAAAAUUAUUAAAAUAAAAUCUAAGCUUAAAAAUGAAUUAAAUACUAACUAAAGCAAAUCUAAAACCAAAUAUUUAACACAUAGGAUCAAUUAUAUUAACAAACUAAAAUUUUAUAAGAACACUUAAACCUAAAGUUGAAUUAAAAACUAACCAAUUUUUAAAACUAGAUCUUUAACCCAUAGGAUCAAUUAUAUUAACAAAUAAAUAAUAAAUAAUAAAUAAAUAAAACUCAAACCUAAAGAUGAACUAGAAAUGUACCAAAGUAAAUUCAAAACAAGAUCUUUAACACAUUAGAUCAAUUAUAUUGACUAACUAAAAAAAAAAAAAAAAAACACUCAAACCUGAAACGAUGUAUUAGAAACUAACCAAAGCAAAUUUAAAAUAGAGUCUUUAACACAUAGGAUCAAUUAUAAUCACUAACUUAAAUUACAAUUUUUGAAACAUGAACUAAUUAGUGUUGGAUUAAUUAAACUAAUUAACUAAAAAAAACUAUAAACUAGAAUACGGUGAAUCAAGAAUUCAAAUCAACAAACAUAAAAUAUGGGUACAAUGAAAUGAAAAUCUAUUAAACUAAUAAGACGGAAAUAUGACAAACUCAUGAACCCACAUUUUGAUCAACUAGGAAAUAGAAAUUAAUAGACCUGUAGCAUGGAUACAAUGAAAUGAGAUCAGUUAAAUUUAUUUGCCGAAAUUCUAAAAAACACAUACACUCAAAUAAGAUCUAAAUCUAAGACCAAGCAAAACUCAAACUUUCUCAAUCUAAUGCAAUGAAUCAAAACUAAAAUUAAAUAGAAAUCAAACCAUUUUUUUUUUAUCUAAUAUAAUAAAUCAAAGCUAAAACUAAACAAAAUCGAAUUUUCUUAAUUUAAUAUGAUGAGUCAAAGCUAAAAUUGAACAAAGUUCAAACCUUUAUAUAAUGGAUCAAAGUUAAAUCUAAAUGAAAUCCAUACUUCCACAAUUUGAUAUAACAAAUCAAAAAUAAAACUAGAUAAAAAAAAAGUCAAAGCCUUUCAACUUGACAUAGUGAAUCCAAACUGAAACGAAACAAAAUUUUAACUUUUCCAAUGAAACCCAAUAUAGAAAAAAUUAGCUUACCUUCUUUAGAAUAUAUGUAUGGGCCAUAAAGAAGUCACCUUGGUGCAUGUGUUCCUCACUUUGACGCCAAUGGACGACUUUCUAUGGUAGCAAAUGGAGAUCCUUUUUGGUGGUAACUUGCGUGUGGAAACCUAUGGUACAACCAAUGUCAUCUUUUAUUGUGCGUGUGGACCAAUUUCUUCUCGAGAACUCAUGUGUGUUGUGCUCAAAAUAUGUUGCCUGUGAGAAUCUAUUGGUAUACCCCACAUAUGGUUUCCUUGAGAGAAUCUGUGGUUGUGUGUGGGCGUUUUCUUCAUGACAGCAUGUGGAUGUUCCCAUCUAUGGUAGAUUGGUUGUGAUGCUUUAGUGCAUGGUCUCCAUAGGAAUAGUGUGUUAUGGAAAUUUGGUUUUUUUAUUGGUGCAUGUUGUCUAGACUUUCCCAUAUGCGUGGACUGUGUGUUCAUGCUUUUCUUUUCGGAUGGUCGCCUGUGUUAAUGUGUGGCGGUGUCUACAAUGAAAGAUACAACCCUUUCUCUCCUUCUGCGUGAUAGAAAAGUCAAUCCCCCAUGGUGCGACUAUGUUCCCUCGUCCUUUUUGAAAAAUUUUGGUGUUUUCCCCCCAAAAAAUCCCCUCCAAAAAUCUAAUUAUAAAUGUCUGCUUUGGCCUAAUGUGUGUGCUACUUUUUUUUUCCUUCUUUUUAUGGUUGUGCGUGCUUUUCUUGAUACGUGGCUUAUUUCUUAAGGAUAUGAUUCGCUCCCAAUUGGUGUCUCAGCUGAUUCAUGUCCUUUCAAUGGUCCCUGACAGUGGUGCCAUUUGAUUCGUGUCCAGCUGGUGUCCCUUGAUUGUGGUCCUCAGAAGGGAGUAAUCAAUAAAAUUUAUAACCUAUUACACCAUGUAUUAGGAUAGCCUUAGCUAGCAUAGCAUAGUGGCUCUAGGGUCGUUUAUUGGGAUGAGUUUUCACUUCACAAUUGAUAUUAAUUCAAGAGCUGAAUUGGUGCCUUUUCAUUUCAAGGUUAGCUUUAAAAGAAAACAUAAUCUUUGGUGGAAAAAGGUUUGGUUUUAAACUAACCAAAAAUAGUAACUGAUUUUACUUACAAAGAAAAGUGUUCUUUGGAGUUUAGAUCACUAGGCUCAGGUUCCUCAUACAAAAAGGAGAGUUCCGAUCAUUUGUUUCUUUUCCUCGCAUUAGAGAAUUAACAUAUAGUUAAUUCUCUAACCGGUGCGGUACAUAUGCUUCCCAUUAAUGGGUUCAAACACUAAAUACCUCUCACUGAUGCACCUUGCAAUGGCUCGUGCCUCUCACCUAGCAUUUAUCAUUCAAGGUGAUCUUUAACCUUGGAUUACCCAUCAAAAGCUCGCAAGAGAUAACUAAAGGAUGUCUCCUUAGAGUCCAAAAGCUUACCAAGUGUUGGUUAUUCUAGAAAAUCCUACCUUCAAACCACCUCCCAAAGGCUCGCAAGAGAUAAACAAGUGCAUCUCAAUGGAUGAAGAUCACUUGCCUUACCAAGUUUUGGCCCAGAUGAUUUAAUGACAUUUUAAGUUAACUAAAAAGAUAAAAACCAUUAACGGGUCACACUUUCUCUUCAUUAAAAACUAAAACAACAAAACUUCCAAUUUAUGCAUGAGGAAACUUACCUGGCUUUCUUCACUUCAAGAGAUGAAGAGCCUAGCCACUCAUCAUUUGAGGAAAAAUCCUCAGAGUUUGAUUUGCUAGAAAUAAAAAUAAUGAGAAAACAAAAAUAUAUAUAUGAAAAACAGAGCAAGUUCUCUGUAAUAUAUUUUUCUUCCUUAUACAAAAGGUUGUCUCUAAGAACAAGUUCCCGAGAUCUAUCUGAUUGUAAAUAAAAUUACAACUAUAUAUAAGAGGUUAUUCACCCCUUUGUUCUUUCUUAAAGACUAAGGAAUCCUAUGAUAGGUGGGUUACAAGGAGAGUUUGGGGAUUUAGACAUCAAAUAUCUAAAGCAAAAUAUCUCAAGAUGUUAGUCGGAAAUAUCAGGAAGCUUCAGGAGAACACCGCGACACUGUAUACUGAGAGAAAAACUCUCCGGGUAAGCUCUAUCAAAGGAUCCAGACAUGUCUGACUGGGAAAGUUGAAACGUCCUUCUCUCCCAUCCGGAUGUGAGAUAUCCGGAGAAAGUGAAAUGUCGGUCGGACAGAAUUCUUUCCCCGGGUGGAAUGAGUUGUGUUGCGCGUCGCAAGGGGGACCGUCUGCGUGUACAAGUUGUAGGGACCCCUCUCCCGGAUGACACCGAGCGCGUAAGGCUAUCCGGAUCAACUCCAUUCGGAUUCCCCAAGAGGACAUGUGGCGUGCUCCCCUAUCAGGACUCCCUUAGGGAGAAGCACACGACACUCGUGAACAUCAUACCCGGACGAUAGCAUGUCCUAUCCGGAUGUGUUGUCCGGAUCAUUGACUAAAGUGAGCAAGCCUUGCUACGUCAUUCGGACAGCUUGCCACAUACCAUGUUCCGUCGCCAUCUGAUGGUGUGUCCGAACGCCUUGUCCGGACAUCUUUUGCUCCUUGCAUUCCGGAUUUGCUUAUGACAAAGGACUUCAAAGCUUCGGUUCUUCAUGUUUCUGAGCUUUCCAUUGCUUUGCCAUGGAUUCCAAAGAACUCUCCUUAAUCACGGAUUGCUUUGGUGAUCAAAAAGUUAUCAAAACACAAAAACUUAACAUAGUUUGAUUAGAAUUGAUUGCAAGGGUUCUUAAUAUGUUAAUUGGGUUAAAAGGUGAUAACUACUACUCAAAAGUGUUUAUAAGAAUUAAUUACAAGCUAUGAAAUAACACUUUUUGAGUAGUAAUCAGGAUACAUCCUAGUUUUUCAUGGAAUUGAUAGUGGGUUGUUGUGCAUGAAUGCCACCAUUUCAACUAUGCUGUUGUUAUUUUUAAAAAAAAUAUGGAUUAUGCGCGAGUGGCAAUUCUCCACUAUGGAAAGUGGAUUGCUCCUUCAACCCAUGCAUGGCUACGUAUUCCUAUGUCUUUCUACUUGUGUUUGAUCCUCCAAAAAAAAUUUCGGUUUAGUGCUAGUAGAUUUUAAGUGGUGGAUCCCCAUUUUUUGAAAAUGAAGUGGCAGCCUCCCAUUUCAAGACAAAAUGGUAGCCUGCCUUUAAUCUUUGGAGAAAAAUCUGUGCAUGACCUUUUUUUUUCCCAAAAAAUCCGUGCAUGGUGUCCUUUAAUAUUUGGAGAAAAAUCUAUGUUGGAUCUUUUCUUUUCUAGAAACAUUUGUGUGGUCUUUUUUGUUAGCCCAAGGGUUCUUCUAAUCAAGUUUUGAUGAUAACAAACCAUGGUUAAGUGACUAAUUGGUUUAAUGAUUAAGAAUCUCAAACAUAAAAUCGAAAAUUCAUCAAAGGACCAAAUGGAUACAAGAUCGAGACGCUUGGAAGACUUGUAAUCAUAGGAAACUAAUGUAAGAUGAAUGCAUGAGUGCACUUAGGAUUUUCACACGUUUCAUGCAACUUAGAAAACCCAGUUUAUUCUUUAAAACUUCAUCCCAGUUUAUUCUUUUUAUGGUUGUGUGUGCUUUCCUUGAUACGUGGCUUAUUUAUUAAGGAUACAUCCCAGUUUUUCAUGGAAUUGACAGUGGGUUGUUGUGUGUGAAUGCCACCAUUUCAACUGUGCUGUUGUUAUUUAAAAAAAAAAAAAAUGGAUUGUGCGCGAGUGGCAAUUCUCCACUAUGGAAAGUGGAUUGCUCCUUCAACCCAUGCAUGGCUACGUAUUCCUAUGUCUUUCUGCUUGUGUGUGAUCCUCCAAAAAAAAUUUUGGUUUAGUGCUAGUAGAUUUUAAGUGGUGGAUCCCCUUUUUUUGAAAACUAAGUGGCAGCCUCCCAUUUCAAAACGAAGUGGUAGCCUGCCUUUAGUCUUUGGAGAAAAAUCUGUGCAUGACUUUUUUUUUCCCAAAAAAUCCAUGCAUGGUGUCCUUUAAUAUUUGGAGAAAAAUCUAUGUGGGAUCUUUUAUUUUCUAGAAAAAUUUGUGUGGUCUUUUUUGUUAGCCCAAGGGUUCUCCUAAUCAGGUUUUGAUGAUAACAAAUCAUGGUUAAGUGACUAAUUGGUUUAAUGAUUAAGAAUCUCAAACAUAAACUCGAAAAUUCAUCAAAUGACCAAAUGGAUACAAGAUCGAGACGCUUGGAAGACUUGUGAUCAUAGGAAACUAAUGUAAGAUGAAUGCAUGAGUGCACUUAGGAUUUUCACACGUUUCAUGCAAUUUAGAAAACCCAGUUUAUUCUUUAAAACUUCAAUUUCAUUAAAACCCGAGUUUUUAACUAAUGUACCUUAGGCAAAAUGUUUUAUAAUUGGCUUAAUAAUUCACCUAAAUACAUUUUCUAAGUGUUAGAAAAGAAAGGAAUUAAAAAAAGGUUUUCGGGGCAAAAAAGGCUCAACCGGUCGAGGCUAUGGUCAACCGGCUCAACCGGUUGAGGAACCAAUCGAUCGGUUGUGCUUGUCCGAUCGAAGACCAAUCGAGGGAUGCCAAAAAAUUUCUCUCUCUCCUAGUGGCCUUCUCUUCCCGGUCGAGGUUCGGUCUAGGCAACGGUAACAUGUCAAGCAUUAAAUGCUCCGACGACUAGUGAAUCGGUCGACCCCUAGCCCGAUCGGACGAGGUUGCCUUUUGCUGUUUUUGACUCCCGAGCUUAGAAACCUAUAAAUUGAGAGCUCCACUUCAUUUAUUGAUAAAAGAGAACACUUGCAUUCAAUAGUCUACCUACCUUUUCUUGAUCAAAAAGCUCUCAUUUCCUUCAUAGUGCAUUAAAUCAUCACUUGCAUAUCCUUUAGUGCACUAUUGUGUGUCAUCCUAGCUUUGUUUUGUAUUUGAGCUAUCCUUAAGCUAGGUUGAGGGAUUAUUUCUUAUAAAAAUCUGAGUGUUAAAGCCUUCAAGAGAUUUGAAUCUUGAAGAGAUUGUGUAAGAGCCCAUUGGAGCCGGAGUCCAAGUGUAAGAAGAUUGGAAGCUUGGUUGAAGCUUCAAGUUAGUGGAACCCUCACUCGGUUAGGAGGUUGAGGAGAGUGGACGUAGGUAAGGAAGUGUCGAACCAUUAUAAACCCGAGUUUGAAUUCUCUAACUCUAUCUCUUUAUUUUGCUUAUAUUGUGUUUGAAUUUGUUGUGAUUGAAAAGAUUUUAAAAACCUAAUUCACCCUCCCCCCUUUUGGGUUUUUUUUUCUUAAUUAAGCAUAACCUUUGUUUUCUAAUUUUCUUUUUAGGAAAAUCCAUGCGUGGUAUGUCCAAACUCUCCAAGUGGCAGUCUGCCUUCUUCUAAAAAAUUUGUUUCUAUUUCUUUAUUCGACUACCUUCCAUGUCUUCCUAAUGAGUGCUUGUGCUCAAUGGUCAAUCCCUGGUGGUUGCCUCCUUUUCCCAUAUAUACGUGUUGCAAAAUCAACAUCCCACUAUAUGUGGGUUGCCUCUAUGGCAAGUUCACAUUUCCCACAUGAAACCUAUGAGUUUCCACCAAAAAUUGCCAUGAAAAAGUCUUUAUAUGCAUCUCAUGCAAUAAAAAGUCAAGCCAAUACUCAUCUUAUCUCGAAAAAUAAGUAACCAAAAUCAAGAUCAUGCCUAAGUGAACUAUGCCAAAAGAAGUGUCCAAGUGACCUAUUAUGAAAAAAGUGCCUAAGUGACCUAAGGUGAAUGUGUGUAAGCUGGAAGGUGUCUAGGAUGUUUAGGACAAUGCCUAAGCCUAAAAUAGGGUUGCCAAGGGUCACAAUGGGGUUAGAUAAAUCUCUCAAUCAGAGUCUCCAAGGUGGCUCAUAAAAGAUAAGCUACACGAGUAAUGAUGGGCCACCAGGGAAUUAUUGUAAAGCACCAAACGAACACAUAAUAGGACAUGUGUUAGAAUGAAAAAAUGGAGGGUUUACAAGUGGUCUCAUGGAUGAGCUUGAUAAUUUAAAUGACUCACAUAAUGAACGUAUGUGAUGUUUCUCUCCAAUAACAAGCAAAACAUCACUAGCAAUAUGAUGAAUGUCUCCUAAAUCACUUGAAGUAGUCCUAGCAAAUCAAUUAGAAAAAUCACACAUAUUGCUCUAAUGUAAUAUUAUAUACAUCUGUCAAUGAAUGGGAGAACUAAUGACACAACCAUCAUGUUGAUAUCUCGAACCCUCUAAUCUCAUAUGUAGGUGGGAUCACACUUAGAAACUCAUAACACAGUAAUGACCAAUCUAAGUCAAAAUGUGUUGGUGAUCGGAGGCCCAUGAAUAUGAAGUUCUAGGAUGAUAAUGACAUCUUAUAAAGUAAUGAUCAUCUCCUUAAUAGAUAGGUGAAAUGUGUGUGUCUUAGGACACCAUCUCUCAACAAGACUUGUGAUCAAUCCCCAGUCUAGUGUAACAUGCCUAUUAUGACAUCCAUCGUAAAAUCUAGACUAGAUAAUAUAAGGACAAAUGUGAGGGUUCAUCUCCCUUUCCCACAUAAAUUUAAAAAAUUAUUAUUGACAAGUUAAGACCAAACUAAGUUGCAAAAUAUAAAUAAGUCCAUUAGAUAACAAAUUUAUGUUUUCUCAUUUUCUCAUUUUUAAAGAGAUAUUAUGUGCUUCCAUGUACAUACAUGCUAAAGUCAAUUAUACGAGACUUAUAUCCAUCUUGUAGAACCAAAUCGAACCUAUCUAAUAGAUCCAGAUUAGAAGUAUGUCCUCUAUACUCCAUAUUUAUAACACAUUUAUAAAGAUAAAUGCUAAAAAAAUGUUAAAGAUAUAAAUUUAAUGAACCAUACUUUAUGAUUUUAAUUCUCAAUUAUUGUUCAUAUUUAUAAGAGAAAAGUUAAAAAAAUUGAUAGAGUUUUCCCUCUAUCAUGGACAUUAUCCCAAAUAAAAAUAAAUUGAUUAUGCAAAUUACAUUAAUAUUUGUAACCAAAUGAUCAAUAACUAUCUUGUAUCAAUUUAGUAAAUAAAUUUAAGUAUAUCUUUUCAUUUAUGACUAACAAAUAACUCAUACUUGUCCAAUAAAAGCCACACCUAAUUUCUAAAAUUUUGUCUUCACCUCAAGUGAGUGUUACAUUGAGAAAGAAAAAAUAUGAAAGAAAAAAUGAACACCUUUUUCUUUUAAUAAAAAAAGGCCAUAACGAAACAUUAAAUCUCACUGUUACACCUAUCUUCAAUGGAAACAUGAGGAUGUGAAUGGUGGCGGUGAUAUUCUUUGCUUGAAGCUCAUAAACAAAUAUUCCUUACUAAGCCUAUGCCAUUUAGUAUUUCAAUAGUGGACCCCCCCCCCCCCCCCCCCCCCCUCCUUGCAUUUCAGAUUUAGCAAACUUAGAACCAAAUAACAAAGUGCAUUUGAACCCAUAAAGAAGUAAUGAGACUCUCCUAUAUUGGCAAUAGAAGAAAUUUUUGGAGGUAUAGGAGAUUCACGGAUGAAGAAGUUGGGCCCCAAUUGAGAUAAGACCCAAGAAAAGAUGGGGUAGAGAGGGAUGGUUGGAAAUUGUAAAGUAAGAUUUUCAAAAUGUAGUUGAUGACUAAGAUUUUGACAAUUUAAAAAAGGUUUAAAAAUGUAGUUAGCAAUCGGGGUUUUGUAACAUUUAAAAAAUAAAAUAAAAUCUCAGGCCACAUGGUAGCCCAUGUGAUUCAGAAGCUUGAGAAUUAUUUUAUAAGAAGACUUAAUUUGUGAUUUUUUUAUAACUAUAUUAUUUUUUUUCUUAACACACGAAAAAAAUUAUGAAAUAAGACAAUUUUCCUAAGAAAGCAUGUAAGUGACUCUUGGUUAUUUUAUUUAACUUCUUCUAGUUUGGAGAGGAUUAAUACCUUUGCUUUUACUCACUUGCUUGGAUAUGUACACGUUGUUCAUGUCACUUUUCAUUUAAUUUUCUGAUUAAGGGAAUUGGAACCGUACGUAACUGUCUUUAUUCCCUCUGAAACUUGGACUUGGAGUUGGACUUUCAAUCUCAUCAGUCGUGUUUCCAUAAAAAAGAAGAUGGAUUAACCAAUUUUCCUAUGCCUACUAAUCAUACACAAAACUCCACUUCCAAAUAAAAAGGAAUGGGAUAUCACUUGUUAAUAGUGGCUAAAGACUAUUAAUAACCAUGCAAAGAAAUGUCACAUUUUUUGUUCUACGCAAAUUUUAUUCAUCAACUACUAGAACCAUUUCAUACAAUAGUAGCUUUUCGAUCCUUUGAUAAAUGGACACUUGAUGUGAUAACACCAACUACACCUAUAUAUUCAAGCAAUCAUGCGUAUAUAAUAGUGGAUAUGGAUUACUUCUCUAAAUGGGCAAAAGUUUUGUCAUUCAAGGAAAGUGAACGAGGAAACACAAGUUUACUUUCAUCGGAACUAAUAUUAUAUAUUGAUAUGACUUCCCAUUAUUACUUACGAUGGAAUAUGCUUCCAUAAAAUGGCCUAGAUGAACAAACUAUCCAAGAAGUUUGGGAUCAAAUAAUAUAUAUAUAGUUCAUGUGUGAUUCUUUGGUUGACAACCUUGUUAAGGGGUGAGUGAAGCACUUUGGGCAUACCACAUACUACAUGCUAGACUUCCACCCAAGCUACCCUAUAUUCCUUAUGAACAAAGUAGAAGUUGUCAUCUCUCUUGAAUACCAAAUCCUUUCACCUAAUAAUGCUAUCUAAAAAGGUCUUAAAAAGGAUAAAAAUGCGCAUAUUUGAAUUUUUGAAUUAGGAGUGCUACUUAAAAAGAAGCUAGAUAUACAAUAAUAGAAUGUUAUCAAGCAUAUCUCUUCAAAGUUUUUGACCAAAAAAUAUAUGAUUUCUCAUUUUAGGUAGGAGACUUAGUACUCACUAUUCAAAAACCAAUUAUCAUUACUCAUAAAAACUAAUAGAAAGUUUGGGCCAAAGUAGGAUGGACCUUAUAUUAUGCAACAAUUAUGCCUAUAAAAUUGUUGCAAAAGAGGUUUUAGAAUCAAAUCAAUGAAUGAAAAAUUAUUAAAGCAUUACUAUGCUUGAAGGCUAGUCAUUUUCCCUUAAAGUGCAAUAUUAAGUUGCAUAGUACUAUGUGGAUCCGCAUUUUUCACAUGCGUUCCCACUCAUUGUCGAGACUCACUUUUUAGAAGUGAAAAAUUAGUUUUAUUAAAGUCGAAGUUGCCACUGGGGAUUUGAACCCUAACAAAAGGUUCAAUUUAAGGAUAAAAAUAUCGAUAAUCACAUAUAUAUAUAUUGGUACUUUGAUUUUAUGAAUAUAUUGAAGAAAUAUGGACAAAUAUUUUGACACAAAAUAUGUACAAAAUAAAAAUUAUAUAAAAAGUAAAAAUAAAUAUUUUAAAAUUAUUUUUUUAAAUAUAUAUAUAUAUAAUUUGACAUAUUUGAUAAUAAUAUAUAAGGGUCUCCAAAAAGCCCGUGGCCCGCUUUAGGCCCGGUCCGACCCGACAGGCUAAAGCCCGGCCCAAGCCCGCCGGGCCCAAGCUCGGCCCGAGCCCGUUUAUGGGUGGGCCGGGCCGCGAGCCCGUAGGCCUGCUCCUUUAAAAAAAAACUACAAAAAUAAAAAGUAUUAAAAAAAAUAUUCAUUUCAAAAUUUUAUUCAUUGAAUGUAUAAUUACAUUUGAAAAUGUGGGAAAAGUUUACAUCACUACAAAAUAAAUACAUCCCAACUAGGUUGGCACCUAUUUAUUUGUCAAUCAUCUGUAUUUUUCAACCACAAAAAAUAAAAAUAAAAAUAUAAUAUACAUUUAGUCAUUAUUUUCUGGCGGUGAUGGCGAACUAUCAUGCAUCCAUGAAGAUCUUGAUAAUUUUAAAGAUUCCAUAUCGGUAAGCAUCUUUGUUUCUCGAAUGGAAUCAUACAUCCUUUUAUCUGCUAUUUCCCAAUCUUUCACACAUAUCCCUGCUUUAAUAACAUCUGACGCUAAGUUGCAUCGUUUUUUACUAACUACUCUUCCACCUGCACUAAAAGCAGCUUCUGAUGCAACUGUACUCACAGGAACUGUUAGUACAUCACGAGCAAUUAUAGAAAGCACAGGAUAUUUGUGUUGAUGUGAUUUCCACCAUAUUAAAAUAUUAAAAUCUUCUUGAUCUUCAAAUGAAAUUAUAUCAGUAUUAAGAUAUUUAUCUAAAUCAGAUGUAUUAUUUGGAGAAUUAUUUGUUGUCUUUUUUCGACUUUUCAACAUUUCUAGAGCUCCUUUAUAAAAAGAUGAGGAGUUUGUAGAUGUAGGUGGUAAUUUAAUAGUAUUAAUAUCAUUACCAUAUUUUUCUUUAUAAUAGUUAUAUAAAUUAUAUAAUAAUGAAUUUAUUUCAUUUUUAAUUUCUUCAAUUUUUAUUUGGUCAUUAAAAUAAAUAAUUGUUAACCAUUCAUCCAAAGCUUCAAAUUUCAAUCUAGGGUCCACAAUUAAAGCAAUAUAAAAAAUUAAAGGUAUUUCUCCCCAAUAUUUUCUAAAUUUUUAUAUCAUUACAAAUAUUGUAUCAUUAAAUAUUUCAAAACUUAAAUAUUUUUGAAGUACAAUAAAAAUAUUAGUUAUUUGCGUAAUAACUCGAUUUGAAGUUGGAUAAUAUACACCACAAAAAAUGUUUGUUGAAGUAUCAAAAAUUUCAAAAAGAUCUCUUAAAACAUCCGCAAUAUGCCAAUCAUAAUCAUUUAAUGCAUAAAUAUCUGCUUCAUAAUCAUUGUUAAUUAAUUGUAUUUCAUAUAAUUCGACUACUUUUCUAUAUUUUGUAAUAUUUUCUAAAAGUUUAUAUGUGGAAUUCCAUCUAAUAGCCAUAUCCAAAUUUAUAUUUUUUCUUUUCAUAUUUAACAUUUUGCAACAAUCAAAAAAUAAUUCAUGUUUUGCUUGAAAACUAUUAAUACUAUAUGCAAUGCCUCUAAUUUUUUUCCAAUGUACUAUCAACAUUUUUUAAUCCAUCCUUUACAAUUAAAUUUAAAAUAUGUGCACAACAACGCACAUGAAAUAUUUUAGCAUGAUCUUCUUUUACUUGCCAAUAUCGUUUUAGUCUAUGUAUUGCUGCAUCAUUAUUAGCAGCAUUAUCUAAUGUUAUUGUCAAUAUUUUAUCACGAAUGCCUAAAUCUAUAAUUUCAUCAUUUAUUAAAGAUGCUAUAUUUUUACCACUAUGUGGAGUAUUUAUUAAUUUAAAUAAAAUUAUUCUUUUAUUUAAUUUCCAUUCAUUAUCAAUGUAGUGAACAAUUAUAUAUAAAAAACCAGUAUGAGUUAAAGAUGUCCAAAUGUCAGAUGUUAAACGAAUAUUUCCUUCAAAAUUUGCAAAAUUUUUUUUUAAAAUUUCUUUUUGUGUAUAAAUUUUUUUCAUAAUAUCUCUUUUAACUGUAUUUCCAGAUCAACCUUUAAAUUGAGGAUUAAUACCUCGUUGAAUUGUUCUUGCAAAAUCAUGAGUUUCCAUCAUGUUGAAAGGUUGUUCUGCUCUUAUUAUAUAAUCAAUCAUUUCUUCACAACAGUUAGAUUCAUCAUAAGAAAAUGUUUUUAAAUUUCCACUUUCAUUUUUACUUAAUUGCAUAUAAUUUCUAAUAUCUACAUUAUUUUUAGUUUUACAAUUUUCAUGAUGUCUUUUUAAAUGACUUGUAUCUGCAUUUGAGCCACCAGUAAGAAAUUUAUUACAAAUUUUACAUUUUGCUUUUAUUUUUUUUUUAUUAUUUUCUAAAAUUAUUUCUAUUCUAUCAAAAAAAUUCCAUAUAUUUAAAGUAAAUUUUUUGUUUGAUGAUAUUUCAUCACAUGGACUAGACGAAGAAGCACUUGUCAUAUUAUAAUUAUUGAUAAAAUAUUAUGCCAAAAAUAAUAAAGUAAUAAAUAUAAAAAAAAAUGUAACAAAAAAAAUAAAGUAGUAGGGGUGAAGUAUGUUACUCAAUUAGAGAACCUAUGCAGAAAUUCCUAGCAAAUUUGAACUCUUGGAGCCACCAAUGCUUGUUUUGCACCAUCAACAAUAUUGUAUAAUUUGAGGGAAAAAUAAAAGAAUUUAAAAUAUUGUAGAAUGUGAGAGAAAUAGAGAGAAUUUGAUGAAAAAAUGAAAAGGAAGAAAAUGUAUUUAUAGGAAGGUUAAAAAUAAUAAUAAUAAUAAUAAUAAUAAUAAUAAUAAUAAUAAUAAUAAUAAUAAUAAUAAUAAUUGGCCAUGUGACCGUUGGAGGCUUAGCUCCAACGGUCACAUGGGCUGGAGCUAGGCUCCAACAGUCACAUGACCGUUGGAGCCUUUAAUUUUUUUUUUUAAAAUAAUAUACUUUAUUUUUAUAUAUAUAUAACUAACUCAAUUAAUAAACAUAAAAAGAAUAUAGUUCAGUUGGUUAGAACCUUGAAGUUUAAACAUGAGGGGAGGGGUUUGAAUCCCUCCCUCUCCCUUAGGGGCUUUUUUAAAAGCCAUUUUGGCUUAUUUCAAAAAGCCUGUCGGCCCGACCCGCCCUGCAGCCCGCGGGCCUAGCAUUUUAGCAUGGCCUGGUCUGUUGACUAGUCAAAUGGCUCAUAGGCUCGGCCCGAACUGGGCCGCGGGCCUCUUAUUUACGGACCGGCCCGACCCGGCCCGCCCGUUGGAGACCCUUGAUAAUAUCUUCUAUAUUAAGUUACAUUAUAGUUUAUUUUACAAUAUUAUUAUGAUAAUAUGUCUAAUUUUAAAAUAUAUUUAAUAUUAAAAUUAUGAUCUAUUUUAAUUUAAAUGUAUUCAAUGAUAUCAAAUAAAUAAUAAUAUAUGUAUAAUUCUUUUAUUAUUUAUAUUUAUUAUUUUUAAUAAAUAUAUAGAUUAUAUAAAAAAGACCGGAUAUAUCUUUUCAAAUUUUGUAUCGCUCUCCAAGGAUAUUAGAUGUAUGGGAAUUUGUAUUGCUAUCUACGGAUACGUUGAUAUAUGGGUGAUUUAUCAGGAUAAUUAGAAAUUCUAAUUAUGUAAGCAGGUACGGAGUUCUGUGUCGGUGCGAUCUUGUCGACAACAGCUCCAAAUUGUGCAUCUUGCUCAUAGAGAGUAGCGGAAUGCACCAAUCGUAGGCUCAGAGUACCACUGAGUCGUCUGGCAGAGACCCAACUGAAGGUGCCUGUGUUGUUCCUGAUCUGAUCAGGCUUCAAACUACAAGGUGGAAUACUGGUUCCCCUAUAUCAGAAGCUGGAGAUACCCACCCCAUAUGCUCGUCUGGAUGUGCUCCUACCCUUUGAAGCCUUCUUCCGAGUCAAGUCCGAAUUGAUAAGGCUAGUGAGUUCCCAACCAACUGUACUCAGCAUGCUGCCAGGUGGAGACCCUCCAUAUUUGAUGGCUUCCUAAUAUUAAAAUGCUGACCACUGGUCUUCAUGUUCCACAGGCUUAAUUGUGUCCUUUGCUGAAAGAAUGGAUAGUGAUCCAUUUUAACACAUGAUUCACGCCGUCUUUGCCAUUCUUCAUGGUCUAGCCCUUUUAUAUAUAUGCUUCCUGAACUGUUGCUAUUAAUAAAAUGUGGUAUCUAUCCCGUACACCUUCCUGAUGGCCAGCGAAUGCAGAAGCUACAGAAACGGUUCCAUCUUUUGCUUCCGCCACUUUGGCAUCCUCCAUGAUGAGAUCGAAGGUGAAUAAUCAUAUUCUGGGGAUUUAUGUCCUGGAUAUUCUCAGUAAUGCCCAAUUUCCUGGUGCCGGCCUCAUUUCCAUGGGAACUGAUGGAUAACUUAAGGCUUCUACCAUCUGCGUGGUUCGCUUCUAACACAGGAAACUUCACGGCUAAAAGCAAGAUACCAAGAACAUCAAGGCUGUGACAAAAAUUAGUAUUUUUAACUUGUAGGAAUUUGAAAGGCAACCAACCAUCUAGCUCUGUUCUUAAAGCUCCCAUAGGAGGAUCAGAGGCUGGAUUGCUCAAGAUGAACUCAUCCAUUGUUGCACUUAAAAAGAAUUGGCAUGAAUUGUGGCCGCUCUAAUAGGUUCCCUAAACCAUCAUCCAAGUGGGCUUGCGGAAGGUAGCGAGUUUAAAACACCUAGGGCGAUGAACAGUGGACUGUGAUGCUCACAAAAGAGAAAAGGAAGAAUUCAAUAAUUCCUAAGAAUCCAUUUGCCUGUCAUCCAAAUUUUUAUAUUCUCUUCAGUCUGACGCGUUAUGCCAUAUAUUAAAAAUAGCGGCUUCUUCCAAGCCGAGACAGACUGUGCAAAGUUCGCAAGGCCAAUCAUCACCAUAAUCUGAAGUUGGCCUCCUCAAUCGCAGCUUGUAUCCGAAUGCUCACUUCACGGGAUGGAUUGUAAUGAAAACUAAUCUCAGUCCCAGCUAUGGCAGCAUCCUCACUUGACAGCAUUUUCUGCAUAUUCUAGAACAAAGCAAUAAACCCUCAAAGGCUCCUUCGGAUCAGAGUUAGAAGACUGUCCCUCAGGAACGUGAACACUAUGGUGGUUCUGAUAAGCAGUGAUAUUGCAUUAGAGCCUUUUGGAACAAGAGGAUCUUUUCAGGUGGAAACUGUAAACUGCUUCAUGUUGGGCUGCAACCUUUUCUUCAAGCAAUACUUUCUUUCUGUAUCACGACUUAUGUUGCUUCCGGAGCCAUCCCGUGUGGACUGCCCUUCAGUGAAAGAAUAUGUGUGUUGACAUGUUGGAUUGUAAUCUUUGUUCCACUCUAAUGGCUUUUGGUCCUCCUCUUUCUCUUUAUGACAGAGAACCAUUUAGUGAUCCAUCUCUAUAUUGUAGCAUUGCUGGUGCUUUGCAAUACUACACUCUCACCAAGCAUAACAUCUAUUUUUCCGUGACCAAAGUAUGUCGGUUUAUGCAUGCGCAAACUCUUAUUCAUUGGCAAGUUGUCAAGCGUAUCUCAUGAUUUCCCAAAGCCACAAGUUCUUAUGGUCUUUCUGUUCAAGCUUACAAUGAUCUAUCUUUUCUUGGUUAUACUGAUGUCGAUUGGGCUAGUUGCCCUGAUAACAAGCACAAUACUAGUGGGUACAACACUUUUCCUGGUCCUAAUCUCAUUUCAUGGGCAUUUUCAAAGCAGAAGGUUGUGUCUCACUCCAAUAACGAAUCUGAAUAUAGGGGACUCACUAAUUAAUGUUGUUGCCAAGGUCACUUGGAUUGAAUCUGUCUUACGUGAGUUGCGUGUUUCUCUACCCCAACCACCAAUUUUGUUGUGUGACAACAUUAGUGCUACACACUUGGACAAACCAUGUUGAAAUACACUAUCAUUUUAUCCAUGAAAGGCUUAUGCAUCACACACUCAAAAUUCAAUACACCUCUUCUAUAGACCAACUAGUCAAUGCUAUGACCAAAGCUCUUCCUUCAUCUCACUUGUACAAUCUUCAGUGCAAGCUGAUUGUUCUUCCCAAACCACUCAACUUGAGGGGAGAUGUUAAGCCAAUUUAAUAAAUUGAUUUCUUUUGGUUAAUUUGUUAGAAUCAUUUUUAUUAGAGGUUUGUUUGUACAAUUACAUCCAUUUAUCAGGAGAGUACACGUGUACAACUCCUCUUUUAAUCUCACCAUUGUAUAUAUAUGAUACACGACCUUACUCAGAAUUGCAUAACAUUUCCUCUGCUCAUUCCUUUUCUUCUUUGAAUUUUCCCUUACCUCACUGAUUUUGAUUUAUACCUGGUGUUUUCACCUUUGGUCUCUACCUUUCUAGCCAGUUUUCUAAUUAAUCCGUAUAUGGUAUACCUGUCAACUAAUGAGGAGAAAGAGAAAAGGGGAUUGCUGUUCCACCAGCUACAUAUAAUAAUUAAUUACAAUCAUGGUAAUGGAUCCUGAAAUCCAUCCUUUGUGGAUUUUGUACGGAAUAUUGUUGUUAUGUAUGUGGGCUCACUUAGAUGUAUAUUGCUAGCCUGUCUGGGAAAUGUGAUUGCAGGUCCAGAUUAUGAUGUUGAUAUUAGUGGGAUAAGCAAGAGAUGCAGUUAACACGUAUGUGAUGGACUUGAGUAACUUUUCCAUUUCAGUCCAUUUUUUAAGAUUAUGCUUAGUCUUAUUACAAGGAAAGACCAUAAGAAUCAUGAGUCAUUGGCAAGGUAAUAUCAUUCCCUCUUUACAGGCUUCUUCACCUUUUGGUUUUUUUAAUAUCCAUCAAGAUCUUUUAAUUGGAGGACAAUUACAAGUAUAUAUAUAUGUAUUAAAAGGGGAAAAUAUUAAAACAGGAAAUUUUAGGGAAAAUAUAAUAAUUAUUUCUUCCUUCUUUCCCAUAUAGAACUACACAAAAUAAAACUUUAAUAAUUUUUUCUUAUCUUUUUUAUUAUUAUUUUUUCUUAGAAACAUCCGUGGUCUCACAAGCUUGUAAUCCUAGAUUGUUAGGCUCCUUUAACAGUGCCCCAACAUCGUGGUCCAAUGACAAGCUUCCACGCCUUAAAAUCAGAAAAUGCCAUUAAACUUUAUCAGACAUUACAGUUCAAGACAAAGCUUUCAUUUGCUUAAUGUGAUAAUGAAAUUGUUAAUUUCAUUUCGUGGGCAUCUAAAUUUGGACGAGCAAGACCUCUGAAUUCCCUGUUUUUAUCACCAGCAGAGGAGAUAAAAUCUUAAUGGUGAGAAUCUCCACGUGAAAUUUAUGUGUACUGUCAACAUAUUUUUGUUUAUAUAGUCCAGUAGCUGCAGGAAGUCUAGAUUAUAUAGGUAGCAGUAGCACUAUUUAUAGCACUCGAUAUUCGCUGUAUGAAUACAUUAAACCUUGUUUUCAAUACGCAUCACAAGCAAGUACUAGAUACUACAAGGAGUGACAGUCGCAUCAACAUUUCUUGAUAAUAGCAGUGACUGAUUUAUACACAGAACAGUACUGUACACGUACCAGUCACCAGAGAUAGGAUCUUAUUCCUACAUACGACUCUUAUUGAUCGAAGUCACUCAGUUGGGGUAGCCUGGAGUUGGAGGUUUGUGUGGUGGCUUCUUCUUUGGAGGAGGCUUUAUCUUUGGAGGCAUCAUCUUUGGAGGCAUCUUGUGUGAGUCUUCUUCAGCAUUCUCUACAGGAGGAUGGCCAGGCUUAUGACCCUUAGGUGGUUUGCCAACUGGGAUUGGUGGCUUGUGUCCUGAGAGUGGCUCCUCUUCUUCGGGAGGUUUGCCAACUGACGUUGGUGGCCCGUGUCCUGGGGGUGGCUUGUGUUUUGGGGGUGGUUUCACUCCACCGGGAGGUUUACCAAUUGGUGUUGGUGGUUUGUGCUCAAUCGGUGGCCUCUCAACUGGGGGGCGCUUGGGGUAAUCAGCGAGUGAAGAAGUGGUGAGAACCACCACUCCAAGCAACAACACUAGCAAGUAUGUGGAAGACAUCUUUGAGUUUGGCUCAGAUGGUGUAGAACUAGAAUCCUGGGUGGCCUUUUAUAUUAGUUGGGCCCUAUGCCCGAACGACAAGUGUCAUGGUGACACAUAAAGUGAUGGGGUCGAUUUGGGCCUACCGGAUUUGAAAACUUGGACAAUUCGAGAAGCGUCUCCUGACUCCGGGUUGUAAAGUGAAAGAUUAGGUAUCGACCAUUGAAGUAUGAUCACAACUUUUGGCCUUUGGCUCUCUCUACUGCCGUAUAGCUUUUUUCCUUUGGAUAUUUUUCUUAGCUAGACACAAUUAUUGAGCAGUCUAAUCUCGAAAUGGGAUUAGUAUAGCUUUAAGCAAAUUUAUUAUAGUUAGUGGAGGACUUUUAAGAGUGCAGACGACAUUUAACACAUGCAUGCAGUAGUAUAGGGGACAUAACACUAUUCUUUUUCCAAAGAUUCACAUGAUUUUUAUAUUAUAGUAUUGGCACAUUGUAUGUAGCUGGUUUUGUGGUUAAAAUUCCAUAUGUAGACACUGGCGUUUCUCCAUUUCUCACAAUUGAUGUUUACCUCCACGAUUACUAGAUUAGAUAUACCAAACAAUAACACAUUGUAUAAUCUAUCCGCCCUUCAAAAUCUACUGUAUGAUGAAAUGUUUCAUGUGUGUGUGAAGUGUUAGAAAUGCACUAUAGGCAACAUCAUCUUCUUUUGUCUAGGCUUGGGCCUCAAAUUAUACUCCCAUGCCAUGAUAAAUUUUCAUGUGCAUUCUCUAAAGAAGAGUGUCUUGAAUGUGCCAAAUCAUUUUGAUUGAUUUUAUGAUGUUAAUUGCUCCGCAUAUGGAUGGGUAUGUGCUUUAUUUGCUUAUUCAAUCCACAAUUACCUUGAACUGAAGUCCUAUUGGAGCUCUAUUAUUUUAGCAACGUCCUGUCAAAUAGGCUGCUAACUUGGGGUGGUAUGGACCCAAUGAUCCAUCUUAAUCUUGGGUUGAUUUUGUCUGACUCUAUCUAUCUCAGAGAGAACCAGGAUCACCAGUGCUGGUCUGCUUAAAGAAGACUCAGUACUGGAUUAAUAUUGGUUUGGGUCAAUAGCUUAUAAUGCAUUGAAUGCAGAAUAAACAAGAUCAAUGAAACCCAAAACACACUGCCCACACAACUUCACUCUGGUGUCUGUUAUUCAUCAAUUCUAUUCCCACAUGAACUGGUUCAAGUUUAAGAAAAUGACAACGGAUCCACUGUAUUAACUUGGUUUUGCUUGGUUUUGAGCUAGUUGCCAAACCAGCCAUGAGUUUUACCUCUAAUGUCAAUGAACAAACCCCAAAUGAACAACUGCAACAGCUUAAAGAGAAGGAAUGGAGAUGAAAAUCCCUGUUUCUUCUCAUUCUGGGGACAAAUUAGAACAUAACUACAAAGGUUCUAUUAAUUGACUUACUCUACCAUGAAUUAUGGUUCUUUGGUUUUCCAAAUUUAAAUUGUACAUGAGAUUAUUUUUUUCCUUUAUAUAUAAACAUAUUAAGGUUUUCUUAUUUCGUGGGCAAAUGCGCUAAGGAUGAAAGUCAUUUCAUUUGGCUGCAACAGCAUCUUAUAAUCAACAUGCAUAAGCAGCAGUUUUAAUUGAUCGAUUGAACACCGACUCACAAGAAUAGAUAGAAUGGUACAAGACAGCUCUUAUUAAUUUAUACUCGUUACUCAUUUUAUGUAGCCCCAUUAAGAUGGCUGGCUGGACCACCGAGGUCUGGGGGUGGUGUUGCUUGUGUGAUGCAGCGGGCCGGGCAGACACUUCUCUAGUUGCUUCUAUUUGGAGUUAGAGGAUCAGUCUCUGCCAACCUUGAGGACUCUCUACCUCAGAGGGUCCAGGUGGUGGACUCUGGUGUCGGUAGCUUUGAACUCUCAGUAGACUAGUGUGUCUUAAUCAGUCACUGCCAGAGGCUGGCGUAGGCAGUGACGAUAAGGUGAGACAAAUUACCGAAUAGUCAAUAUCGACUGCACUUGACCAUUAUAGAUUUGUUCUGACAAAAGUGAGAAAAGGGAGAAAAUCGGAUGUUGACCUUUAUAGAAAAAGAUAAGAUUUACUGCAACACAGAGCACUGAUUUGUUACUUGGAAACCAAGUUAUGCUAUUAGCUAGCCUCCAUUAGCAGCAGGGUACCUUGCUGCCUGAUCCUAAUCUGAGUUCCCAAGGUUUCAAUCUUCGUUUGUUAACGCUUCAGGAUUUGGAUAUUUCAGCUUCGUUUCUCCAUUUAGCCAACGCUGCCUGGUUUGGAUUUCAAUCCUCAUCUGGAACAUUCUUUUUUCGGUCUGAUUCAGGAAGUGUUUGGUGAUAGUUGAUUAAAAUUAAACAGUACUAUCAUACAAAUAAAGCUGAUCUAAUUUUGGUGGGCAAUAUACCAACUCAUUUAUUCUUGAAAACACCAUGGGGAAUUGGAGGUCCAUCCGAAGUACUAUUUGAUGGGACUCACAAAAAGAACAGGUGCACAUUUAUGAGAUCCGUGGAAGAGAUAACUAUGACAGCUAUGCAUGUACAACAGAUUUAUGUCGAGUUCACCUCGUAGAUAUUUUGUUUUCAGUGUCGGUGGACCCCAAAAUGGAAAUCGGAAAUUAAGGUUAUAUUUAUUUUUUUAUUUAAUUUUAAAUAGAAUUUUAAUUUUUAAUAAUAUUAAGUAUUAAAUUAUUUUUUUAAGGGUAUUUUAUUUUUAUUAAGUAUUAAAAAGUAAAAAAAAUUAAUAUGUUGCUUUUUUAUUUUAAAAAAAUUAUAUAUUUUAAUUUUUUCUAUUUACUAAAAAGUUUAUAAUAAAUUAUAAAAAAAUAAAAAAAUAAAAAACUUAAAUUCUGAAAAUAAAUUAUUUUUAAUAAAAAAAUCCAAAAAAGCAAACACCACCUAAAUUUGAGAUGACUCAAAAUUUUAUAUUUUUUUUCACCUAAAUUAUAUUCAUAAAUUUAAAAUUAAAAAAUUAGGAAGUUGAAUUUUAUUUUGGAUAAUUGGAAACUACAAGAAAUCAAUAAAAAUAUUUGGAAAAAAAAGAAAAAGAAAAACUAUCUAUAUAUUCACCCCCUUCUAAGAAACAUAACUUUAGUUUUUAACUAUUUUUUAAAAUAAUUUUUGAAAAAUGUUAUAUAAUAUUUUAUAAAACAAAAAAUCUGUUUGACAAUUUGAUAUGUCUUUAACUUAUUUUUAAUAUUUAUAUAUAUAUAUUUUAAAAAUAAUUUUAUAUUUAGAACUUUAUCUUUAAUUAUUAUAUAUAUUUAUAUAAUUAUUUUUUUUAAAACAACUCUUAAAAAAUAAGUGAAAGUAAUUGAAAACAACUCAAAGAUAUUUGAUGAAAACACUCUAAUUUGUAUUUUUGAGAAUAAAAAAAUAAAUAAAUAAAUUUCUAGUUAUCAAAUGUAUUUUUUAAUUCUUUUAUUCUAAAAAAUAGAAAAUCGUUUUUGAAAAUAAUUAUUAAACAACAUUCUUAAAAAUUCACUCGUUACAAUCUAGAUUUAAUGCAAGAAUGAUUGAAGGAGUCCUCCAAUAGAACCCAAAGUUAUAAACAUGAACAAGAAGCCCUAGAAACACCAAAGAUCUCAUAUGGUAUAUAUAUGAGCUUGAUUGAGAACUGUUUUAAAUUCAGUUUUUUUUUUUUUUUUUUUUUUUUGUUUUCAAAGUCAAAACAAGUUUACUUUUAAUUUUUACUUCUUUUUUUUAAUUUUAUAAAUAACAGUUUUUUAAUAAUUUAUUUUGAAAACAUGAUUAUUUUUAAAACUUAUAAUGAAAAUAGGAAUUUUUUUUUUAAUAUCAUGGUUAUUUUCCCUUCUUUUAAGGAGGGCUAUUUUAAAAAUAAAUUUACAAAUAUGAAAAAUGAUUCAAACUAAAGCAGUACAAAUAAAAAACAUUUUUAAGAAAUAUUUAAAAAUAGAGAAAAUUAUUUGAGAACAUUUGAAGUCCUUAAAUAGACUUUUGUUUUAGAAAAGGCAAGAUAAUUAUUUUUGAAAAUUGUUUUCAUAAUGAUAUGCAAAAACCUACGUAAAAACCAUAAUUAUAAUCGGCCACAUAUCAAAUCUACUAAAUAUGAAAAGUAAGUACAUAAUUAUAUUUGACUUAGAUGCAAGGAGGAAAAUGUCGCGAUAUUAUCGCCGAAAUAUCGUGUGUCGAAGGGUAUCGACACGAUUUUUCUUGCAGAAAUAUCGGCCAGUCGAUUUUUCGGGAUAAAUCUCGAGAAAUCGGCAAUUUAUCGCGAUAUAUCGGCGAUUUUUCCUCGAUAUAUCUUCUGGUCAACGCGGGUCAACGGAGUCAACACGCUACAGUGAAAGUCAAAUGUGCUACAAUGUCCCCGCUACAAUCACCUCCCCAAACAAAUUGCCAAAUUGCUUCCGAGGGGAUUUGAACCAGCCUUCUUGCCAUUUGGGCUAACUCGCCCUUAUGAUAUAUAUUGCAUUAAACAUAUAUAUACUUAAAGUCCUUAUAUAAAGAAAAUGUUAAAAAAAUAUUUUAAAGAGCAAAUUAAUUAUAAUUAUUUUAUAAUUAAAAGCAAAAUUUUCUUUUAAUUAAUUACCAAAAAUAUAAAAAUUAUAUAAUUUUCUUCAUAAUGUUUUUAAUAUCAUUAAUAAUUAAUUAAAUAUUAAAAAAUUAUAUAUAUAUAUAUAUAUAUAUAUAUAUAUAUUAUAAUUUAUUUUAUAUUGUUUAAUACAAUUGAAUUAAAUGGAUCAUAUUUUAAUAUUAAUAUAUAUUUUAAAAUUAGACAUAUUGUAAUCAAAUAUCAUAAUAUUAUAUGUAAUUUAAUAAUAAAUGUACACUUAUAAAAUUCAUAUUUUUAUCGAUGCAUACAAUAUUAUUAUCAAAUAUGAUAAAUCAUGUUAUACAUAUAUCAAAAUUUUCAAUAAAAUAACUUUAAAAUGUCUAUUAUACUUCUAAUUAUAUUAUUAUGAGGUUUUCUUUACAUUUUCAUGAGUUUUAAACAAUUUUAAGCACCAAUAUUUUUUUCCAAAAUAUCCACCGAUAUAUCUCCGAUAUAUCCAAUAUAUCUCCGAUAUCUCCGAUAUAUCCGUAAAAUCGAAGUACCGAUAUAUCCGUGAUUACCGAUAUUUUCAUCAUUGCUUAGAUGCAACCUUCUUCCAAAUGACAUACUUUAGUCAAUACUUAUAUUUUUUCGUUUCACUUCUUUGAUACAACACCUCAUGGAUUUAUUGUUUAAUUUAUUUGUAAUUAUAAAACUAUUUUUCAUUUUUAAUAAGACUUGAAUUAAUUUAAUAAAUAUUAUAUAAUUUGAAUUUAUAAUUCUUUUUAUAAAAUCAAAGUAUAUUAAAAAAAAAACAAUUUAUCCGAAGAAAGUUUUUUAUUUUUUAUUUUUUAAAACCGAUUUUAAAAAUAACUAGCUAGACACCCUUAUUUUGAUAAAAUACGAAAUAAAAGUGUAAAAACAACAUGGCCAAAUAGGGGCUUAAAUUUUAUUUUUAAAACAUUUUUUUACACUAAAGUGCAUUUUAAAAACACCAUCAAAACCAACUACAAGUUAUGCUUCUUCCCGUAAUAGAAAUAUUUUAGGCCAAAAUAGAACCUCCCCAAAUAAAGACCCUAUACUAAACUCCUUUUCAUUUUAUUAAUACAAAAGUGGGGAAAAAAGGUCUAUGCUCACCUAAAAAACAUGAAUAUUGUGAAUUCACCAUUUCUAUAAGGAAGUUGAAAACUUCAAAAUUUUAUCAACAAAUUCUCUAAAAUCCUCAAAAUAUAUAGGGCCUGUUUCACAAAGUUUUUUAAAAUUUGUUUUUAUAAAUUGCUUUUAAAAUAUAGAAUAAAUAACAGUUUUUUAGAUUUUUUGAAAAAUAAGAGUGUUUGGUAAGAUGUUUUUUUUUUUUUUUUUUUUUUUAAGAAUUAAAUAAAAAAUAAAAAAAUUGUUUAGAUAAAAGAAUUUGUAUUGUUUUUAAAAACAAUGUCUUACUUUUAUGUUAUAAAAAUUUUAUUAAUUUAAUUUAUAAUAAUAUGAAAUGAAAUUCAAGUUAAGUCUUAUUAAAAAAUACAAAUUAAAUCUAUAAUUAUGCAUGAGUUAAAGAUAAAUAUAUAUUUUUUAAAACUAUAAAAUAAAUUUUCUAUUAUAGUGAAACAAAAAUUACUAUAAAAUAAAAAUAAUUUUAAUAUUCAUUUUUAAUACAAGUCAAAUAAGUACUUUAAUUAAUUUUUUUUAUCAUGAUUUCUUAUGUUUUUUUUUUUUUCUAGAAAUUAUUUUAAGUAAUAUAACUAAUUUUUUUUUUAAUGUUUUAUAAAAAUAAGGAUAUUUGGCAAGUUGUUUUUAUAAAAGGAUUUUAAAAAUAAAUGGAUUUUUUUUUUUUUUAAAAAAAGAACAAAAUGAUUUGUUUGAAUAAAUUGUUUUGAUUUUGUAAAAACAUUUUAAAUUCAAUUUAUAUAAUAUUAAUUAAUUAAAUUAAAUUGAAGUUUUAUUGAAAAUAAAAAUAAUUUUGUAAUUAAAAUUAGAUUAAAAAAUAUAUAGGUUUUAAUAAAUCGUAAAUAGUAAUAUUAUAAUAAAAUUAUAAAUUAUAUUUUUAACAUAAAAUAUACUAUUUAUUACAUAUUAAAAAAAAUAUUUUAUUAUAUUAAUAAUUUUAUGGUAUUAAUGAGUUUAUUAUUUAAGUUUUAAAUUAUUUUUAAAAAUUAAUAAAUUUGUUAACAAAUGCAAUGUACUAAAUGUGGUUUAAUUUGGAGUUAAUUUGUUUAGGGAAAAAAAUAAAAAAUAAAAAUCUUAUGUAAAAGAGAAAUAAUAGAGUGUGUGUGUUUUUUUUUAUUAUUUUUAAAAAUCAGUAAAAAGAACUUUUACUUAUUGCCUAAAAAUUAUUCUCUAUUUUAUUUUAUUUUUUAAAUCUAGAAAUAGAUAACAAUAAUAAAAAAAAUUAAAAAAGAAAAAUGUUUUUUAAAACUCAGACUUAUAAUUGCUUUUGUUUCUCAUUCGCACCCCUGGAUUCCUGGAUUCUAAACACAAAAUUAAGUUGAAUCGUCCAUCUAUCUUGUAAGCCAAGAAUUCACAUAGAAGAAAUAAUCGGAAUUUGAUUUGAUAUCAGAUUUAGAGUGGCUCACUACUCAUGCAUUGUCCCACAAUAGUAAUGCUUUGGGCCGAGAUAAACCCAUUUGUGGGCCCAAAUAAAACCCCUGGUUUGAAAACAUCGAUUUUACAGUGGCCCAAAAGAUUAUCUAUGAGGGGAAGAUAACUUGGAAGUCAAGCAAACACAUUUAUCGCUAACUUUUCUCUAAUUAUAAAAUUAUAACUUGGUCUUCUACACGUCUCACUUAAGAGGCGGAGCCACUUGGCACUACCUUUCCAUAUUGUAAAAGGAGAAGAAGCAGAAGGAGAAGAUUCUUAUGCCAUUCCACACACCAUGGCUAGUACUGCUAUGCUGCUUGGCCCGCCGGCUCUCCGCCAUCCUAAUUCUCCCGCCGGCACUGUCUUUGAAGAUGGGGUCAUUCUAACGGAUUCCCUGAUCGUCCGCACCAGUAAUCUGGAGCUUUCUGAAAAACCGCCACUGGAAUCCCUGGCGUAGUGCUCUGUCAGUGGGGAUAUUGCUAUGGAUUGUUUGGAUUCCCAAGCCCACAAUCUUCAUCUUCCCGGGAAACCGCCGAUGGGCUUAACGGAAAACAAGUCUCCGACCUUUUUGUCUUCCGGGAACCCGUGCUUGGACUUCUUCUUCCAUGUGGUUCCCGAUACGUCGUCUGAUGAUCUGAUCCGACGGUUUGAGUUGGCUUGGGAAUUCAAUCCGCUGACGACGUUAAAACUGAUAUGCAACUUGAGAGAGGUGAGAGGCACCGGAAAAUCUGACAAAGAGGGUUUCUACACGGCGGUUCUCUGGCUCCACGACCACCAUCCCAAAACCCUAGCCUGCAAUGCUAGGGUGUUGGCCAGCUUCGGUUAUUUCAAGGAUUUUCUCGAGAUUCUCUACCGGCUUCUGGAGGGCCCUAAAAUUCGAAGAAUCGAAAAGAAAGACUGGCUGGAUCGAAAAGGAAGGAAGAAAAAUUCCCGGAAAAGGAACUCAAUAUUCAAGCGAGAAAAUAGGCCUGGAGUUGAAUUUCCUGUAGAAGAGAAGGAUGUGGAGUAUAUGGUGGAAGAAUUUGUGGAUAAAGAAAAGGCUAGGGUACUGAGAAAGGAGAGAGAACUUGCUCUUGCCAAAAGAGCCCUGCACAAGUAUUCUACUGAUUCUAAUUAUCAGUUCUUACAUGAUCAGAUUUCAGAUUUAUUUGCUGAACUUCUGAAAUCUGAUAUUCAGUAUUUAAACUCCGGUGAGCUUUACAAGAUUAGUCUCGCAUCCAAAUGGUGUCCCACAAUUGAUUCUUCUUAUGAUAAAUCCACCUUGAUAUGUGAAAAUAUUGCUCGAAAGGUUUAUUCUCGCGAGGAAUAUAUAUCCAGAAUACCAAGGAAUUGAGGAGGCUCACUAUGUUAAUAGAGUCAGGGAUAGGUUGAGAAAACAAGUACUUGUUCCAUUACGUAAGGCCCUGGAGUUGCCAGAGGUUUUCAUGUGUUCGAACCAGUGGGGAUCACUUCCCUACAACCGUGUGGCUUCAGUGGCCAUGAAAUCAUACAAGAGCCUCUUCUCAAAACAUGAUACAGAGCGGUUUGGUGUGUAUCUUGAGAAAGUGCAAACUGGGAAGGCUAAGAUUGCAGCUGGUGCAUUACUUCCCCAUGAGAUUAUAGCUUCAUUGAAUGAGGAGGAUGGCGAGAAAGUUGCAGAGCUUCAGUGGGCGAGAAUGGUGGAAGAUUUAUCAAAGAAUGGGAGGCUCACAAAUUGCAGUGCGGUAUGUGACGUAUCAGGAAGUAUGAGUGGAACUCCAAUGAAGGUGUGUGUGGCUCUGGGGCUGUUAGUUUCAGAGCUCAGUGAAGAUCCAUGGAAAGGUAAUGUAAUUACUUUCAGUGCAAGUCCUGAGCUUCACAAGAUCCAAGGAGACAGCCUUGUAUCCAAGACUGAAUUUGUGAGGAUGAUGGAAUGGGGUGCGAACACUGAUUUUCAGAAAGUUUUUGACAGAAUCUUACAAGUAGCAGUGGAGGGAAAUCUGAGUGAAGAUCAAAUGAUAAAGAGGGUUUUCGUUUUCACUGAUAUGGAGUUUGAUGAAGCUUGUGGGAGGUAUAACUAUUGUGAAUAUGACUAUGAUAUGGAGGAAAUUGAUGAGAGUCAGAAGGCAUCUCAGAAGUGGGAGACAGAUUAUGAAGUGAUACAGCGGAAAUUCCAGGACAAAGGAUAUGGAAAAGUUCCGGAGAUAGUGUUUUGGAACCUUAGAAACUCAUCAGAGACUCCAGUGAUGGCCACAGAGAACGGGGUGGCCUUAGUAAGCGGGUUUUCGAAGAAUCUGUUAGACCUUGUUUUUGGAAGGAGGUGGAAUUCUGACCCCUCAGGAUGUGAUGGAAUUAGCCAUCUCUGGUGAAGAUUACAAGAAACUUGUUCUAUUUGAUUAAGAUAUCAAGAGAUUUAUCAAUAAUAAUAUGUUUUUUUUUUUCUAUGUGAAAUACAUGUAAUAUUAACUAUGGAGUUAUCAAAGUUCUGGAAAUUUAAUUAUUUCUUCUUUUCAAGUUUUGUUUGUCUUUGUUAGGAAUUCCCCUUGGGCGGACCCAGCUGGGGACUUGGAUUGAGGAAGUAAGGAGGCGAAAUUGUGUUCUUCUAUGGACAGAGAAAAAAGAUAAAAAUAAAAAAUAAAAAAGGAGGUUAUUUGCAUUUGGAUGUCAUGUGGUUUCAGGGUACAACUACAAGUUCGAAAUUGUACAUAAUGUGAAAAUUCCUGUGUGGAGAACAGCAUAAAUAUGUAUCUCAGUGUGUUUUGUUUGAGCUAAUUGGCAAAUUCGCUUUAAACAUGGUCACAUGGAUGCAUAUUUAUUUGUGAAAUGAUAGUAGUCGAUUACUUGGUCAGUAAGGUUUGUAUCUCUAACUCCAACAUCUUAUUGUAGUCUUUUAAAAUGUCAAAAGUUUAAUGCUAGCUUGAGAAAUUUUGGAAUGGAGACAUUCUAAACAAAGUUAAUAAUCCAUGAGACUUGGUAAAACCGAUCAGAUGAUGCUUACGUACAUGAAUGCCUUCUUUAAGCCGUAUCCUAUUUUCAUUGAAUGAGACGUGCCAUCUAGUUUUGUUCUUGUCUUGAUUGGAUCAUGAUCCCGGGAAUUGAUUACUGUUCUGAAUUUGCGAAUGUUCAAGGUAUUAGAGAAAGUUAAUAUUAUCGUUAAUUUACAUAUUAGUAUUUAUCUAGUUAUUAUAUAUUAGUUUGAAUUAUAAUAUAAUAUAGAAUUUGAAUCAAGUUUACUAUUAGUUUGAAUUACAAUAGGAAAUAAAGUUUGAAUUAUAGUAUAACUCAAAUAUAUUUGUAUAUAAAUAUCCAUCUUUAUCAAUGAGAAUAGUAAACCAUAUUUUUCUCUAUCUUCUUCUUUCUCUAUAUAUAUGGUAUCAAAGCCUCCAAAUCCUAAACCUAGUCUCAACUUAGAGCAAAUUUAGGGUGCAGGGUUUAGGCCCCGCCUCCCCCAACCCUUACCACAAAUGGUAGUGACCUUGUUAUGCCUAUGUAUUGUCAAUGCCUCAUUUUCUAUGGUCUUCAAUACAAUAUCUAGUUUCAAUGUCUCUUUCCUUACUAUCUCCAAUGCAAUAUAUUGAUUUCAAUAUCUCUUUACAACCAAGAGCUCCAAAUUUUCCUGGUUCAAAUCUACCAUAAUUUUUAUUCUCCUUUGCUUUUUACCAAUAUUAGUUCCCCUAAUUUAAUAUAUAUCUCUUUAUUACCUUCAACUCUACCUCUCUCUUUCUUUAAAAGCUUCCUCAAAGAUUUGAUUGCUUUCUUGCAUGUUUUGGGAAAACAAACAUGCUCAUAUUCUAUUACCUCUACUUGAGAUCUGCCUUAUACUCUACCUUCUUCUUUACCUCCUAUAUCAUCUACUACAUUAGCUUCAAAAACAUUAUUUAGUUUGAUGCUAAAUAAGGCUCCUAAUCCUACCCUUCCUUCAACUAACUUUCUUUUACAAGUCCCUCAAAGUUUUUUUUUUUUUUUUUUUGGAAAUUUGGCUUAGAAAGAUUUCAUUACUCUUACCUAAUCUUUCAACCAUCAAGUCGAAUCCACUUAUCUCUUGAAUCCAAGGAGACUACCCUCCACAAAAACAAGGAGAUUGACCCCCACAAUAACAAAGAGAUUGUCCUCCAUAGAAACAAAGAGAGCUUCCUUCAUGGAAGCCGAAUACAUCGCAAUCUAUUUUCUUUCUCUCAAGAUCAAAUCUCCAAUCGGAGCUCCAUCUUGUGGGGAUAUAUUAGAAAAAGUUAAUAUUAUCCUUAAUUUACAUAUUAGUAUUUAUCUAUAUUAUAUAUUGAAUUAGAAUAGAAUAUAGAAUUUGAAUUAAGUUUACUAUUAGUUUAAAUUACAAUAGGAAAUAGAGUUUGAAUUAUAGUAGAACUCAAAUAUAUUUAUAUAUAAAUAUCCAUCAUUAUCAAUGAGAAUAGUAUUCCAUAUUUUUCUCUUUCCCUGAGGCUUCAGAAUGUGAUCUUGAACAUUUGAUCUUUUGGAUUCUUCUUGUUUCGGUGGUUUAAUAUAAUGGAAUGUUUAAUUAUAGCCUACUUUAUCACCAUGGAUGUGCUCCUGCAGAUUUCUUGAGGGUGAUGGUUAUUUUGUCAUGUUUCUUGAAUGGUUUGCAUCAGCUGCCUGAGCUGUUGUUGCUGGUCACUUUUGCAACCAGGGAAAGAAUCAUGGCUUUGGAGAAGCCAGCUUCUGUUUUUGUUGCCCAGCUGUUAGUUCACUAAGAUUGGGGGUCCUAACAUGUAUGUAUAAUCAUAAGCAAGGAAAUUUUAUGUCUUACGCUAGAUAGGUACCAUGAUAUGAUGUUUGAUUGAUUUAUUAACUCUACCUGUUUCAAAAGGCAUCAACAUUAAUUUUACCCUUUUAACACAUUGGAUUGUUUGACCUUACGAGAUUUUCUAUUUCUGUACUAUUUGAACUGCAAUCGUUAUGGUCCUUAGGUCUCUAAACCUUCGUUUAAAAUAAAAGUAAGGAGCACACAUAGUAAAAGUUAAUUUUGGGUAACUUUUAAAACAAAGAGAAAAGUAAAAGUUGUUUUUGAGAAAAACAUAUAGAAAUUGAAAGAUUUUUUAUUUUGAGAAAAAAAAGUCAUAGAAAAGAAAUAAUAUCCCCAUAUAAGUAGAUAUGAUCUAUCCGAAGUGUAGCUACUCUCCUGGAUUUAUUCUAACAUUUUAAAAUUUUUCUCAAUGGGCAAAGGAAUAUCAAAUCAAGCUUGAGUAGGAUUAAUUUCUUAAUUUUUAAAAUAACUUAUAAUUAAAAUUUUUUGGUGUUUUCUUUUUUGGACAAUUUUUUAUGAAGACUCUGAAUCAUGCAAGAGAUAUGGUUAUUUUAAAAAAAAAAAUAAUUUAAAACUCAAAUACAUAAUCAAUGUCACAAAUUUAUAAACAAAAGGUUUUUAAAAAAUACUAUUAUUUCCCCUCUACACAUAAUUUUACUUUUCCGAUUUAUUUAUUUUUGUUGGAAAACAGUCUUCAAAUCAAGUAAAAUUAAUAUGUUAAAUUUGUUAAACAAAUAAAUUUUAAAAUACAAUUUGGAACUCAAAAAUCAAUUCAAGUAAUGCUAAAAUUCAAAAAAUCAAAUUUGGAAUAAAAUGACUUUGUAAAUUUUUUUACUAAACAAAUGAAUUUUAAAUCAAGUGAGAUUUAAUACAUUGGAUUUUUAUGAGAAUAGUAAUUUUAAAAAUUAAUUUGGAACUCAAAAAUAGACACAAUAAAUACCAAAAAUCAAUGAACCAAAAUUGGUUUGGAAUAACUCCAUAAUUUUUUAUUUAUUUAUAUAUUUAUUUUUUUGUGCACACGAAUUUCUUACUAAGCAUAUUGCUUCCAAAUUGAGAAAAAUUUACUAUUUAGAUUUUUUUAAUGAGUUUAAUGGUAUUUAAAAAUAAUUCAAAAAUUCGAAAAUUGACUAAUUUAAUAUUAUAAAUUCAUAAACCAAGACUAAUUCAAAAUGCAUUGGGGGCUAAGGGGGUUGAAAUUAAUGCUCCAUUUGGUUGUGGCCACCAAUUGGCAAUGGCCACCAAUCAACCAAUCAAGGUGGCUAAGGGGGUUGAAAAUAGGGACAAUGGGGUGGGUUUGGGACAGGACACUCAUAUCCCAUUCCCAUCCCAAUUACACAGUUAUUUCCCAUCCUUAUUCCAAACUUGUGUUGGGGCAAGUUGAUUUGUUCCCAUCUUUGUUAACGAAAUGACUAAUAACCUCAUCCUCUCCUUGUCUUAGAUGUACAUUUUCUCAAAUUUGGUCAGGUAUGAUUGAUUCAAGCCCUAACCUUAAUUGGUAAUGAGUGGAUACCACACCUAAUUGCAUUCUUCUUUCGUUGCAAAAUAAUGAGAUUAUAAUAAUCUAGCAAAUAAGAAAAAAUAGUAUGGAAGUUCAAAUUAACACCAUAACUAUCAAUAAUUUUAAGCUUAUAGAUGACUUAAAUGAUUGAAAACUAAUGCAAAAUACUAAAAAAAAAAAAAAUCAUCUAAAGAAUUCACAAGAGAAUAGAACGAACAAAACCAAAUAGGAACAUGGGUCAACAUUAGUUACAGAUUUUGAUCCCUUUCAAGGCCAAUCUUUGAACCAAGACUUCAUCAAAUCUACUACUUCAAAGGCUUUUGUGUUCUUCUUGAGUUGUACUCUGGAACAAAGACUUCGAGGUGAUGCUUUAGAUGAUUGCAUUACACAUAUUUAGGGUAGGGAGAUUGGAGAAGCUUGAAGAUGCCAACGAUGGGUACAAUUGAGUGGUCAAUAAGAACAAUGUGGCCUAUGACUAGUUUGAUGUCAUGGUAUAGGAGUUUUGGGCAUUGAGGUGAAAGCAAGAGCAACAUGGAAUUGAUUUCAAAGUCUUUCAAUUAGUGUAAAGGAGGAAGAAGAAGUGGUAUUGAUCCUAGAAAUAGUGUUUUAGGUGUUGCAUUAGAGGAAAAGAAAAAGAAAAAGAAGGAACCAUUGGAAUUAGUACGAGUGUGAAGAGAGAAGUGUAUACAUAAGGGGAAGUAAAAGCAAAGUUCUAAAAAUUUAUUUUUUUAUUGGUGGUGUAUGGUUGCAUGAUUAUCCCUAUAAAUAAUAGGAGUUUUUUGGUGUUCUACUAGUAGUUGAAGGAUAAUUUCAUAAGAUAAUAUUUAGAGCGGGGUGGGGUGAGUUGUGACAAAAUCCAUACCCGUCCCAAACAUUGGUUCAGGUUUUUAAAAUAUUUUCAAACUUAUCAUAUACCCAAUUUUAUAUUUCAUACUUGUCCUAAUAGAGACAGGUUAGUCAGGGUUACUUGAGUAGCCUACAAAACUAUCAUCCCUAGUUGAAAUGCUCUUUUUGGCAGUGGCAGCUAGAAGCUCGAUCGAUUGACCUACAAGACUAGUUGUCAUCAUUUUAAAAAGAGUUUUGGCUUUGGUUGUGAGUGCAAUUGAAUCUAAACUAACAUUUCCUUAAUGCAUCUACUUCAAUCCUAAACUUCUUACUUAAGCCUCAAUUGUUGUUAAGAUUUUGGAAAACCCAUUUCCUUAAAUUGUAAAUUUAAGAAAAAAAAAAUUAAAAGUGAGACAUUUCUUGAUUGAAUGUUGUUAAAGGUCCCUUGGAAUUAAGACUUGGUUGAAGCCUUGGAAGAUUAGCAGAACUCUCAACUUAUGUUUGAACCUUGAGGAGAGUGGACGUAGGCCAAAAUUUUGUCAAACCAUUAUACAAAUUGAGUUUGAAUUCUCAUUUCUUGAUUUCUUAUUUAUUUGCUUUUUCUUAUUAUUACUUGAAUUGUCAUUUGCAUUCAUUAAUGUUAAAAUUGGUUAUAAUUAGCCAACACUAAUUCUCUUUCCCCUUCCCUUAAUUUCUUGGGUGUAAACCUAGGUUGGAUUAACUAGAUUUUAUCAAAUCUAUUAAGAUGGUAAAAGAAUAAUUAUUCUUAACAUACAUAAGAUCAUCUUCAAUCAAAUGACUCAUUGGCUGAUAUGUUGAAUUUGCUUAUUACUUGCAACUCAAAAUUGUGUUCUAGUUGAUAUGUCAAGUCCUGAGUGUAUGGACAUUAAAUUUGUAGUACGUGAUGAGUAUUUAGAUGGUCCAAUUCCAAGAAAGUGAUUGAAAACUAGUUCAAGAAAGGUGCAAAAGGGAAUUGUUUUGGUAUUUUCGUUUUUAUUCUUGAAGGUGGCAGAGCUAAAAUUUGAGAAAUCAAGCAAAACAUACUGAAAUUACAUUGAAAGAAAGAAAAUGGGAGUUAAUGUCUUGCAGUACAUGAUAAGGACUUCAUGCAUGUAGUGUGACCCAUGUCUUGGACUGAUGCCACACUCACGGUUACACUUAUACCCUUAGUUCUCUCUUUACUACCUUAGCUAACCUAGAUCAGGUUAUGAGAUAGGCACCUCACCACACCAUUACUUGCCCAUUAAUUAGUGACAUUUUCAAGCAAUGAGGUAACAUGGUGACACCAAGAGGGUAUAUUCCUCACCCCCAACAAGCCUAGACCUGGUCUAAAAAAAAUGGAGAAAAAUGACGUGUUGUUAUGCAGAAAUAUAGCAACCAUGCCUUCCUCAUUACUUAGAUUCAGAAUGUGAAGGUGAAAUUGAGAAACAGAAACUCUUGAAACCAAAAUGAAAAUUGAUACUUUUACGAAGAAUUACAACAACAUUAGAGGAAGACUACAUUCUUCCUCUUUAUUCCUACAUUUCUACACUACUUCUACUCCACUCCAUAUUUCUACAUACAUCUUUAAUCAGUCUUCCCUCCUUUAUAUAGAGCCAUCUUCACACAAAUUCCGCAAGGUAGAAAAGAGGAAUGAAACUUGGAGCAAGGUUCGACUACUGGCUGUAGCUUGUCAAGGCUGAAAGUGAACUUUUUUUCUUGGCUUUUCUGGGCAUAGGUAGUAACUUGUAGGUUCCUUUUUGGAAUGAAAAUGGUACGGCUAGAACAUGUGGCACUCUCUUGUUGGAUGAUGUGUCAAGCAUGUGGCAGCCAUCUAGUGGAGAUUAUGUCAAUUUUGGGAUGGAGAGUUGGCAUCCAAUUGCAAAGAAAUAUGACAUCUACCAACAUGCAAUGUCAACCUAUGUAGAUCAUAUGAAGAUAGAGAGGAAAAAUAUAGAAAUGGAUAUAUAACUAGAACUAGCUUUUUAUUAAAUGAGACGGAGAGCCAACAAUGAAGGAAAAUCAAAAUUUUUGGCUCAUAUCAAAGAAUUCACAUUGUGUUACCCUAGGUUUUCUUAAAACUUACUUUUAUGAUAAUAAAAAAUCAUUAUUGUUUAAUCCUUUGUUUUAAACGCAUGUUUAGCAGGUUGUAAAAUGUAAAUAUCUUUCGAAAUUCAAAUAUGAAGAUAUGACAUCAUUUCAAGCAAUAUAGUCUCUAGGAAUUAAUGUAAAGCUAAAUUAAGGUGCAAUUAAGUUAGUUCAAUGCAUUAUUUUAAGAAACUUGACCUAUCAAAACCUUGUCUUACUUCAAAGCCUCUUUUUCUUUUCUUCCAACUAACAUUUUAAUAAGUGAUCGCAAAAGUACAAAAUUAGAUGAAAUCCAUUUCAAUGGUUAAAAUGAUCAAAUUCAAACUUUUUCUAAGUAUCUUUUAAAAGCAUCAAUAUUGAAAGACAAUUUUAUAUUUAGUCAAAGCUUGGACAGAGCCAAAAAGCACACAAAAAUUUAUAUUUUCUAGCUCUCUACCUUGGAUGGUCUCUUGAUCCUACUUGGAGAUGUGCAUAAAUAAAAGGAUUUGAAAAUGACAAUUGACUAAGUAUGUAGUCAAUCAAUUACUCAUUGAUUGACUAGUUGAUCAAUUAACUUUGCAACAUCAUAUGCAAUCCUAAUAGCUAGUCAUCUAAUCAACUAGGUAGUAAAUCAAUAGGCCAAAAAUAUGUUUAUAAUGACUAUUUUGUACAAAAACCACUUAUAUAGUUAAAUAUAAUGCAUUUCAUUUAUAAAUCUUCUAAUUCUUGAAUAACAAUCCUAUCAUCCUUUGAAAGUUUUUAUUACACCUUUUCUACAUUUGUUCUAAAACUUAUACAUCACCCUUAAUUGUACCAUGAGAACCUAGCAUUUUUUUUUUUUUUUUUGUAUUUCAUCAAAGUUAGCUCUUGUACUCAUUGUUGUAUUAUUUUUAUUGUAACUUAGAGAGCGAGUGUUUUCAAGUGAGUGAAAUUGACUUGUAAAUAUUGUAAAGAUUCAUUGAUAUGUAUCUCAAACUAGGUGUACAAGUUGAAACAUUUGCUAGUAGAUUUUCUCAAGAUUUAGAAUGAGCUUAAGGCUAUCGAAUUAGGUGGGGUUGCGCCAAACCAUAUCACAUCGUUGUUUGCACCUUUUUUUUCACUCUCUUUUACUUAGUUGCUCUAUAUAUAUUGUCUAGCAAUAUCCUAAAGGCUUGAUGGGCUAGGGAGCAUCCCUCUGAAUGAAAAAUUUUCAUUCAAUUCUUAGUUGUAUUACGCAUAUAUAAAAUGCCUCAUUGUUUUAAUGGUAUUCAGUCGUGGCACCACAGAUAUGGACAUCUAAAUUUUAAAAGUUUGAAACUUUUAGCUAAAGAAAAUAUGGUGCUUUGCCUUUUUGGAAAGCAUGUUGAUGAAAUCCAUGAGAAUUGUAUACUUGGAGAGCAACAUCGAGAUAACUUUUUUUUUUUCUUUUUUUAUAAUGCAUUGUUUGUCCAAAUUCCGUACAAAUUAGGCCACCACAUGUUCAUAAUUCUCCCUUCUUGAAUUUGAAAACUCGGACAAUUUGACAAUGCGACACCUAAGUCCGGUUUUUAAAUGCUAAAGUGAAAGGGCAGGUAUGGACCAUUGAAAUGUGAUAACAACUUUUGGCCUUUUCCUUUUCUCUGUAGCCAUGUUGUCUCUUUUUAAUUUCUUUUGCAUGAUUUUCUUACCUAAACAGAAUCAUAGACUUGUUUAAUCUCUAAGUGGGAUUUCAUCCACCUUAAGCUACUGUAUUAUAUCUCGGUGGAGGACAACCGACAUAGAGCACAUGCAAGUGGGUAUAUGGGACAUGAAAUAUCUUCUUAUAAAGCUUGUUUUGCAGUUAAAUUAAUUGGAUAAGUAGACACUGGCGUUUCUAAAUUUCCCACCUAAGAUAAUGACCUUAUCCUUGACUGCUAGAUACACAAACAAUUAUACCUUCAAAAUCUACUGUGAAGUGCUUCAUGUAUGUGUGAAGUAUUAGAAAUUUCUUUCUUGGCAACUUGUUUUUUUCUUUGCGGUCUACUGAUAGGUUUGACUAAAAUUAUAUUCCCUGUCCUGCUAAUUAAUUUUCACGUGCAUGCUCAAAAGAAGAGUAUGACCUUAGUGCACCAAAAUCACUUUCAAUAAUUUGUGAUAAGUUUUUUUGCAUGACAUUAACCUUAUUCAUUUAGAUAAUGUUUAGUUCUCAUAAAUAUUAAGAAAAUGAAAAUAAAUAUUAAGAAAAAUAUUCUUAUAUUUGAUUGUAUUAUGAAAAAUAUCAUAAAAAAUCAAAUAUAAUUAAAAUUAAUUAAUAAUUUAUAUAUUUUAAAAUUAUUUAAUUUUUAUAUUAAAGAUAUAAUAUAAAUGAAAUGAGUUUUAAGUAUUAUAUAAAAAUGAUUUAUUUAUUUAUUUAUAUAUAUAUAUAUAUAUAUAUUUAGUUUUUCUCUUUAUUUUAUUUUCCUUAUGUUUUCCUCACAUUUUCCGGAAUCAAAGAUAGGGAAAUCCACAAUUACCUUCAACUGAGUAGAUUCUAUUGUUUUAGCAAUGUUAGGCUGCUAACUUGUGGUGGUACGAACCAAAUGAUCCAUGUUAAUCUUGGCUUGAUUUAAUUUGGCUCUAUCUCAGAGAACUCAAGGAUCACGUCAACUCUGGUUUCUACUAUUCAGGUCCAUUCCCAGAUGAACUGGUUCAAAUUUGAGAAAAUGGUAACAGACCUUUAGUGAUAUUGGUUUGGAGCCAGUUGCCAAACCUGCCCUGAGCUUUACCACUAAUGUCAAGGGACAAAGCCAUUUGAACAAAAACAAUAGCUUCAAGAGACUGAAUCGUGGAUGAAAUCUGAUCCACAUUUCUUCUCAUUUUGGGAAAAAAUGAGGACUUAACCACAAAGAUUCUACUGCCUCAUAGUGCUUUUCCUGAUCUAAGGUUGGCUCGUUUCCCAAAUUGUGAGGUGCACGUGCCACUCUCACGCUCAGGAGUGUAUCCACGUGGUGGACAUAAGAUGGUGGCUUAAUAUCUGGUGUCGGUGGCUUUACUUUACUAGGAGAGUAGUGUGUCUUCAUCUCAUUCACUGCCAGAGGGUGGCGUAAGCAGUGACGCUAAGGUGGGGCACAGUCAAUAUCAUUUGCAUUUGACCAUUAUAAUUUUCUCCCGGCUUUAAAGUAACCUUAUCGUGAUAAUGGAUUACUAGCACUAGUUCAGAUGACAGUCAUGUUAAAUUCGGACCAUGUUUGUGUCACAUUAUCAGCAACCAUGUGCUUGUGGUUCAUGCUAUCUGCAACUAAACUUGAUAUAUAACCAGGUGAACUUCAAUCUAAAUUCUGGAAGUACUCAUGUGAUAGAUGGUGCCUGUCUGCAGUGAGUGUAUCUAUAAGAGGGAAGGCUUGGCAAAUGUUCAGUUUUCUGGGAAUUCAACAGGGAUCUAAAAUAGAUUGUUUUCUUUGCUGAUUUCAAUGGUUGAAAUUUGAGAAGAUUGUGUCCACAUAACACAACUAUUACUGGUCCUUCUGUUGCAAUUUAUCCUCUAAGGCUCUAACAUGUCUUCCAAUUCCCACUUCCCACUUCCCUGUUACUCCAGGAAAGCUGUUUCUGUCAUUGUGAAGAAGAAAAGAGACUGUACAUAUCGAUGCUUUUAAGUGGACUGGAGAAUUCAUAUCAGGUGGUCUGCAGCCAUACAUGCCACUUUGUGAAGGUUGGAACAGUCAAUCACUAGGCUAUAUUAGUGGGGCCCAGCCACUUCAAUCAAGGACAAGUCUUCAUACUUAAAGUCAAAUUCUGCCUUUAGUCUCAUUAUAAAUUGCUGUUUAAAUAUCAAGCAAACAUUUGUUUAAUGCGAUUAAGACAGCACUAACUCAAUACUUGUUCUAUUUUUGGAUGCAAAUGCUUGAUAGUUUCAUCAUUGGAGGGGAUAAAGGUGCAUUCAUGAUUAUGAAUACUUGUAGUUAUAUUUUCAUUCUCUUUUUUCUCAAUGGGACUUGUUGGCACAAUUUUGCUGUUCAGAAACCUACCUCUCCAUGGAAAAUCAGUUGUGAUUGAUAUUACUGGAUAUAUUCAAGAAAGCUAAAUGUAGAUAGCACAAAAUAUUAUCGACAUAAAUAGCAUUAACAGCGUACGUAUGUCUCAAUGCUCAUCAGCUAUAAGCAAGGGGCAAACACUUACUAUGAGCAACUUACGUCAAAAUUCCGGAAUAGGACAUAGAAGUGACAGGUCAGUAAAUAUAGAACACUGCAUAUGAGUCACAAGAAAGGAAAUUACGGGUACAUAGCAGCUCUUAUUUUACAUCCUACUCAUACUGAUCAAAGUCACUCAGUUGGGAUGGGUGGGAGUGGGAGGUUUGUGGGGUGGCUUGUGCGGAGGAGUUGGCAGCUUCUUUCCAGGACCUGGUUGCUUCUCUGCUGGAGUUGAAGGAGGCUUAAUCUUCCGAGGUGGCUUGUAUGAGUCUUCAGCAUUCUCAGCAGGAGGGUGACCAGGGUUGUGACCACAAUGUGGUGGCUUCUCUCCCUUAGGUGGUUUGCCAACUGGGGUUGGUGGCUUGUGUUCCGGAAGUGGCUUCUCUUUGUGUUCAGGAGGUGGCUUCUCCACUGGAGGCUUGUGUUCAGGAGGUGGCUUCUCCACCGGAGGCUUGUGUUCAGGAGGUGGCUUCUCCACCGGAGGCUUGUGUUCAGGAGGUGGCUUCUCCACCGGAGGCUUAUGCUCUGGUGGUGGCUUCUCCACCGGAGGCUUAUGCUCUGGUGGUGGCUUCUCCACCGGAGGCUUAUGCAAUGGUGGUGGCUUCUCCACCGGAGGCUUGUGUUCAGGAGGUGGCUUCUCUACCGGAGGCUUAUGCUCUGGUGGUGGCUUCUCCACCGGAGGCUUAUGCUCUGGUGGUGGCUUCUCCACCGGAGGCUUGUGUUCAGGAGGUGGCUUCUCCACCGGAGGCUUGUGUUCAGGAGGUGGCUUCUCCACCGGAGGCUUGUGCUCUGGUGGUGGCUUCUCCACCGGAGGCUUAUGCUCUGGUGGUGGCUUCUCCACCGGAGGCUUGUGUUCAGGAGGUGGCUUCUCCACCGGAGGCUUAUGCUCUGGUGGUGGCUUCUCCACCGGAGGCUUGUGUUCAGGAGGUGGCUUCUCCACCGGAGGCUUAUGCUCUGGUGGUGGCUUCUCCACAGGAGGCUUGUGUUCAGGAGGUGGCUUCUCCACCGGAGGCUUAUGCUCUGGUGGUGGCUUCUCGAAUGGGGGAUGCGUAGGGUAAUCAGCUAGUGAGGGGGCGGUGAGAACCACCAGGCCAAGCAACACUACUAGCAAGUAUGUAGGAGACAUCUUUGGGUUUGGGCUCAGAUGGUGCAAAACUAGGAGAAUUGGCUAGCCUUUUAUAGCGGAUCGUACCCAAUAAUGAAAUGACACGUGUCAUUAUGACCCAUGUGUCAUGUGGUCGAUUUGGGUCCUACAGUGUUGAAAACUUCGACAUCCACUUUUUUGGCCUUUUGCUUUCUCUACAGUCGCCUUGCUUUUUCCCUCUUUUCUUUUGUUUUCCUCCUGCCCCAUUCUAUCAACUAAUCACAAUUAUGUAGUUGUUUAAUUCUUAAAUGAGAUAUUAUCCGUCAAUCAUAUUAUCUUUUAUCAAGAGAGAACGGAGUGAAAAGUGGCAAUCCAAAGAAAGAAGAUCCAUAAUGCAGCUGUAAUUUUAUCGUUUACUUUUAUCUCUAGGACCACUGCAUUUUUGUUGAGAGGUGCAAUAAUACACGUCUUUAUCUGCCAUUCAAUGUUUACAGUAAAGAGAGGGCACAAAACUCUUCACUGCUCUGCAUGUGCCCCAAAAAUGCAAUUGGACAAAUUAUGAUUUGCAUGCUAAAAAGAGGCAAAUGAGGUUAAUUAGCACCAAAAUUAUUUUGUUUUCUGGACACCCCGGGGCCCUUUGGUUGGUUUGGGGGUCAGAAAAUGAACAUCAUAGGGGGUUUUUCCCUAAUGUGCAUUUGCAUUUGUAUCUGAUGGCUUUAACUCGCCUUGUUACUACAAAGAAAUUGUCACAGAUAGGAACUUAUUCCAGGCUGAGUAUCUCCGCAUGGACCCUAUAAAAGAAGACAAGUCAUAAUGAACAUCUAACCUUUGUUCAAUUUGAUUCAAUGCCCCUAUUGUGUCCAUCUCACAAAUCUGAAUUAUUAUAUCCAUUGAAUACAUAAAUUAAUGAAGAAAAUAUGAAACCCAAGAUACAUCUCUGCACAACCUCAACCCUGGUUGCUAUGUUUCACUUCUAUUCACAUGAGGAUAUUGAUUACGGAAUAAGGAAACCUAGCAAGGGUUUACUCGGCUCUGGUUUGAUGCUAAUUGCCAAACUUGCAACAAGCCCUGAGUUUGACACCUAAUCGAUGGGCGAAUUAAAAGUCUCCUCCAAACAUAUAUUCCACAGCUUGAAGCUCACAGAAGAUGCUAUACAGGCAGGGAAAAACCUUCAGAGUUAGCUACCAAAGAUAAUUAUCAAGGAGAUAUCACCAAGAGAAUUCCAUGGAGUCUGAAUCAAAGACAAAUUGCUCGCUCGUGGGGGUUCUUACUUAAUUUCUUUUGGGUAUAACUCACUGAGGGCACUGGCUUUGUUAUUUGCAUUUCGCAUUUAGAGUUCUGUUCUGGAAGGUUUGUUCUGGAAACAUAUAAAAGGAGCAUCAUUUUGUUCUAGGGUAACCCAUAGUUGUGAGUGGGUCCAUUUGCAUGCUACUUAGUUGAAAAGUUGGACAAUUUGCUCCGACGCCUACCUCCUGGAUUCCAUGCUCGGAUAAAGCAAGAAUAAUAAAAUAUUUAUAAUUUACAAAUGGGGGAAAGAAAAAAAUGUCAACAACAAACUAGGAAAAAAGAGUAGUAAAAUUUAUGCCACAUGCUAUUGAUAGAAGGGGCAUGUAUUAGAUCCAUCACCAUUUGGUAAGAUUUUAGUAUUAUAUUUUUCAAGGUUCAUUAUUUGAGGGUGUGUUCUUCAUCUCUGUUGCAUUGCUUCUUACUAGGCCCACUGAGGUGGGUUCUUCACCUUUUGUAUAUUCUCUGCACUAGAUCAAUGAGAAAGGGGGAAUUUUGGUGAAUUUGCAGCCGUUGGAUGAUUGAUUCUAGGCUCAGUCCACCAAUGAUGCUCUCUUCACUCUUUCUCAUCUAGUGUCAUUCACAACUAUGUUUUGAUUCAUAUUUGUACUAUCAAAGAUAUCUCAUUAUUCUAGCUCAUUAGGUAGAGUUCCUAAUCUUCCUCCUUUUUGGUCUAUGGACAGUAUUGGCUUCAUAUUAAGAUCAUGUUUCAAUAAUUGCACAUUAAUGAAUGGAUCAUGACCCACAUAAACAGAGUCAGGGUUGAGUCAGUGAACCCUAAAAUUUCACAAUUCUAAAUUUGGGUUCUUUAACAAUGCAGGGUCAAGGACGCGUGGUGAUGAAGGAAAGCUGGUAAGCUCAGUGUUACUUCAAUUCCUGCCAUGUAGGAUGGUGAGGAGAUAUUCACUAUGCAAUUAAUAAUAGACAAUAUUCACUAUGCAAUAAUAAAGCAUAAAUUAAGUUGAAUGAAAAGCAUUUUCUUUGCAAGGAGUUGAUUUUGGUUUCAUAGUUUGUUCAACUGCUAUUUUGGAUAGGAAAGUGUGAGGAGAAGAAAAUAAAAAAUAAAAAUAAAACAAAAAAUAAAAAAUAGAUUUUAUAAAUUCAUUUAAUUUAUUUUUUUUUUAUAAAAAUUAACUAAUUUAAAAUAUAUGUAAAUUUCUAAUUAAUUUAAUUACAUUUUUUUUUUCAGUUUUUCAUAAUAAACCAAAUAUUAGAAAAUUAUUUUUAUUAAGACACCCAAGAUGAGGUAAUAUGCAAUGAAAACAUGAAUUAUAUUAAAAUUCAAAACAAAUUAAGAGAAAUCGGAAAAUAUACAUAGAUAUCUAAACAAAGAAAUUUAAAGAGAAGGAACCACAAACUUUAUUUACAUAAUUUGAAAAUAAAAAACAUAAAACAUACUUAUAGUAAGGAGAAAUUGAAUAUCUUACAAUGGAAGAAGGGAGAAAAGCUUUGAAGAAAGCUUUUGCUUGGAAGCUUACAUGGUGAGAGGUAGAGAAAGGAGAGAGAGAGAAGAAAAUGAAAAAUGAGAAGUGGAGAAAAUUGGAAGUUUUGUGUGCUUACAACUGAGGAUAGAGCCUCCUUAAAUAGCAAAAAAUGGAAUAUUAAAUAGUACCAAUCAGGAGACAAAAUAUUGUUUGCUUUUGAAACCCGUGCAUGAAUAGUAAUCCCGUGAGUGAAUAGUGAAUAAUAAAAGUGAAUAGUAAAAGUCACUUUCUACUAUAGCACUUUAGACUUUUUCAUCGAGAAUCUUACUUUCGGCUGAGUGAUGAUAGCUGAUAGGUUGCUUUGGAUUGUGGAGUCAUAUGUUUGAUGUUUUCGGUGCUGAAACCGCUUAGUUGGAGAAUAAUCUCGUCAGUAGAGCAUCAUGAGAAGCUUGAAUGGAGAGAGCUUAAUGAUGCCAUAUGAUUGGAAGGAAUCCUAUUUUAAUUUCCUUAUUGGAGGGAGAAUACCCUCACAAUCAUCUUCAUUAUCUUGAAGGUAGUUUGAUAUAGAGUCAUCUGACUCAGCAUAAGAGUCCUCUUGGGAGAAGCUUGAACUGCUUUUGUCAAGGAUUUUCUGAAAUUCUUGAGGGGUUUUUGCUAUUGCUAACAUGGUUUGGAGUUGCUGUUUCUUAAGAAGAAACUGUGCAAUAUCAUAAGAUGAUGAAGCUUGUGUAGGAUGCUUUAGGAAAUAUUGCUUUAUUGCUUGUAGUGAGGUAUCAUUUUUCAAGGCAUCCCACCACUUAGACUUGAAAGUCCUUCCAAGGGUUGGAAAGGCUGCUGAUUCAUCUGCUAUAAUGAUAUAAUCCCACUGGACUAUCCAGGCAAGGCCAAAUUCACUAAAAAAGAAUAAUAAUUGGGGAAAACUGAAAGUUCUCUAGGGAUAACAAAAGAACUUUGGAAUAGCUCAAAGCCAUCCAAAAUGGGUUUUGGGAGAAUUUUAAUAGUUGGACCAAAAUAUGUCCACCAAUUGUGGAACCAAAAUGGAAAAGAGGGGAGUUGAUGCUUAGAUGGGAAAUAGAACAUCCCUGAAUGAUGGAAGUCCUUGUUCUGGAUCAGAAAAGCAUUGAACCAUACUCUUUGGUAGUCUCAAUAAUUGAAAAUUUUAGGUUUUGAAGGCUUAGAAAAUUCUCUUGAAAAAUUAGGAUUCCCACCCCACUGCUUAACUGUAAGGAUUUUAUAAAUAUGGUAAGUGGAGAAUGCCAAAUCCAAAUUGCUGAAUUUAUCAGCAUUGUGCUUGAUUUUAACAGAGCCGGUUUCCAUAAGGAUUGCUUCAUAAAAUUCUCUUGUUUUUAAAAGAUCACCAAAGGGAUAAUGAAAAUUUUCAUGAAAAGCUUUUGCUGCAAUAUCUCUAGGGUUUUUAGAGAAAAACUCUUUUUCAAUAACCAAAAGAGGUUGAUUUAAAUCUUUUUGCCAAUAUCUUGCUUUUGCUGAAAGAGGUGUGGGGUUGGCUACCACCACAAUUUGCUUAUUUGAAAAAGAAGAGCUUGAUGCUAAUUCAUUUUGAGAGGGAUUAGCUUUAGUAACCUGCUUAAAGGUCUGAGACACAGUAAUAGUUGGAUACUGAGUAGCCUUGACUGGUUUAGAAGGAUUCGAAGGAUCAUAGUACAAGGACAAAAUCUUAUUAGGCAUAUGGUCAGAAGAAUGAAGCCUUGCUUCUUCUUCUAGCUCAACUUGUUGGCUCCAAAGUAUUUUAUGGGGAGAAGGUUCUUUGCUGGUUUUAGAAGACUAGGAUUCUGGAAGUUUAGGAGCUUGGGUAUUCUUUUUAGGGGCCAUGGUUUCGUGAAUCCUGUAAAAUUCACAAGUUAAGAAAUCAGGGCUCGAAGAAUGUUCUCCUUUAAUAUACUCAAUUUGUAAAUUAAAAUUGCUUAAAAUAGCUUGAUAUAUAGCAAAAAUAUGCUUAGAAGUUAUAUUCUUAACAUCCUUUUGUAAAACUAAUUUUGCAAAUUUACAAUCAACUCUUAAUAAAAACUUUUGAUUCAAAAGAUCAUCUUGAAAUUUUGAAAUGCAUAAAACAACGCUUAAAGUCUCUUUUUUAAUGAUGUUAUGAAUGAGUUGGGUAGUAUUCCAGGUUCUUGAAGUAUACCUAACUAACAUCUCAAGGUUACCAACACUUUGCUUAAGAAUCCCACCAUAACCUAUGUCUGAGGUAUCGAUCCCAACAAACUCAAAGGUUUCUGGAUUGAUAGAGCCUAAACAUGGUAGGGUCUUGACUUUGGACUUAACAUCAAUAAUGAAAACAAUGGUGAAAACAGAAAACUGGUUAAAGUUUUCAUCCAUUAUAUUCUGGAAUUCUGAGGUGCAUUCUUAAGAUCAAAGGGCAUUAUGAACCAUUCAUAAUGUCCAAGAGAUACCACAAAGGUGGUCUUAUUUGGAAUAGGACACCUAAUCCAACUUAAUGUAUCAUUAAGAGGCAUGUAGUUGACGACUAGUCUAGGUGUUCCUUUUUCUGAUUCAACUUGUUCCUGAACAUAGAAGGUUGAACAACUCCAAAGGGACUUAGACUUCCUUAUCAACUUUUUAUCAAGAAGAUCCCAAAUCUCCUUAUCACAAUAGCUUAACAAACCCUUGUUCAUCUGGAUAGGUCUUGAUUUAGUGGGAAUAUUCUUGUCACUAAAGUCUAGUUCAUAAGGUAAUUCUACCUCAUGUUGUUUCCUAUGCCAAAAUGCAUUAGGAAUGUUAGAGCAAACUUCUUCAACAAUCAGAUUAAUUUCUUGCUCAUGACUUUCCUUAGCUUGAAUCACCUGAUCCCUUAAGGUGUUUAUAUUUUUCUUAUUAGGUGGUUGGCAAAUUCAAAAAUAAUUUCCUUAUCUAAGAGCUUUGUUCUUAUACUUUGGUCAUCUACCCACAUGGGAUAGAUGGAGCUUAAAAAGGGGAUUCCAAGGAGAGCUUUCUCCUUAAGAUCCUUAACUAGAAUGAAGGUUUGCUUGAUGCAAAUGCCUUGGUUAUUUAUGUGAGCAUCUGACAGCUUAUACUCAAUGUCAAGCCUUUUACCAUUAGCUCCAAAGAGAGAUUCUUUGGUUUUCUUACAAAACUUAAUAGGACCUAGACCUUCUUGUAGGCAAUUCAAAGCUGUUCCUGAAUCAAUCAAAGCAACAAUAUCAAUGACAAAUUUACUCUUAAUUACUAUAGUAAGGGAGACUUUCCACCUCUGGAAAAUAACCCUACUAACAGUAUUUAAGUAUCCAUCCGUCUUUUCAUCAUUAGCAUGUGAAGAUUCUAGAACCUCUUCAAGGUUUUCCUAGUUAUCAACAAGAUUUUCUAUAACAAUCCUAUUUAUUUGUUCUUGGAGAUCUGAAAAACCUAAGCUUGUGUAUUGUCUUAAAUCUUUAAUUUCCUUCUUAUACUGUCUUACUUCUUCUUGAAGAUCCUUAAUGGUUACGUCUUUGGUAGACUACUGGUUAAAUCUUCCUAAGAUUUCAUUUAAGUUAUAAGAAUUUACUGUCUUCUUAAUCUCUUGCUUAUCGACAAAUUUCUUAAAAACUUCAUAAAGAUCUUGUUUAGUUUUUUCAUCUUCAACUUUCCUUAAAACAUCUAGGACAAGUUCUUGAUCUUGGCUUAUGACAUUUAUAGUCUUAGGUUGGCAAUCACAAUUAUCCUUAAUGUAUUCUUCUUGGUCACUAGAAGUUUGGCUUGAGAUUUCCUCACCACUACUAUCUAGUUGGUUAAUACCAUUUUCAUUAUCUGAAUCAAUCCUUGAUUCAGACUCUGUGGAAUUUAACAUUACUUUACAAAGCAUAUCUUUUAAGUCUUCUGUGACAUUUAAGUUAUUAAUUUUCUGCUUAACCCUACAAUCUUUCUUAUAGUGGCCUAUCUUACCACACUUAAAACAAACUGGCUUAGAUUGUGAAGGAGCUUCUAGCUUUUUAUGGGCUUCUUUGUUCAUCAUUCUUUGGAUGUGCCUUUGUUUCUUAGUUUCAUUCAUCCUAUAGUUGCCAUGAGUUCCUCUCUUGUUGUGAUAGGACUUUUCCUUACUAGGCUUUGUACUUACUUGUUUCUUACGUUGCUUAGAGGGGGGCUUAGUUUCUUUUUGGUUGAAUCCAAACUAGCUACAAAAUGAACCAAACUCAUUCUUGUAGAUCCUUUGUUCAUUUUUCAUCUGUUGCUUAAGCUUAAAGUCAUUGCACAGUUUAAUUGCUUCUGAUGUGACAAUGCUUAUAAUUUCUCCAUAAGAAAGCUUAUCAUAAGGGAUUUGUCCAUUAAACUGUUCCCUUAUCUUAAUCCUAAUCCUCUCAGAGAAAAGUCUAGGUAGUCCUAAGAUGAAUUUUUCUUUCCAAAAAGACUGGUUAUAGUUUGAUCUUAGUAUGACUUUGGUUAGGAAAACUUCUCUAUACCAUCUAAAGUCAUGAAGCUUGGGACACUUAAGGUUGGUUAAGAGAUCUACAAUCUUAUCCUUAAUCUUUGCAGGAUCUCCAAUGAAGUGCUUUGAAAUUGAAUAGAUUAGAGUAGCCACUACAUCCUCUAUAUCUUGUCCAUCUUCAUCCUUAACCACUUCAUUUUCCUCAUUAAUCCUAUAGGCUUUUAGGAUACCAUUUCUAUCCUCAAAGGUGAGAUAAUUAUCCCACCAACCCUAAAGUUGACCUGUAAACCCAACAACAAUUGUUUGAGCUACAGCAUGGCCUGACAAUCUAUUGUUUAACUUAUAGGUUGUACUAACCAUGGUCAUUUCUUGAAGCUUAGUGAGUAUGUUGUACUCAAUCAUACCAUCUAUGUUCCAUUCAUAGAUAGUGUCACUAGUGUAGGAAGCUUGAGUAUGCUGGUUUCUUUCCUCAUACUACAUAUCAGGAAAAGUUGGUCUAGGGUAGUAAUUCCUAGUUCUUGGUUGUUGAUAAUCCUCAUAACUGUUUGGUUAGGAGGUUCCUUAAAAAUCUUAAUUAGUUCAUCAGCCUCUGCUUCAGAACUAAUUUCUCCUUUAACCAUAUUGAUUCUCUUGUGAGAUGGUUGAGGUGUCUCAGAGACAACAAGGCUAUCCUUAACCUUUUGGCUUAUCCUAUCAAUGAGGGCUUGAUCAAUAUGGAGAUUCUCUAGGAAUUUCUUAGAGAAUUCAAAAGGCUUAAAUAAAGACUUAUUAUCUUUCUUAACAAACGUAGUCUUAAUGUAGUCUUGUGUUUCAAUGAUAUCCUCAAACUUGUUGAGUUGAUCGCCUGUAGUCUUAAGAAACAUGUUAGUGUAGUUGUUUUGUUCCAUGAUUCUUCUAACGUCAACAACACUAUCAAUUCCUUUAUUCUUUGGCCUAGUCUUAAAAGGUGAAGCUUUGACUAUGGUUCAAUUAAUGUUCUUUUAUAUCUUAGCUUCUAGAGGGUGGAUGGAUUCUAUGAUAGUAUCGUCACUAGUUUUCCAUAUCUUAGUUUUUUUGGAUGUGUCAUUGACACGCUUACUAGGGUAAUCUAGAUAUUCCUCUUGUUUGAAGAGUUCAAACCAGAUCCAAUACUUAAUGUUCUUCUUUUCUUGUCUUAAGUAUGUGUAGAAUUCUUCUUGGUAGAGGGUUCUAAUGUCUUUAAGGACCUUGCUAAAGAACCAAACUCUCCUUUUCUUAUUGACUUCAGAAUAGAAGUCUUUCCUUAAGAGGUCCUUGUUGAUUCAAAGUCUUCGUUAAUUAGGCUUACAGUGUUAAUCAACUGAGAAUAAGUAGGAGACAUAUCAGGAGAUUCGUCCUGAUGUGAUUCUUGAGUAAACUCAUUUUCCUCCAUGUAAAAGGGUUUGGCCACGUUGGUGUGACUUCUAACACCUGUUAGCUUAAUAUUCUUAGGAUUUGCUGAACUAGAUCCUUCCUCUAUCCUAGUGGUUCUUAUUGGGAUAGAUGAACUUGAAGCUCUAGAGGGCUCAUAAUAUGAAAUUCUAAGGCUGCUAGAAUGAUGAAAAGAGUUGGAGAAAAUUAGAUCUCGUUCUCCAUCAGGAUAUUGAACAAUCUGUUCAAUUCUUUCAGAUCUUUGCUCUAUGGCUGGGACAACAUUAGCAAAAUGCCAAUUUUCUGGAAACUCAACCUCAUUCCACUUGAUUUUCAUGGGGACUAUGAAAUUAGACUUGUUUAUCAUAUCUAAGUGGAAGAUAGUGGUUUCACCCUUGGGACUGGUGCACAAUGCUCCAAAUCCAACGCUUAUGGUCAUGCUCUUAUAGGCAAAUCUGGUGAUGAUGGAAACAUGAUUGUUUCCUUGCUUGAACUUAAAGUCAUGGGUCUUAACAUGAAGGACAACUGAAUCUAAGAUGUUGACAUCUCUUAGUCUAACUGUGAAGUUAGGGAAACACUGGAAAUAAACAGGACCAUCAUUUAAUCCUGCUUGGGUAGCUCCAAUAAUAGAAUCUCGGUAAUCAAGAUGUCUAUUAUCUCUUAAACACAUGACAAUAAAGGUGUUUAGACCUAGUCUUGUCAAGGGCUUAGCUGCAACUUGAAUCAUGCCAAAGUGUAUGAAGUUGUAGUCUCGCUUAUGCUUAUCAAUGGACUUACUAUCCAAGAGUCUUAUGACUUGAUCGUCGUGUUCUAAACUUACUGACAUUUCAGGGGUUUUAAUGGUGUAAUCUGUAAAGAACUUAAAGGUUCCUUUCUUAUAAAUUUCUUGAUUAGGUACCUUGGGUAACUUCCAAUCAUCUAAAUCAUCUUGGAUCUUAGGAUAAUUGAUCUCUUCAUUGUUUACUCUUGAGAAUUUGUGGAUUUCCUAGACAUGGUUCUGAAAAUCAAACUCAUUUUAAGGUUUUAAUCUAGAGCCUAAUAGCAGAUUAACAGACCUAGUGAGUAAUCACCCCAACCCUUUUCCAACCUUAACAAACGCCUAUCUCCAGCUAACAAUGGGCUCAACUCGGCAAGGAUCGCACUCAGGCACACUACUAUCUUUCCUAGGAUAGAUCAAAACACCCAAAACAAACCCGACUUCCUUUUCCUAGGAUAUAUAUAGUAUUUUGGGUUUGAGUAGGAGUUCAUGUUUUGUAUGUAAUUGUAGUCUACGUUGGACUAGGUUGUUUGCUCCUAAUUGAAAUAGGAAUGGUUGGUGUCACAUCUCAUUCAUUUUCUCAUCUAUUUCCAUGUUUAGAUAACUCAAGUAAUCAUAGGAAUGAAAUUAAGAAUGAUUUGAGGGAAAUGAAAUCUCACUUGUAAGUGGGAUCUCAAUUCAUCAUUAAUAGAAGGUAUUUUGAUUACAUAGUGCAAGUUAUUUUUAAAAACACUUUUCAAAAAUUGAAAAACCAAAAACUCUCUUGGAUAAGUUGUUUUUAAAAAGAAUUUUUGUAUUUUUAUUUUGUAAAAAAAAAAAAUAGUAAUUCAAUUUAUAUAAUAUAAAUAGACUUUAAUUUUAUUAAAAAUAAAAAUAAUUUUUUAAUUACAAAUAAAUUAAAAAAUAAAUAUUUGUAAUAAAAUAUGAAUAGUAAUAUUAUAAUAAAAUCAUAAAUAAAUUAAAAAUAUUUUUAAAAACAAAUAAGUUUAAUUUUUUUGAGGUACAAAUGAGCCAAAUUUUUCAUUAGGUACACAACCAACAAUUUUUAUUGGAAACAUUCCUCAAAAAAGAAUUCGUUUCCCAUAUAGCAAAGAUAUUUAUUAUUUAGUAUCUAACCAUCCGUAGUAAUCAUAUCAAUUCUACUAAGUUAUUUAAUAAUUCAUUUAUAUAUAGUACUCAAUUAUGAAUUUUUUUAUUUGAUGUAUAAUUAAUUAAUCAAUGUUUUGAAUUUUGAAUUAUUCUUAAAAUUUAAAACAUUAAUUAUGUCUAUUACUUUUUAUAGUCAUUAUAUAUAUAUAUAUAUAUAUAUAUAGAGAGAGAGAGAGAGAGAGAGAGAGAGAGCUUAAAUUUAUCUUUAAAAAUUAUUAAAUUUAUUAAUAAAUUCAAUACAAAGACUCAUUUGAUUUGAAAUUCAUUUCUUUAGUGAAAAUUUUGAAACUAAAUAGUACUUUGUUUUACUUUGUUUUUAAAUCAUACUCACAAAUAAGUUUUUAUCAUUUAGCCAAAAAAUCUCAAAGAUGUUUCUAAUUUUAUUUAUUUAUUUAUUUGUAAAUGAAAAUAAAAAAUUAGUUUAAACUAAAUAUGCGGAUAUUAUUGUUAAUUUAUUUCAUUUUUUAUUUCCAUUGUUAUUUAACAUUGAAACGGAAACAAAUAAUCAUUCCAAUCUUACAUUCUUAUAUGCAUCUAAACACAAGAAUUGAAAUCACCAAAUUCAUAUUCAAGGCAAAAUAGAAAUGGAAAAAAAAUAUUCAUUUUCAUUCCUCAUUCUCAUGUGCUAAACAUGACAUUAGUUCUACUACCUAUUUCACCAUUCUUCUUGAUAAAUUUGGUAUAUGCAAUAUUGAUCUAAGUGUGAGGUGAAUAAGAAUGAUGAUGGGAUGGGCUUGGAAAUAAGGGCAAAGUUUCUAGGUGCUAUCUAGAGGGGCAACGCGACUUUUUCAAAUUUCGAAUAUUUGUUCUCAACAUAAAGCAAAACUUUACUCACACAAUAGAUAAGACUCUGUUUGUUUUCUUCAUCCACGACUAUAUAAUGUAUAGCUCUUACUCAAGGGAUGAGCUACUUACUAUUAAGGAUUGGGUAAGAUAUUGCCUAAUGGCCAAGAAGGCAUGUCAAAAAAUAAAUCUAAUCACCAUAAAAAAUAAUAGGGGAAAAUUAAUAUAUUAUGAAUGAUGACUUUACUAUUUCUCUAUAUACAUAAUUAUAUAUUUUGAAUUUUCUCACUAGGUAAUGAGAUUCUAAAUCAACUGAAACAUAAUUAAUAAUUUAUAUUUUUAAUGAAUCUUUUAAUUUUUAAAAAUAAUUUAAAAUUUUAAAAAACAAUUCAAUUAAUUACAUAUUAAAUCAAAACAUUUCAAAAUAUUGUGUUUGUAGAUGAGUACUAAAUGCUUGCAUAUAAUAAUAAUAAUAAAAAAAUUGACUCAUUUAGAUGUUAAAAAAGUUAAAUGUUUUUCAUUAUUCAUUUUAAGUAAAAUAUUAUUGACAUUAUUAUUAUAAAAUUAUUAUUAUUCAUUUUUAACAAAAAACAAAAUAAGUUAUUCUUUUACCAAGAUGUCAAUAUCUAUAUUUUUCUAACAUAUAUUAAAAUAGUAUACUUUUCUUUUAUUAAAAAUAAUAAUUAUUAUUAUAUUAUUAUUCAAGUUUUAUUAAAAAAAUUUAUCUUUUAAUUCAUUUGUAAUUACAAAAUAAUUUUAUUUUAUUAAGAAUUUAAUUUAAUUACGCUUUUUUUUUUUAUAAAAAAAACAGUUAUGCUUUUACCAAGAUGUUAAUAUUCAUAUUUUUCUAGCUAACAUAAAUAGAAUAGUACACUUUUUCAUAUAAAAAAAUAAUUUAUGAUUUUAUUAUAAUGUUACUAUUCACAUUUUACUAAAAAUAUUUAUUUAUUUUAUUUAUUUUUAAUUAUAAAAUAAUUUUAUUUUCAAGAAUUUAAUUUUAAAAAAAUAGAAAUCAUUUAUUCUUUUACCAAGAUGUUAAUAAACAUAUUUUUCUAACAUAUACUAAAAUAAAAAAGUUUACUUGUUCAUUAAAAAAUAUAAUUUAUGUUUUUAUUAUAAUACUACUAUCUAUGUUCUACUAAAAAUAUUUAUUUAUAAUUAAAAAAUAAUUUCAUUUUUAAUAAGACUUGAACUAAAUUAAAUUUAUAAUUUUUUUUUAAAAUAAAAUAGAAAAUUAUUUUUUAAAAACAACUUAUUGAAAGAAAUUUUUUAUUCUUUACUUUUAAGAACUGUUUUUAAAAGCAACCUAUAAACCCCUUUGGGUCUGUUUGGCUAUGUUUCAUGCAACUUGUUUUUAAAAAUUGUUUUUUAUUCUUUAAUUUAAUUUUUUUUAAGUUAAAGAAUAAAAAACAACUUUCUAGUGUUUUAUAAAAAUGAGAGCUUUUGACAAGUUGUUUUUAAAAACCAUUUUUAAAAAUAAAAAAUAAAAAACUUAUUUAGAUAAAUUGUUAUAUAUAUAUAUAUAUAUAUAUUUGUAAAAACAUUUUAAAUUCAAUUUAUAUAAUAUAAAUUUAAUUUAAUUUAAGUCUUAUUAAAAAAAAAUUGUUUGGAUAAGUUUUUUUUUUUAAAUAGUUUAUUAUUUUUGUUUUGUAAAAACAUUGCAAAUUCAAUUUAUAUAAUAUAAAUUAAUUUAAUUCAAGUCUUAUUAAAACCAAAAUAAUUUUAUAAUUACAAAUAAAUUUAAAAAUAAUUUUUUUAGUAAAACAUGAAUAAUAAAAUUAUAAAUUAUAUUAUUGUGGACCCUGCAUUUAUGCUCAUGCGCUUCCACUUGUUGGCGAACUCAUUUUUUAUUUGAAAAUGAUUUAUUUUUUUAGAAAAUGACUUAGAGUCGCCACUUAUUUUUGUUUUAUUUUUAAAGGGCAAGCAAAAUAAGAAAGAAAACCCUAAGUGUGACUCCUUAUUCGAAAAAGGUAGUCUGUGUAAAACCGGAUCAGGGUUCAGGGAUCAGGUUACUUAUUGGGAAGGUAUGACAAUGACCGUAGCACUCCUCUAAGUCCUUAAAAACGGGCCUCUACUAAAAAAAAUAAAGUAAUCAUGGCAAUCAGUAAGGAAAUCACUGGAUACCCAGAACAAUUAUGCACAUGUGAGAAUUAAAACAUGCAUAAGAAUGGACAAAGUGAGAGUGGGUGCGUACCUUGACAACGAACCACAAUGCGUUAUCAAGAAAUGGGGUUAGUGCACGAUCAAUGAACAUAAAACACGUCACACAUGUCACUAAGCAGAGUGAGAAAUCAUCAGAUAUUACAAUUCAAUCAAAUUUAUUUUUAGAAGAAACAUCUGUUGAUGUAGAGCCCCUACCAAAGCCUAAUUUAUUUUUGCAUGAAUCAAUUUCAUAAAUUCAAUCGCUUGGAAUUACAGAAUUAAAUUCAUGCUUAUUUUAAAACAUCUUUUUAAAAUCAUGGAAGAUGUGAAAAUGGUUUUCCAAAGAGAAAAUGACAACUGAUUUUAUUGAAAAUGGGAUUUUGGGGACCUAAACGUUAAAGAGGGAUUAGGAAUUGAAAAUUAAAUCAUUUGAAAAUUGAAUUUUUCAAAAAUCAGUUUUGAAAGCAUGCAUGCAAGUAUGGACUGUGAAAGUGGGCCUAGGGAGGGUGGCCAUGCAAAAUGAGGUCAUACACGUGGGCCUUGGGUACAAUUGGGACUACUUUGCUGGUGCCAGUGGUGCUUGCAGCUGUCAUCCAUGAUUUCUUCAUUGGGAUCAAUUUCCAUUCUUACUGCCAAACAUUCCAUAACAAUUGACCAAACUAGUAACCCUGACCUUGCAUGAAAAUGAACGUUACCUAGAAACUCACUGCCAGUGAGAUUCAUUGCUCUUUCAAAAGGUCUCAUUUUCUUUCUCAUCCAAUUGCUUUAAGGAGCAUUCUAGCGUCACGAUUGGUGACUGCGCAUCAUCUAGAGCCUUCUUUCUUCUCAGAAUCAGGUUUGCGUGCAGAGGCCUGUGCUUGUUCAAGGUUGACCUAAAUUCAUCUAGGUUUAGAACCGACCAGUUGAGCUUGGGGAGCAACGACAAGAAUAUCAGUCACUUGCGAAGAGAAAACUCGAGAUCUUUCAAGUAAUGCCUGACAUAGAUUCCUCCAACCUGUGGCCAAUAUCUCAUUCCUUGUUGGCCAGACGCCUAUUAGGGCGUAUCUCAAUCAAUAAUAUGAUUUUUCGUUUGUUCACAAUAAAGACCGGAAGCCAUGGUUGUGAUUUAUGCAGUACAGAAGAAGUUGCCAUGGCUGGUAUCCUUACAAAUUCUGGUGUUUCUGCUAUCUGUUCAAGUGCAAAACACAACAGCUUUAUCAAGUUUGUCCCUAACAACUGAUAUUGAGCCCUCUGGAGGAAACCUUGAUAAAUUCAUAAUCACUUUUGACUCAUGCAUGGGCUGCCCAUCAAAUUUUCCUAGCAACGAGACGACUGCUGUCAUCUACUGCAAAGAGAAUUUCUUCUCGCAAAGACAAGAGGAGUUUAAGAAUACACACUAUUCUGCCAUUUCAUUUCCUCUUUCUCCACAACCAACAUAAACCAUAGUGUCUACAUUAGAGUACUUAGAAAGAGCUUAACUGAUGACCGUUUUUCCACAACCAAAUGCCCCAGGUAUGGCACAAAUUUCACCGAAAACAGAAGGGAAAAGGGCAUCAAGAACACGCUGUCCUGUAAGUAGUGGGGUAUCAGGACUACUCUAGGGAAGUUAUUUCUGUCAUUUUGAAAAAGAAAAAUUAAAGAAUGUACACAUGCUUUCAAGUGGACUGGAGCAUUCUACAUAUCAGGUGGUCUGUAGCCACAUGUGCCACUUUGUGGAAGUUGGAACAGUCGAUCACUAGGCUAUUUAGUGUGGCCAAGCCACGUUAAUCAAGGACAAGUCUUCAUACUUAAAAGUCAAAUGGUGCCUUUAGUCUCAUUACACAUGGCUAUUUAAAGAUGAACUAAUCUUUAGUGUAAUGUGAUUAAGACAGUACUAACUGAUCAAUAUUUUUUCUAAUUUUGGAUGCAAAUGCUUGCUGGCUUCAUCAUUGGAUGGGAUAAAGGUGCAUUCAUGACUCUGAAUACUUGCAGUAAUACUUGCAGUAAUACUUCAUUCUCUUUUUUCUCGAUGAGACUUCUUGGCACAAUUUUGCUUCUCAGCAACCUACCUCUCCAUGGAAAAUGAGUUGCGAUUGAUGGUACUGGAUAUUUUCUAGGAAGCUAAAUAUAGAUAUAUAGCACUCAAUGUCAACGAUAUAUAUAGCAUUAACAGUAUAUGUCUCAAUGCUCAUCAGCUACAAGCAAGGGACAAACACUUACAAUGAAUAACUCACGUCAACAUUCCUAAACAGGACAUAGAAGUGACAGAUCUAUAUAUAGAACACUGCAUAUGAGUCACAAGAAAAGAUAAUACGGGUGCAUAGCAGCUCUUAUAUUACAUAUUACUCAUACCGUUCAAAUUCACUCAGUUGGGAUGGGUGGGAGAAGGAGGCCUCUGGGGUGGCUUGUGCGUGUGAGAAGUGGAAGAAAGUUGAAUGGAAUGAAACUGAAAAACAGGGUAGAAUAGAGGUUUCUUGAAUCUUCUGAAAUCUUUAUUUUUCUGAGAUUUAUUCUCUGUUUUUGUGAGUCGUGACUCUACAUAUAUACAUGUAUUUAAAGUUAGUUAUGCCUUAUAACUAAUUAUCUAACAGUACCAAAACUAAUCAUCUAGUUGCAUGUUUCUAAUUAAUGCUAUUUAGUUACAACUAUAUAUGGCUUAACAUCCUCUCUCAAACUCAAAAGUCUAGCUAGAACAGUGAGUUUGCUUCAUAGAUUGAGAAAUUGUUGAAUAGGUAAGGCUUUGGUAAGAGCAUUAGCAAUCUGGUCAUAAGAAGGAAUGUGUUGAACCACCAAAGUCUUAUUGAGCACCUUUUCCUGAACAAAAUGGCAAUCUAGUUCCACAUGCUUAACUCGAGAAUGAAAAUAGGAUUGGCAGCAAGAAAGGUGGCUGAAAGAUUGUCAUAGAACAAAACAAAAUAGGAGAAUAAGAAGAUGAGAUAGAAAACUCCUGAAGAAGAUGUUGAAUCCAUUGAAGUUCAAAAGCAACAUUUGCUAAGGCCCUAUACUCAGCUUCAUUGCUGGAACGAGACACAACUUUCUGCUUACUGGAGUUCCAGGAGACUAGAUUAGAGCUAAAAAAGAUGCAAUGACCACUUGUACUUCGACGAUCAUCAGGGCAACCAACCCAAUCAACAUCAGCAUAAGCAGUAAGUUGAAAAUCAGGAGAAGAAUAAAAGGAAAGACCAAAGGAAGUAGUGCCCUUAAGAUAAUGCAACAAUCGUUUAACAACUUGCCAAUGAAGAUCAGUUGGUUAUUGCAUGAAUUGGCAAAGUUUAUUGAUAGAGAAAGAGAUGUCAGGCCUUGUAAUGGUACAAUAUUGCAGGGCUUCAACAAUGUUGCGAUAUUGAGAAGGGUCAGCCAAGAGGGAACCUUUAGAGGCAGAUAAAGUGUGAGAGGUAGUCAUUGGUGUAUCAAUAGGUUUAAAAUAUGGAAGACCAGCACGAGUUAACAAGUCCUGAAUAUAUUUGGUUUGGGAAAGAUGAAGAGAAGAUCCUUGCCAACAUACUUCUACACCCAAGAAGUAAUUCAGAAUACCAAGGUCCUUGAGAGCAAACUGAAAGUGUAAAGACGAAACCAUUUGGUGGACUAGCACGGUAUUAAGACCACUAACAAUAAUGUCAUCAACAUAGAUGAGAAUAAUGAUCAUGUCAGUCCCUUUCCGAAGAGGAGCUUGCUUCAGACCCUACAAGGCUUUGCGAAGUUUACAGAAAAAACCGGGUUUAGAAUGAUCAACAAAGCCUGGAGGUUGAACCAUGUAAACCUCUUCUUCUAACUCACCAUUGAGAAAGGCAUUAUUAACAUCUAAUUGUUCCACUAACCAACCAUGAGAAAUAGCAAGAGAAAGAACAAUUCAUAUAGUAGUUGGUUUAACAACAAGGCAAAAGGUUUCAAAAUAAUCAAUACCAUAUGUUUGAUUAAAACCCUUUGCAACUAAGUAGGCUUUAAAACGAUCAAUUGAGCCAUUAGCUUUGAGUUUCAGCUUGUAUAUCCAUUUACAACUAAUAAUGCGUGUAUUAACAGGUUUAGGAACCAAUGUCCAUGUGGAAUUGGUGAGAAGAGCAUCAUACUCAGUCUUCAUAGCAGCUUGCCAAUUAGGAUGCAAUAUUGCUUCUUUGAAAGAGGAGGGUUCGACAACAGUAGUUUGGAUAGCAAGGCUAAAUAUUUUUUUGGGUUUAAAAAUACCAUUUUGGCUACGAGUAACAAUAGUUCGGUUUGGAAGUGAAAGAGGAUCAGUGGAGGAGGCUGGAACAAGGGAUUGUGGUAAAGUAGGAAAGGAAGGUGGAUGAGAUGGAACAAAAUCAGUAGGGACAAUAAUGGGAGAAGAAAAAUUAGGUGGAGAAUGAUGAGGAUUCCUUGAAGAUGGUGUAGGAAUAGAGAGAAUACCAGAAUCAAGAAGUGUUAAAGAAGAGUUGGAUGAUGAUACUGGUUGACAGGAUAAAGACUUUGUUAAAAAUGGAAAUCGAGUUUCAUCAAAUACAACAUGACGAGAAGCAUAUAUCCGAGAGGAAGCCAUAUCCAAACAGAGGAAUCCCUUGUGUUUAGCACUAUAACCCAAAAAACAGCAAACAACAAAUAUAUUUGCUAGCUUGUGAGAAGCAUAAGGGCGAAGAUAAGGAAAACACAAGCAUCCAAAACUUCAAAGAGAUGUAUAAUAAGGUAAACGAUUAUAAAGAACUCCAUAAGGAGAAUUUUGUGAAAGAACAGCAGAGGGAAGGCAAUUUAUGAGAAAAAUGGCAGUUUGAAAUGCAAAUGACCAAUAUUUGAGAGGGUAUACCAGCUUGUAUUAACAAAGAAAGACCAACUUCCACAACAUGACGAUUCUUUCUUUCAACUCUUCAAUUUUGCUAAGGAGUAUAAUGACAAGAGACUUGAUGAAGAAGACCAUUUGUAGCCAAAUAAUUCUGAAAAGCUGAAACUGAAACUCAUCAAAUUGAUUUUUAGUAUCAAAUUUUCUUCAGACUGAACACAUUGAUUUUUAGUAUCAAAUUUUCUUUCAACCAUGGCUUGAAAAUGUUGGAACAUAAGUAAAGCUUCAUCUUUAGUUUCCAAAAGGUACAACCAUGAGAAUAUGCUAAAAUCAUCAAUUAGCAAGAGGAAAUAUUGAGCAUUACCAUUGACAGAAACUAUAGGAGUUGCACCCCAAAGAUCAACAUGGAUGAGACCGAAUGGUUUUAUUGCUCUAGAAGUGGAUAUUUCAAAUGGAAAACGAUGGCUUUUAGCCAACUGACAAGACUCACAUACAGAGUUAUUAUUGUCAUGUUUCAAAGGUAUUUUAUAAAGAGAUAAGAUUUUGGAAACUACAUUAAUAGAGGGAUGACCAAGUCUAUUAUGCCAAAGCCUCAAAGAACCAACGGCUAAAGUACUACUAGUAGAGUAAAAUACUAGUGGAUGACCAACAACUCUUGGUGUAGCAAGAAGUUUAUAGAGACCCUUCUCAAUUUUUCCUUGAAGAAGAGCAAGUCUCGUUUCCUGAUCCUUUACCACAAAAUGAGAAGAACGAAAUUCAAUAAAGGUGCCAUUGUUUGAGUAAAAUCGUUGCACGCUAACUAAGUUGGUGGUAAUAGAAGGAACAUGUAAGACAUCAUUGAAAAACAAAGAACCACUUGAAGAGGCAAGAGAAAAUUUACCAAUAUUUGCAAUGGAUAAACCCUUACCAUCUCCAACAAUUACUUUGUCACCACUGGUAAAUGGAUUAUGGAUUGUUAAAUUGUUAAGAUCAGAUGUGAGAUGAUGGGUAGCCUUUGUAUCAAGAAACCAAUAAGUGUCUCCCAUUGUUGCAGAAGUUGUAGUCAUAGCCUCAGGAUUGUUAGAGGUGGAAUGUUUAGAAUCUUUUGGCUGAUAAUCAGAGUUAAACCGAUACCAGCAUUGUAAAGCGGUGUGUCCGAACUUACAACCGAGAGAAAUAAUCUUUACUUAUUCUCUAAAAACUGUUCUUUAUUCCACACAUUAUUUCUAAAAACUGUUUCUAGAUAACAAUGACAAAAUAGUAUUAGGAAUUUUUAAAAAUAAAAAUUGUUUUUAAAUUACAUGAUCUAUAUCAUUCACAUUUGACCAUUAUAGCUUUGUUCAGGAAAACACUUGAAAGUAACCUUAUCGUGAUAAGAGAUAUAAGUUGGCUGUAGUUUCAAACUGAAAACAGAGGAUGGCAAUAGAAAGCAAAGCAUUAGUUAUCUGCAAUCAGUGGUGAUCAUGCCCCAUGUCAAUUUCGGACCCAUAUCUUAAAACCGUAUAAUUUGCAUUUCAACAUUUCUGAUUUCUCAGAUGUUUCAUACUCCACAGAAGAACAUUGUUUGUGAAAGCAUGCAUUUAUGCUGGAUUUUGGAUGAUGUGGGAACUGGGGCAAGGAUCAUAUGGAAGAGUGGUCGAUUUUUUCUGUACUUUAACAUUUGAAAUAGGAGCAGCACGGGCAUUUGUGGGGCUUAAUUGAUUUUGAAGCCUGAAAUUGCGUUUCUGUCAUUUUGUAAAAAAUAUGGCAGAUUCCAUGCUCUCAUAUGUUUGGUCUGUGGCCAUGUAUAGAUGCCACUUAGUGACCAGUUUGUAACUGUCAAUCAUAGUGUUUUGACUCUGGCUCAACAACAUCAGCCAUUGACGGAUUUUCAUACAUGCAAAUCAAAUAGUCUUCUUCCUCCCUUAGGAAUUUCGGUUUAAAUGUUAUUAAGCAUACAUUUGGCUGACAAUUAUUAACCACUUCAUGAUAUGGUUUCUUACCCUUAAUCAAUGGUUUCUAAGUGAAUAUAUGCAGAAGGAAAUCUGAACUGUAGACAGCAGUAUUGAUAAUUAUCAAUAUUCUUUAUAUAAGAGAAUAAACAACGUCAUAGUGAUCGUCGCCUACAAGAAAGGUACAUUUCCCAACAAGAUGUAGUUGUGACUGGUACAUGGACGUAAUUAACUCGUAGAAAAGGAUAAGACCAGUGCACGGCAGCUCUUAUUUUACAUGCUAAUUAUGCUAACCAAAGUCACUCAGUUGGGAUGGGAGGGAGAUGGAGGUUUGUGCGGUGGCUUGUGGGGCGGAGUUGGUGGCUUCUUUUCAGGAGCUUGUGGCUUUUUCGGAGCUGAAGGAGGCUCAAUCUUAUGAGGCGGCUUGUACGAGUCUUCUUUACUCUCGACAGGAGGGUGGCCAGGGUUGUGACCAUAAUGUGGUGGCUUCUCUCCCUUAGGUGGCUUGCCAACUGGGGUUGGUGGCUUGUGUUCAGGAAGUGGUUUCUCUCCCUUGGGAGGUUUACCAAUUGGGGUUGGUGGCUUGUGUUCUGGGAGUGGUUUCUCUCCCUUGGGAGGUUUAGUGGGUGACUUGUGUUCUGGAGGUGGCUUCUCCACCGGAGGCUUGUGCUCCGGUGGUGGCUUCUUGGUUGGAGGGGGCUUGGGGUAAUCAGCAAGAGAUGGGGGGGUGAGAACCACCACUCCAAGGAACAACACUAGCAAGUAUGUGGGAGACAUUUCUGAGUUUGAGCUGAUCAGAUGAUGCAAAACUAGAAGAAUUACGUGACCUUUUAUAGCAAGUAGCUCCCAAUACCCACAUGACACGUGUUACUGUGACCAUAAAUAUUAUAGGGUCCAUUUGUGCCCUACCGGGUUGAAAACUUGGACGCUUGGCCGAGGACACACCGAACUAUGGAGGACUAUUGACGUGUGAUCACAGCUUUUGGAUUUUUCUUCCUGUGCAGCUGUCUAGCGGUUGGCAUUAUUUUUUUAAUCUUAAAUAAAGGCAUAGUUAUAGAGUACAUUUAUAUAUCUUCAGAUAGCCAUUAAUAUAUUUGAUGAAGAAAGACAAGUGCAUACAACAUGUAUACGGCUUGCUUCAAUCGAGUACAUUUAUGAUCAGUUUUCCAGUGCAAGUAAACCAGUUUUUUGUUCCACAACUAUUUUGGAAUCUUGUUUAUCAGUUUCUAUCAUUAUAAUGUCACAUAGGCUGCAAACUUGGGCACCCAAAGAUCUAGUUGGGCAAAUUUGUUUCAGAAUUUCAAUGGUGGAUUCAGUAAUUGUUAAAAGGUGUUUCUUCAUUAAGGAAAGAGUCCUGUAAAAAUAUUGUUAAAAGGUGUCAUAGAAACUAUAAUAAUUAAAUAACUUCUUUUCCCCGUGGGUGGUGUUUCUUCUGGGGAUACCCAAAAUGAGUUCAGAUUAAAAUUGGUUCGAGUCAAAGCUGUCUCUUUUGUCCAGAAAUCAACUAUUUUGCGCAUUGCAUGAAUCGAUAAAGAAAAAAUGAAAGCCAAAUCACACCUCCCCUGCAAAACCUAAACCCCGGUUGCUAACUUUCUAUGUUUCAGUCCUAUUCAUACAGGAAUAUUGGUUCAAGUUUGAGAAAAAUGGCAACUUACCUAGGGAUUACUUGGUUGUGGUUUGCGACGACUAUUUACGCAACCAACCAUGAGUUUGACUUUAACGUCAUGGGUUGAAGCCUCCUACAAUCGUGUAUGAUAGUUCAAAGCUCGUAGUAGAAAUUAUACAGGAAGGAAGAAACCUCCAAAGCUAGCUCCAAAAGAGAAUUAUCACAUCGAUAGCUCCAGAGAUUCCCAAGGGGACUGAAUCAAAGACAAGUUCCUCACUUUUUCUUCUUUUGAGGCCAAAUAUGAACCAAGGAUCACACGACCUCAUUCAACUUCAUAAGUUUGAUUUCAUGCAGUUGAACACUGGGUGAAGGCCAUGACAAGAAUUGAUUAAAAAAUUCUACCACUGUUUUAAGUAAUGGAAGAUUAUUAUCUCUGAUUGGCACCACAACAGCACAUGCUGCUAGAUCUUUCUAGACACUCCAUGCAAUGAAAGUACAAUGGAUCUUGUAACGAUAGAAACUAAGCCAUGCUACAGUACUAGAUGACGAGGUAAAACUAUUAGACAUGGGUGGCAGCCUAUAUGGGAGGGACACAAGUCUAAUUGAUUUGCAUUUCAGCGUUCUAGAUGGGUAUGUUUUGGAAGAUUUGUUCUGGAAAUACCGCACCAAGUAGGAUUCUUUUUUCUCUUGAGUGGGUCCACUUGCAUGCCAAUUAUCGAGUUGAAAAGUAGAGCACCUACCUCGUGCUCGUGGAACCGAAGGUCAGUGAAGUGGGGCUCCUUUUGGCCUCUUGUGUUUCUGUUCCAACCAAGGCGGCGGAGGGAAAAACAGCAAUAUGUCUCCGCUAAAUAUCAACGCAUGAUAGCGAAUGAGGGAGAAAAAAAGUAAUUGGCAUCUCAAUCUCACAAACUUGGUACAGUAGUGACAUUAAUAGUCUUCCACAUGGUUUUUAUUUUAUUUUAUUUUAUAUUUUAUAUUUUCCAUUUUUUUAUUUUUUUGUAUGUCAAGGCUAAUGAAUAAAAUGCGUUAGCUUGUUUUGUGAUUGGAACUGCAAAUGUCCAAAUUGGAGUUUCUCCAUUUCUCAGUUCGGAUGGUUAACUUUAUAAACAAGAUAUAGGAAACAUGUGAACGUCUUGAGGAACAAUUCGAAUUAUUGAUUAGAACUCCUAGGUUGAGUUCCAAGAUUUAAAUCAGACCCCUCUAGCAGCUUCAGGGGUACCUAGCAAUUAGAACAUAUUAAUGAAGAUUUAGGAUUUAGACUCCGGAAUACAAAUUAAUAUGUAUCUUAUGCUCUGACUAGCUUCCCUGCAUAUGCACAAAAUGGAGAUGACCCAAAAAAUAGCAGAAUCGCCUUAGUUUAUGUGGUUAAGGUGAUUCUCCGGUUAAUAUCCACAUUGGCUCAUUAUGCAAAUCAACUGAGCUAUUUUUUUUUUAAUGUCAAAUAGGAACUCCUAAUUAACCUAACCAUUGGCCUGUGUAAAUUGAUUUCACAUGCACAAUGUUGUAGUAGAAGUCCACAUUUUGAAUUUUAUUUUUGGAAAGGUAAGGAAAAUGAAGCAUUGUGUAAUUAUAAAAAUAACUUCAUUGGAAUUCACAAGGUUCACCCAAAAUGGAGCUACAUCCGUAUUCUAUCUUACAGUAGACUAUAUAGAUUGUACAAUAGUAAAUUGCAAAUACAAUUAAUAAGUCUUGUGUUUCCUUACUAAUAAUCCUUUGACAUAAACAUUGCAGCACUAAGGUCCUCUUGGGCAGACACCUUGCACCCAUGAGAGCACUAAGAGGAAGCAAGGCGGAGUCAUGGGUGCAAUGUCAUGACUUGUUGCACUAAGAGAGGCUUGGUGAUGGCAUAGUGCUGCAGUAGCAAGAAUGUUGCCUUGGCAGGGACACGAUCUAGGGACAGAUGCCAAGAAAGGCUUAGCACUCACAUGAGUUGCACAAAGAUGAAUGAAAUAGAACAUCAAAGAGACAUCUUGGCAAGCUCAAGAAAGACAUGUGGGUUGGUAAAUGAAUGGAUGCAAGAGGCAACAACAUGAGGAGUUUCAAAUGGAUAGGGAAUGAGUCAAAGACAUUUGAAAGCUACAAGUUGGAUUCUAAUUACGAUUGCAAUUUGAGUUUGAGUAGGAGUUUAUAUUAUGAUUGUAAUUGUAGUAUGAGUUGGACUAGGAUUGCUUAUCCCUAGUCAAAAUAGGAGUUGUUCAUGCCACACCCUAUGAAAAGAGUUUGAGUAGGGACUAGGAUUGCUUGCUCCUAGUCAAAUAUGGAGUAGGUGGUGCCACACCUAUAAAAAAAAAAGGGACAACAUGAGAGAGAGAGAGAAUGAAUUCACCAAAGAUAUUGUGGGAGUUUUGCUUUGUUACAUCUUGUAUUAUUAUUUAGAAUAGUAAUAAAAUACAAGUUGGGGCUAGAGCCCCAUAAUCUCGUGUGCCUUUGUGGGUUAUUCUUUAUUUGCCAUCUCGUGUGGAUUGGAUUAGAUUGAUGAGGCGAAAUAUUAUGUGGGAAAUUUAUGUUGGGACACUUACCAUAACCAGGUAAAAUCUACCAAGUCUUUUGUAAUAUCUUCUACAAAUAUUUUAGACCAGUUCUUCACAAAACAUCAUAAUAUGUUUUGUGUUUCUCUUGGAUUUUGAGUUGAAUUGUCUUAGAUCAAUUGAAUGCAUCUCAAUAUUAUUAUCUUGUUUGAAGGCUUGAUGAUUUUCCAUUUAACUUUACUUUCUUUAGGUUAUGCUUGAUUCCUUAAAAGUACUAAGGAAAACAAAAAAUAAAAAAAAAUAAAAAAUGCAGAGGGUUAGGACAUGUGUUAUCUAAUUGUCCUAUCCAAAGAUAUUAAGAAAGUCAUGUAGGAAAGUAAUUGAAAACUAGGUCAAGAAAGGAGCAAAAGGGAAUUGUUUUGGUAUUUUCUUUUUUAUUCUUGAAGGUGGCAGAGCUAAAAUUUGAGAAAUCAAGCAAAACAUACUGAAAUUACAUUGAAAGAAAGAAAAUGGUAGUUAAUGUCUUGCAGUACAUGAUAAGGACUUCAUGCAUGUAGUGUGACGACCCAUGUCUUGGACUGAUGCCACACUCACGGUUACACUUAUACCCUUGGUUCUCUCUUUACUACCUUGGCUAACCUAGAUCAGGCUAUGAGAUAGGCUCCUCACCACACCAUCACUUGCCCAGUAAUUAGUGACAUUUUCAAGCAAUGAGGUAACAUGGUGACACCAAGAGGGUUUAUCCCUCGCCCCAACAAGUCUAGACUCGGUCUCAAAAAAAUGGAGAAAAAUGAGGUGUCGUUAUGCAGAAAUACAACAACCAUGCCUUCCUUAUUACUUAGAUUCAGAAUGUGAAGGUGAAAUUGAGAAACAGAAACUCUUGAAACCAGAAUGAAAAUUGAUACUUUUACGAAGAAUUACAACAUUAGAGGAAGACUACAUUCUUCCUCUAUAUUCCUACGUUUCUACACUACUUCUACUCCACUCCAUAUUUCUACAUACAUCUUUAAUCAGUUUUCCCUCCUUUAUAUAGAGCCAUCUUCACACAAAUUCCGCAAGGUAGAAAAGAGGAAUGAAACUUGGAGCAAGGUUCGACUACUGGUUGUCGCUUGUCAAGGCUGGAAUUGAACUUUUUUUCUUGGCUUUUCUGGGCAUAGGUAGUAACUUGUGGUUCCUUUUUGGAAUGAAAAUGGUACAGCUAGAACAUGUGGCACUCUCUUGUUGGAUUAUGUGUCAAACAUGUGGCAGCCAUCUAGUGGAGAUUAUUUCAAUUUUGGGAUGGAGAGUUGGCAUCCAAUUGCAAAGAAAUAUGACAUCUACCAACAUGCAAUGUAAACCUAUAUAGAUCAUAUGGAGAUAGAGAGGAAACAUAUAGAAAUGGAUAUAUACCUAGAACUAGCUUUUUAUUAAAUGAGACGGAGAGCCAACAAUGAAGGAAAAUCAAAAUUUUUGGCUCAUAUCAAAGAAUUCACAUUGUGUUACCCUAGGUUUUCUUAAAGCUUGCACAAAGCCAAAAAGCACACAAAAAAUUAUAUUUUCUAGCUCUCUACCUUGGAUGGUCUCUUGAUCCUACUUGGAGAUGUGCAUAAAUAAAAGGAUUUGAAAAUGACAAUUGACUAAGUAUGUAGUCAAUCAAUUACUCAUUAAUUGACUAGUUGAUCAAUUAACUUUGCAACAUCAUAUGCAAUCCUAAUAGCUAGUCAUCUAAUCAACUAGGUAGUAAAUCAAUAGGCCAAAAAUAUGUUUAUAAUGACUAUUUUGUACAAAAACCACCUAUAUGGUUAAAUAUAAUGCAUUUCAUUUAUAAAUCUUCUAAUUCUUGAAUAACGAUCCUAUCAUCCUUUGAAAGUUUUUAUUACACCUUUUAUACUUUUGUUCUAAAACUUACACAUGUACAUCACCCUUAAUUGUACCAUGAGAACCUAGCUUUUUUUUUUUUUUUUUUUGUAAUUCAUCAAAGUUAGCUUUUGUAUUCAUUACUGUACUAUUUUUAUUGUAACUUAGAAAGCGAGUGUUUUCAAGUGAGUGAAAUUGACUUAUAAAUAUUGUAAAGAUUCAUUGAUGUGUAUCUUAAACUAAGUGUACAAGUUGAAACAUUUGCUAGUAGAUUUUCUCAAGAUUUAGAAUAGAGCUUGAGGCUAUUGAAAUAGGUGGGGUUGCACCAAACCACAUCACAUUGUUGUUUGCACCUUUUUUUCACUCUCUUUUACUUAGUUGCUCUAUAUUUGUUGUCUAGUAAUAUCCUAUAGGCUUGAUGGGUUAGGGAGCAUCCCUUUGUGAAAAAUUUUCAUUCAAUCCUUAGUUGUAUCACGCAUAUAUAAAAUGCCUCAUUGUUUUAAUGGUAUUCAGUCGUGGCAUCACAGAUAUGGGCAUCUAAAUUUUAAAAGUUUGAAACUUUUAUCUAAAGAAAAUAUGGUGCUUUGCCUUUUUGUAAAGCAUGUUGAUGAAAUCCAUGAGAAUUGUGUACUUGGGAAGCAACAUCGAGAUGACUUUUUUUUUUUUCAUUUUUUAUAAUGCGACACCUAAGUCCGGUUUCUAAAUGCUGAAGUGAAAGGGUAGGUAUGGACCAUUGAAAUCUGAUCACAACUUUUGGCCUUUUCCUUUCUCUGCAGCCAUGUUGUCUCUUUUUUCUUUUGCAUGAUUUUCUUACCUAAACAGAAUCAUAGACUUGUUUAAUCUCUAAAUGGUAUUUCAUCCAGCUUUAAGCUACUGUAUUAUAUCUUGGUGGAGGACUUUUAAGAGUGAAACCGACAUAGAGCACAUGCAAGUGGGUAUAUGGGACAUGAAAUUUCUUCUUAUAAAGACUGCAUGGUUUUUAUAUUAGAGUUGUUGAGGCGCAAUGUAUUUAGCUUGUUUUGCAGUUAAAUUAAUUGGAUAAGUAGACAUUGUCGUUUCUAAAUUUCCCACCUAAGAUAGUGACCUUAUCCUUGACUGCUUGAUGAGAUACACAAACAAUUAUACCUUCAAAAUCUACUGUGAAGUGCUUCAUGUAUGUGUGAAGUAUUAGAAAUUUCUUUCUUGGCAACUUGUUUUUUCUUUGCCCUCUACUGAUAGGUUUGACUCAAAUUAAAUUCCCUGUCAUGCUAAUUAAUUUUCACGUGCAUGCUCAAAAGGAUCACGUCAACUCUGGUUUCUACUAUUCAGGUCCAUUCCCAGAUAAACUGGUUCAAAUUUGAGAAAAUGGCAACAGCCCUUUAGUGAUGUUGGUUUGGAGCCAGUAGCCAAACCCGCCCUGAGCUUUACCACUAAUGUCAAGGGACAAAGCCAUUUGAACAAAAACAAUAGCUUCAAGAGACUGAAUCGUGGAUGAAAUCUGAUCCACAUUUCUUCUCAUUUUGGGAACAAAUGAGAACUUAACUACAAAGAUUCUACUGCCUCAUAGUGCUUUUCCUGAUCUAAGGUUGGUUCGUUUCCCAAAUUGUGAGGUACGUGCCAUUCUCACGCUCAGGAGUGUAUCCACGUGGUGGACAUAAGAUGGUGGCUUAAUAUCUGGUGUCGGUGGCUUUACUUUACUAGGAGAGUAGUGUGUCUUCAUCUCAUUCACUGCCGGAGGGUGGCGUAAGCAGUGACGCUAAGGUGGGGCACAGUCAAUAUCAUUUGCAUUUGACCAUUAUAGUUUUCUCCCGGCUUGAAAGUAACCUUAUCGUGAUAAAGGAUUACUAGCACUAGUUCAGAUGACAGUCAUGUUAAAUUCGGACCAUGUUUGUGUCACAUUAUCAGCAACCAUGUGUUUAUGGUUCAUGCUAUCUGCAACUAAACUUGAUAUAUAACCACGUGAACUUCAAUCUAAAUUCUGGAAGUACUCUUGUGAUAGAUGGUGCCUGUCUGCAGAGUCCAUCAAUUGAAAAAUGGAGUGAGUGUAUCUAUAAGAGGGAAGGCUUGGCAAAUGUUCAGUUUUCUGGGAACUCAACAAGGAUCUAAAAUAGAUUGUUUUCUUUGCUGAUUUCAAUGGUUGAAAUUUGAGAAGAUUGUGUCCACAUAACACAACUAUUACUGGUCCUUCUGUUGCAAUUUAUCCUCUAAGGCUCUAACAUGUCUUCCAAUUCCCACUUCCCUGUUACUCCAGGAAAGCUAUUUCUGUCAUUGUGAAGAAGAAAAGAGAAUGUACAUAUCGAUGGUUUUAAGUGACUGGGGCAUUCAUAUCAGGUGGUCUGCAGCCAUAUAUGCCACUUUGUGAAGGUUGGAACAGUCAAUCACCAGGCUAUAUUAGUGUGGCCCAGCCACUUCAAUCAAGGACAAGUCUUCAUACUUAAAGUCAAAUUCUGCCUUUAGUCUCAUUAUAAAUUGCUGUUUAAAUAUUAAGCAAACAUUUGUUUAAUGCGAUUAAGACAGUACUAACUCAAUACUUGUUCUAUUUUUGGAUGCAAAUGCUUGAUGGUUUCAUCAUUGGAUGGGAUAAAGGUGCAUUCAUGAUUAUGAAUACUUGUAGUUAUAUUUUCAUUCUCUUUUUUCUCAAUGAGACUUGUUGGCACAAUUUUGCUGUUCAGAAACCUACCUCUCCAUCGAAAAUCAGUUGUGAUUGAUAGUACUGGAUAUAUUCAAGAAAGCUAAAUAUAGAUAGCACCAAAUAUUAUCGAUAUAAAUAGCAUUAACAGCGUACGUAUGUCUCAAUGCUCAUCAGCUAUAAGCAACGGGCAAACACUUACUAUGAGCAACUUGCGUCAAAAUUCCAGAAUAGGACAUAGAAGUGACAGAUCUAUAUAUAUAUAGAACACUGCAUAUGAGUCACAAGAAAGGAAAUUACGGGUGCAUAGCAGCUCUUAUUUUACAUCCUACUCAUACUGAUCAAAGUCACUCAGUUGGGAUGGGUGGGAGUAGGAGGUUUGUGGGGUGGCUUGUGCGGAGGAGUUGGCAGCUUCUUUCCAGGACCUGGUUGCUUCUCUGCUGGAGUUGAAGGAGGCUUAAUCUUCCGAGGUGGCUUGUAUGAGUCUUCAGCAUUCUCAGCAGGAGGGUGACCAGGGUUGUGACCAUAAUGUGGUGGCUUCUCUCCCUUAGGUGGUUUGCCAACUGGGGUUGGUGGCUUGUAUGAGUCUUCAGCAUUCUCAGCAGGAGGGUGACCAGGGUUGCGACCAUAAUGUGGUGGCUUCUCUCCCUUAGGUGGUUUGCCAACUGGGGUUGGUGGCUUGUGUUCUGGGAGUGGCUUCUCCCCCUUGGGAGGUUUUUCCAAUGGGGUUGGUUUGUGUUCAGGAGGUGGCUUCUCCACUGGAGGCUUGUGUUCAGGAGGUGGCUUCUCCACCGGAGGCUUGUGUUCAGGAGGUGGCUUCUCCACCGGAGGCUUGUGUUCAGGAGGUGGCUUCUCGAAUGGGGGAUGCUCAGGGUAAUCAGCAAGUGAGGGGUUGGUGAGAACCACCAUGCCAAGCAACAGGACUAGCAAGUAUGUAGGAGACAUCUUUGGGUUUGGACUUAAGACAGUGGAAAACUGCGAGAAUUCUCUAGCCUUUUAUAGCGGGUCGACCCAGUACUCACAUGACACGUGUCAUUAUGACACAUGUGCCAUGGGGUCGAUUUGGGUCCUACAGUGUUGAAAAGUUGGGCAUUUGAGGUGUGAGCACAACUUUUGGCCUUUGCUUUC